rnacentral:lncRNA from 1 species
CAUAAAGAUUAAAGGUUUUCAGACAUUUCAUAUGAAUGCAGCUUGGAAGACUCUUAAGUUCCUUGCAAUCUCUUAGGUUUAAAUGAAUCAACCCCGUGAGAUUAUUAAUUGACUCGGACAGUUCUUUAAUUUUGGACUUGGAUAAAUUAAGCUCUUGUAACUCCUCCAUACCUUCUGAAAUCUCUGGAAACAUCUCAAGGCUCACGCAGCCAAAAAGAUCAAGAGUUUUGAGAGAUUGCAUACGAAUUUUGCAGGGUAGAAUCUUAAGUUUUUCGCACCCUUUCAGAUCCAAUAAAACAAGUUUUGUAAGAUUCGAAAUAGAUGGGUGAACCUUAACUAACCCUCCACAACCAUGAAGAAUUAGCCUCUCAAGAUUUGGCACAUUUGUGAAGUCAGGGGUUUCCUUAAGGUAUGAACAAUAACUUAAAUUGAUGAAUUUCAACUUUUCCUGCGUCUGUUAAAACAUUCAGGAAAACAUGCAUUACUUAAUAAGACAUCUCACUCAAAGCCCAAACAUUUAAAAGAAACAAAUACAUGUAAAUGAUUGCACAUACCUGGGUUCCUUCCCAAAGUCGGUCAAUGUGGCUAUAUUGCAUGUCAAGUCCAACAAGAUUUUCGAAUUGAAAGUUGGAUGGCAAAGACUUGAGCGGGAAACAAGACCAGGAAAGAAACCUCAACUCACUAGAAACAAACUUUAAGGACCCAGUCAGGUGUUGUAUGCUGAAAGUACCGAUCUUGAGAAGUCUUAGUUUAGUCAUCCUAUCAAAAGCUUUAACAAUUAAGCAUCCCUCAUAUGAGUGCCCCAAAUCUAGGAUUAUGCUUUUAACUGUUUCUGUACCCUGUGCAAAUCAAAGGGAAGGAAAAAGCAGAGAACCUUAGUUUAGAUUAUGAAGUUAAUGGUUGUUUCUUAAGGAGUUGUUUGAUAAUAAUUUUGUUUUCACUUUUCACUUUUGUUUUGAUUAUUUAUUUAGAAAUCUGAAAAUUGAAAACAUAUAACUUGUUUGUAAUUGUUUUCAAUUUUCAAUUAUUAAAAAAAUGAAAAUUAAAAAUUAAAAAUGGAAACAAAAGUGGUUAUCAAACGAGCUUAAGAAAUUGAUUUUGGUCAAAAGUUGAAGCUUUCUACUAAACAUUGCAUAAGAAGAGAAAUUAUCACCGUAUUUUUAGUUAUCACAUGAAGAACAUCUUCAUAACUCCACAACCUACUUCGUUUCCCAGGCUCUUCGAUAGAUUCUUGCUGGACGAUUUUCCGACCCAUUUCCUCUAGUAAAUCAUGCAUCUCCAGUUCCCCCUUCCAUGAGACAGUUACUAGAGCUCGAUCGAUUAAAACUUUUAUUCCAAUAUCAGGAUAGGAACCACAGCUGUGCAGAACUUCGGUUGCAUAGUCUUUUCUCAUUCCUUUAAAGAAACAUGCAAUAUCUAGAAAGAUAUCCUUCUCCGUGUCAUCUAGUCCAUCGAAGCUUGUUUUAAGCACAUCAUGAAUUCCCUUUUGCGGGAUUUUCUUUAUUUUUUCUAACUCAUUUUCCCACUGGCGUACAUUUUUGUUAUCAAGAAAAGCUCCCAAGACUUUGAGUGCUAAAGGCAGACCUUGAGCAUAUUUUACAGCACGCCUCGAGAGAUCAUCAUAAUCUCUGUUGGGUUGGUUUUUUCUAAAGGCGUACCGCCUAAAGAGUUCCAGAGCUCCAUUAUCACUUAAAAUCUUGGGAUUAUAUAUCUCAUCAGCUAUGCUUAGUAAUUGCGAAUCUCUGGUUGUUAUAAUAAUUCUGCUUCCACCACCAAAGGAAUGUGGUUCUUUAAGUAAAGCUUCAAUUUGUUCUAAUUCUUCCACAUCAUCAACAACAAUAAGAACUUUUCUCCGACCUAGGCUAUUUAACACCACCUGGAAACCUUUAUUCGAAACGUCGGAACUCCCCACCUUGUUGUUCGAGAUACUCGAUAGAAGUUCUGCCUGCAUAUAUAGUUUGCCAUGCUUUAUGAAACCUUCCUUGAAAUUUUCAAGAAAGCAACAAGCUUUAAAUCCACCAGAGAUUUCAUCAUAAACAGCUCUAGCGAUGGUUGUUUUGCCUAAACCACCCAUACCCCAUAUUCCAACAAUGCGAACAUCAUUAGUUUCAACUCCAGGAGGAUACAAUAAUGAAUGCAUGUUAUGCAUAUGAGAGUCCAUUUCAACCAAGCCAUUAUCUUUGCUUGAUGAUGAUGAGAUGUGGAUCAAUUUCUUAAAAACAUCUUCUACAAUUUUCUCAAUAAGCUCUGCAUCAUCCCUGUCAAAUUUAAAAAACAAUAUAAUAACACCACCAAAUAAUACUUAAUGGGUCUUUUUCAUCUGUUAGUUUAAAAAAAAUAGAAAUUAAAACUAAAACUAAAAUCUAAACGUUAUAAAAAUCCCAAAAAUUAAUAGGAAACUAAAACAAAUUAGAAUUUACUCAUAUUUCGCGAAUCCCAGCCGGAUAAACUGGUGGCAAUUGUAAGAGCGGAUCUCCAGCUCUGAACCUCUUCCAUUUCAGCGUUAGAAUCACGAUCGUGCUGAGCAAAAGCUUCCUCGAAUUUUCUCUUGAGUUUACGAACGUCAGACGGAUCAACUUCAUAGAAAAUGGGGAGUACAAUCUGGUUAUUGGUAUCCUUGCAUUUCAAGAUUUGCACGAGUUCUUUCAAGCACCAAGUGGAAGAAGCAUAGUCUUGAGAGAAAACUACAAUCGAAAGCCUUGACUCUCGAAUCGCUGUCAGGAGCUCAGAAAGGUGGUCGCCUUUUCUGAGCUUCUCGGCAUCAAUGAAGGCGUUGAUUGGUUUCUUAACCAGAGCGUUGUAGAGAUGGCUGACGAAGCCCCUGCGAGUGUCUUCCCCUCUGAAAUUGAUGAACACAUCGUAUUUGCAACCAAGGCCAGAAGAAGAUGAAGAAGAAGAAGCAGCCAUUAUUAAUCGAUCGCACCUGGUCAGCGACGAUCGAGCAGCUAAGACUAAGAGAAUUGUAAGUACAGAGAUACUCAAUAGAUCUACAAAUUGGAUCACCGGAAAUUAGUCUGAUCGAUACCAAGUCAAUGAGUCAAUGCAAAAGUAAAAAGGGGAAAGGGAAAUUAUGCUUUAUGUUUUUUCACAUCUUCUUCGGGGAAAUUUCGGUGUGAAAGGAAUCUUAUCCUUUUGAUUUUUUAACCGAAGCAAAUGCGAAGAAAAGGGUCAAAGUGGUAAAUUGAAUAUACACUUGCCUAUCCAACAACCUCUUAAUUUAAUAUAUUUAAUUGAGAAAAGUAGUUUAGAGGAAGAGGUAUUCAUCAAUUCCCCAUAAACUUGUGACCAUUGGCCAAUUUUCCCCCUCAACUUUAAUUUUGGCCAAUUUCUUCCCUAAACUCUCAUAAUUAGUUAAUUUCCCCCAUCAACUUUAAUUUGGUCAAUUUCCCCCCUCAACUCUCAUAAUUAGUCAAUUUGCACCCUACUGUUAAUUUUUUAUUUAUUUUUCAUCUAUUCUUUUUUUUUUCUUUCAAUCUUUCUAAUAACUUCCAACAAAAUACUAAAAUUAAUAUAAACUCACCUGCAUAAUAUAGGGUAAAAUGUACAAAAACAUAAUACCAUUAGUAUGUGAUAUGGGUUGAUUAUAAGAAAAAGUUAUGAAUCGGGUUUAAAUCAUGUAGAAGAAGAAACAAUAAUCCUAAACUCAUGGAUCAGACCUAUUUCAAUAAAAUGGGUUAUUCUUAAUAAGGAGUCGAAAAUUAUGAAUUGACUAGCCAUUUUUGCACUAAACCUCGAUUCUCCGCAAUUUACUUGAACUUAGCUUUCACUUUUAUAAAGAAAAUUGUAUUCACAUACAAAAAUGUACACAUCAAUCCUUUUCGUUAUCAAUUUUGUAUAGUAAAAAAUCAAAUAAAAUUACUCCAUACUAAUUUAUUAUGACUAAUAAUACUAUUUAUGAUAAAUUGUAAAAUUCUAAAUUUUAAUCUAUUUGUAAUAGGAUAAAGACAUAGGAAAAUGAUUAACAUACAUCUUAUUUAGUUUCUUACACACACUUGUUUAAUUAUGAUCAAAUUAAAAAAUUAACAGUAGGGUGCAAAUUGACUAAUUAUAAGAGUUGAGGGGGGAAAUUGGCCAAAUUAAAGUUGAGGGGGGAAAUUGACUAAUUAUGAGAGUUGAGGGGGGAAAUUGGCCAAAAUUAAAGUUGAGGGGGGAAUUGGCCAAUAGUCACAAGUUCAUGGGGGAAAUUGAUGAAUACCUCUUAGAGGAAUGAUGGUAUCUCUUUUUCUUCUCACUCAAUCUUCCAGCAUGCGAUUUAAUCAUGAUUAAAGCCAAGCUUAAUAAUAGGUCGUAUUAUUUAGGUCGUUUUGGAUUAUAAGUUUUUGUUGUGAACUUGUGAUACGAUAGUUAGAAAAUUAAAAAAAUUAUAAUUUAAAUAUAUGUGGUGAAAUCUGUUAAGAUUUAGAUUCAAAAUUGAAAAUUUCAUUAACUUCAUUAAUUAUUAGCACACGAAGCUUACAAAUGAAAUAAAAAUAAUAAAAUUAGUCUCACAUGUAAUCUCUAUGCGCUAACAAUUAAUAGAGAGAUUCAUUUUAACCUAAAAUGUGUGACUUACGUACUAAUAAUUAACAAAAUAUUGACAAAAUUUUCAAUUUUAAGCAUAAAUCUUAAUAAACUUCAUCUCAUAAACUUAAAUCCUAAUUCAACAAUCUUCUCAUUACCUUACCACUGCAAACUACCUUGCCACUACAAAAAUUAUUAAUCAAAUUAAACUUAUUAUUUACUUACAAAUACGUAACUCAAUCACCGAAAGCUAUCUCCGUUGCUAUCUCCGUUUCUUUGCUGAGUGGACAGCUGUCUCUUUGUCUUCUUUUGGCAGAUAGCUACUAGACUCCUAGUGGCCGGCCUAUUUUCCACAGCUGGUUAUAGGACUCAGUUGCUAUUCAAGAAGUGUUAUGUUGUAAUUCAAUAUUGAUGGAAAUCCAACAGAAUCUUCUUCGAAUUGUUGUGAGCAUUUUGGGAUAUUUUUUAAUCAUAUUCAUUUAUCGUUGUGGGAUCAAUUUUAUUAAAUAUUAUUUAUGUUUAAUUUUAAAUAAAUAAAUUUAAAAUAAAUUUUUAUCGCACGAUAUACUAUGAACGAAUACGAUUCAUAGAUCUCCAAUAUCUUCACAAGAAGAAUCCAAAAGGAUCCGGAUUCAAUGGAAAUAAGCUAAUUUUGAAUCAAAUAACAUUACUUUAUUUUGUAAGUAAAUUAAUUUUAAAUCAAACAACAUUCAUUUAUUAUGUAGCUAAUUAAUUUUGUAUGUGUCAUCAUAUAUAUUAGGCACAUUUUAUUAUAGGUGAUUUUGUGGUAUUCAUUUUCAUUUGUAAGUAAGAGGUCUUAAGUUCGAUUUUCAUCAAAAACGAAUUUAAACUAUAUUAUUGCUAGUCCAUUAUGAGGCCUAACCCACCCUCCUCCCCCUUAGUGUAGAUAGAUCGUUUGUUCAAAAAAAUAUAUAAUCAAAAUAGAAUGUGAAGCGAAACAAUAGAUCAACAUUAUUUAUGUUAAUUAUAAAUAGGUCAACCAUGUAUGUGAUACUUAAAUCAUUUAAAAUAAAAUAAAAAUUACAAAAUCUGCCAUUACAGCUGGCACACACUUUAAUUAACACUUUCUUUCUCAUAAUUUUUAUAUUUGGAAUAAGUCAUACGAAUCAAAUACUACAAUGUAUUAUCUGUUUUUUAAUUCUAUUUUUUACAUUUGGAUUCAGACACUGCGUUGUAGUGUCCAUUUACUGAUUUUGUUUUUUCCAUCACUCACAUGCCUCCUAUAUGUUCCUUUGUACAUUUGGAUUUAGACAAUGCAAUGCAGUGUCUGUUUCUUGGUUCUGGUUUUCUCUUUUGGAUUCAAACGCUGCAUUGCAAUGUAUGUUUCCUAGUCCUAUUUCUUUCAUCAUCCACACGUCUCCUACACUUCACACUUUCAUGCGACUCCUGAUUUUUACAUUUAGAUUCAGACAUUGUAAUGCAAUGUUCAUUUCCUACCUUUGAUUUUUACAUUUAAAUCUAGGGUUAAACUCUGUUUACUACCCUAAUGUUUCGUGGUUUUCUACAUUUAGUACAUCAAAUUUUUUUCAUCCCAGAGUCAUACCUAAAGUGUUAAUUUUGGGACAGUCUCAUACAUCCAUUAGUCAAACUGUUAGUUCUCACGUUAAGUGAUGAUGUGGCGCCCAUGUGGACAAUGACUGGGCCCCACGUGUCAUUAAAAAAUAUUAAAAUAAUUAAUUAUGUAACACCCGCCCCCACUUAUAAAAUUAUAUGUGUGUAAUAUUCCCUAAAUAUUCUGAAUCUAUCAAUUUUACCCUUUUUGGACUACCCUAUCAGGAUCUAAACAUUGGAUCCUUCUUUCUUUUCAAACUGCCACGUGGCAGCUCCCUAGCAAUUUCCCUGUCUUCUCUCUCUGUCCCCCCCCCGUGACUCCUUCUUUCUCUUCUUCUUUUUCUGUUUUCUUUUCUUUCUUCUGUCUGUCUCUCUGUCCCUCCCGACUCUAUCUCUUUCUCUCGUCUCUCUCUCAUAGCUCCCUCAUCUCUCUUCUCUGCAGCAACCCGCACGCACGCACCCAUCUCCCCCGCGCGAAGAAGACCCAUCUCCUUCUUCUCUCUCCCUCUGUCCCGUGCUGCGAGCCCAGAAACCGGAGAGGAACUCCGGCGAAACCUUUAUUUUCCCGGUUGGGACGAAUCGAAGCCGGGUGUAAGCACACCCAACUCCGGCGAUCCCGAGGGUGUCGGGGCUUUUUCCGGCCAUCUCCGAUCGUUCCACGACGAAAGGAAGGUGCAAUUAUUAACGGUGAUUCUGUUAUACCUUCUUGGUAUAGCUUUGCACCGUUGGUGUACGGUGAGUGGACCCCUUCAAAAUCAUGUUUUAACAAUAGAAAUGCAUACAUGAAAAGCAUGAUUUAAUACUUAUGUUUUACGAAGUACUUUAUGAGAUAUAUGCUUACUGAGGCUAGAUUGAAUUAUUACUAUUUUUCCUAUAACCCAUGUUCUUAUAGAAUAUCCGAUGGAUGACGAUAUGAUAUUAGAACAUGUUUAGAACACCUCUUUGUAGUAUAGAUGAUGGAUGACUUUAUACUACGAAGUUGUUUUUCAAUAUGUUAUGCUCAAUGGUUUUGUACUUACCUAGUGGUCCUUUCCGCUACGGGACGUAGGGAUAGAUUCCGGUCCGUCCCGAGCGACGGUUUGGUGUUGGCAUAGGGCCUGGAGUGUGUUUCCUCUGGCUAUUUAGCACAGGGACGGGGAGCCGGCAUGGGGUCUGUAGUGUAUUUUCCUCUGACUGUCUGCUCAGAGACGGGGAGCUGGCAUGGGGCCUGUAGAGUAUCGGACAAUUCACUAGUGUUUAUUACUUAUACAAGUUAUGAAUUUGAGAUAUUGCACGGCAUGCUAGGUUUCGGAAAAUCUAUUUUGAUCAUGAUAUAUGUGUUUUCAUUAAACCUGGGGGUUAGUAUGUUGAUAACUGUUUUAUUAUAUUUAUAUCAAACUGGUCCACUCAUGUUUGUUUUGCGCCCCCUUCAGGACCUACGAACGAGGAUUACGAUAUAAGCUACGAGGCUUUUCCCUAUCAGUGAUCCAGUGCUAUACUUCUUCUGCUUCGAUAUCUUUUGUAAUAUAGCACAUCUCUAUUUUAAAUUCUGUUUGUACUCUGUAAUAGAUGUAUGCUUUGACAUUAUGCGUGGAUCCUAAUGUUGUAAUUAGAAGUUGAAUUUGUAGUAUUAUUGUGGCUAGUCUUGCUGCCUGUUUUAGCUUAUUUGUGAGUUUUUACUUAAAUUAAUGGCUUUCGUCACCCUUUGGGUGUCGGCCAGCACGUGAUAAUCCCGAUGUCACGAGGACAUCGGGAUCGGGGCGUGUCAGAUUGGUAUCAGAGCAUGAUUCAUUCAGAGCAUACUUAGGAUUCUUUUCCACCAUUUGGUAAUUAUAAUUCCCCUUAUAUCCUUAAUUUUCUGUUGUUCUAAAUCUUUCUUGUUUCUUAUCAGAAUUAUGGAUCCCGCUGGUGGGCAUGUACCUCGUCGAGCUCGUUUUGGUAUAGGGGGAGGACUUGAGCAAUUGGCUAAUGUUUUGCGAACUGCCCUUACUGGUAGAUCAUCGAAUCGCACCUAUAUUGAGAUUGCUACCAGUCAUGGUAUUCCAGAGCUUAAGGUAGUGGGAGCCUGUCCGGAGGCUGAGGAAUGGUUAGAGCAGGUGGAAGAUACUCUGGAGGGUAUGAGAUGUCCACCAGGUGAGUGGGCGGAGACUGCUGGGUUUUUUCUUAAGGGUCCUGCAAAGAUUUGGUGGAAAGGAGUGAAGCAUUCUCGUCCACGAGGCACUUCGAUGACUUGGGUGGCAUUCCGGAAAGCUUUCAGUGCACAUUUUCUGAGUCCCAGUUAUCAGUUGAGGAUGAGACAACAAUUUCUGGAGUUUCGUCAAGGCGAUCUGAGUAUCACAGAGAUGGAUAAUACUUUUCGACGCCUGUCGAGACACCAUCCGGUGACUUAUGAUAACCCGAGUGAGAAGAUGGUUCAGUUGCUGGUUUGUUUGAACCCUGAUUAUCGUGAACGAGUGGCAGCUAUAAGGCACAGAAGUUAUGAGGAAAUGAUUGAGACUUGUUUGAGGAUUGAACAAUCUAGGUGGGAGACUCAGCACCAGGAGGAGCAGGCGCAGUAUCAGGAACCACCCAGAUAUCAGGAACAACCUCGGAACCAGAACCAGAGAGGUCAUGGUUUUAGAUCUCGGAGUGUGAGGAAAUCUGGUAGCUCUUCUAACUUUGUUGGCCCUAGACACUCUCAUUCCUUCAAACGUCAGGGUCAAGGUUCAGGUUCUUCCAGCGAGGGUUCGGGUAAUGAAUCAGGGAGGCGAUAUUUCAGUCAUUUUCGAUCGCAGGUUACGUGCCACAGGUGUGGAGGCAUGGGACAUAUUGCCAGAUUUUGCCCUUCAGGACAGCCUGCUGAGAGUUAUGCAUCGGUGCCGAGUUAUGGUGGAGGGAGUAAUCCGAGUUCUAGCUAUGGAGGUAAUUACACUCAGAGUUAUGGUGGAAGUGGAAGUGGAAGUCAGAAUACCCAAUUUUCCACUCAGAGACAGCCGCAACAGUUUGGUGCAGCUUCGAGUAGCCGCUCUCAGGGGAAUCGAGCAGGCCGUAAUAAUCAAGGUUUCAGAGCUCGUGGUAACCGUAACAGUGGUGGAGGACGUCAGUUUCAUGGACGUAUCAACGCCAUGACACAGCAGGAGGCUGAUCAGGAUCCUCAAGUCAUUACCGGUAUGUUACUUAUUUGUGGUAACUGGGCGAGGGUUCUAAUCGAUCCGAGUGCUACUUUUUCUUUUGUGUCUUCAUCUUUUGCACCGAAUUUAAAUGCACCACCUACACCUCUUGGUUAUGAUAUGCUUGUGCAAAUGCCGCAAGGGGAUCUGUUUUGUGCUCAGUGGGAGUAUAAAAGUUGCCCAGUGGUAGUGGAAGGGGAAAUGAUGGAGGCUAAUCUGGUCCCUUUUCAUUUGGCGGAGUUCGAUGUGAUUUUGGGGAUGGAUUGGCUAUCCAGGCACCGGGCCUAUGUCGCAUGUUGGGAGAAAUCUGUGACGUUCAAUCGACCUGGACGACCGUCAAUCACAUUUCAGGGUGAGCGACGAAUCCUUCCUAGUAGUAUUAUUUCCGCUAUUCAGGCUACUAGAUUGUUGAGUAGGGGAUGUGUGGGAUUCUUAGCUCAUGUAGUAACGAGGGAUAAAUCUUCGUUACGUCCUAAGGAUGUGCCAGUGGUGAAGCAUUACACCGAUGUUUUCCCGGAGGAUUUACCAGGGUUACCGCCUGCGAGGGAAAUUGAAUUUACCAUCGAUUUACUUCCAGGAACAGACCCUAUCUCUUUAGCACCUUAUCGCAUGGCACCGGCGGAGUUGAGGGAAUUGAAGGUUCAACUUCAGGAAUUGGUGGAUAAAGGUUACAUCCAACCCAGUAUGUCUCCCUGGGGUGCUCCUGUUUUAUUUGUUAAAAAGAAGGAUGGAUCGAUGAGACUUUGCAUCGACUAUCGGCAGUUAAACCGGGUGACGGUGAAGAAUCGAUAUCCUUUGCCUCGGAUCGACGAUCUGUUCGACCAGCUGAAGGGUGCUCAGAUAUUCUCUAAGAUAGAUCUUCGCUCAGGUUAUCACCAGUUGUUAAUUCGGGAGGGAGAUGUACCGAAGACUGCUUUCCGCACUAGGUAUGGACACUUUGAAUUUCGUGUCAUGCCUUUCGGACUGACGAAUGCACCUGCAGCAUUCAUGGAUUUGAUGAACAGAGUUUUCAGACCGUAUUUGGAUCGGUUUGUGAUUGUGUUCAUUGAUGAUAUUCUGAUCUUUUCCAAGAGUGUCAGCGAGCACAAGAAGCAUUUGAGGUUGGUGUUGGAAAGGUUGAGCAGUGAGCAGUUGUAUGCUAAGUUUAGCAAGUGUCAGUUCUGGCUAACCCAAAUUAGCUUUCUCGGUCAUGUAGUAUCUGCUGAGGGGAUUAGUGUGGAUCCUCAGAAGGUGUCAGCAAUAACUACGUGGGAGCAACCGAGGAAUGUUACUGAAGUGAGGAGUUUUCUAGGUCUGGCUGGCUAUUACCGAAGAUUUGUUAAAGGUUUCUCAGCCAUUGCCUUACCUCUGAAUAAGUUGACUCGAAAGGAAGUGGAGUUUAAGUGGGAUGAAGAUUGUGAGCGGAGUUUUCAGGAACUGAAGCGAUGUCUUACUCAAGCUCCCGUUCUUACUCUUCCAGACGAUAGCGGUGAGUUUGAUAUCUACACGGAUGCAUCAUUAUCAGGUUUGGGUUGUGUACUGAUGCAGCAUGAUAAAGUCAUUGAUUAUGCUUCCAGACAGCUCAAAAUUCACGAGAGAAACUAUCCCACUCAUGAUUUGGAACUUGGUGCAGUAGUGUUUGCUUUGAAGAUCUGGAGACAUUACUUGUACGGUGAGAAGUGUCGUAUCUUUACUGAUCAUAAGAGCCUCAAGUAUAUCUUUACUCAGAGGGAUUUGAAUUUGAGGCAGAGAAGAUGGAUGGAACUUAUCACUGAUUAUAACUGCACGAUCGAGUAUCAUCCCGGACAUGCCAAUGUAGUGGCAGAUGCACUUAGUCGGAAAUAUCAUGGAUAGCUUGCAUCUCUCCAAGCUAUUCAUGUUCCACUACUAUUUUCUCUUCGAGAAACAGGCUUGUCGGUGAGACCGGGUGAGCAAUGAGCGUGGUUGGCAAAUUUCCAAGUUAGACCUGUUUUGGUGGAUAUAGUCAUAGAAGCUCAGGAGCUUGAUCAGGAGAGUGCCAACAUUAAGGUCUCGGUGGAAAAAGGAGAAGAGAAGCAUUUUAUCAUCCGAAGUGAUGGAGCCUUGAUGUGGGAAAACAGAUUGUAUGUUCCUCAUGAUAACGAAGCAGUGAAAAGAGCAAUUCUGGAUGAAGCACAUUUGUCAGCUUAUGCCAUGCAUCCGGGAAGUACUAAACUGUAUCGCACUAUCCGUCUGUUCUAUUAUUGGUUGGGAAUGAAGCGGGAUGUGGCGGAUUAUGUGAGUAGAUGCAUCAUUUGUCAACAAGUAAAGGCAGAGAGGCAAAGACCUGGAGGAUUGAUGCAGAAUCUUCCGAUACCAGCAUGGAAAUGGGAAGACAUCACCAUGGAUUUUGUGUAUGGUCUGCCGAGGACGCGGUCGAGAUUGGACGGCAUAUGGGUAAUUGUUGAUCGACUGACUAAGACCGCUCAUUUCUUACCUGUUCGACAGACCUAUUCAAUGGAGAAAUUAUCGAAGUUGUUCAUCGAUAAUAUUGUUAGACUUCAUGGUGUACCUGUCUCUAUUGUUUCAGACAGAGAUCCCAGAUUUACUUCCAAAUUUUGGAAAGCUUUUAAUACUGCCAUGGGUACUCAGUUGCUGUUUAGUACUGCUUAUCAUCCACAGACUGACGGUCAGUCCGAGAGGACAAUACAAACAUUGGAGGACAUGUUGAGAGUGUCUGUUCUUCAGUGGAAGGGUAGUUGGGAUAACUAUCUGCCGUUGGUUGAAUUUGCAUACAACAACAGCUACCAUUCGAGUAUUGGUGUGGCACCUUAUGAAGCCUUGUAUGGGAGAGUGUGUCGAACGCCGUUGUGUUGGGCAGAGGUCGGCGAGCGAGUAUUGUUGGGACCGGAGAUUGUAGACACUACCAAUGAGAACAUCCAGCUGAUAAAGAGAAAUCUCAAGGCAGCUCAAGACCGACAGAAAAGCAUAGCGGACAAACAUUCCAAAGAUCGUGAGUACAAGAUUGGUGACUUUGUAUUCUUGAAGUUGUCUCCCUGGAAGGGUGUGGUUCGUUUUGGUAAACGAGGAAAGUUGAGUCCUCGAUAUGUUGGUCCUUAUCAGAUUACGGAGAGAAUUGGUGCAGUUGCCUAUAGAUUGGAGUUGCCACCGGAGUUGUCUCAGAUUCACAAUGUUUUCCAUAUUUCUAUGCUUCGGAAAUAUGUAUCAGAUCCCUCUCAUGUUAUUCAGCUAGAGCCGCUGGAAGUAAGUCCGGAUGUUAGUUAUGUUGAAGAACCAGUGGCUAUUCUUGACCAGCAGAAUAAAGUGUUGAGGAACAAGGUCAUUCCGUUGGUGAAAGUGUUGUGGAGGAACCACGCUACUGAAGAAGCGACGUGGGAAACGGAAGACCUGAUGAGGAGUCAGUAUCCGUAUUUAUUUGCUUGAAGUUGUAAUUUCGGGGACGAAAUUUUUAUAAGGGGGGUAGAUUGUAACACCCGCCCCCACUUAUAAAAUUAUAUGUGUGUAAUAUUCCCUAAAUAUUCUGAAUCUAUCAAUUUUACCCUUUUUGGACUACCCUAUCAGGAUCUAAACAUUGGAUCAUUCUUUCUUUUCAAACUGCCACGUGGCAGCUCCCUAGCAAUUUCCCUGUCUUCUCUCUUUGUCCCCCCCCCCGUGACUCCUUCUUUCUCUUCUUCUUUUUCUGUUUUCUUUUCUUUCUUCUGUCUGUCUCUCUGUCCCUCCCGACUCUAUCUCUUUCUCUCGUCUCUCUCUCAUAGCUCCCUCAUCUCUCUUCUCUGCAGCAACCCGCACGCACGCACCCGUCUCCCCCGCGCGAAGAAAACCCAUCUCCUUCUUCUCUCUCCCUCUGUCCCGUGCUGCGAGCCCGGAAACCGGAGAGGAACUCCGGCGAAACCUUUAUUUUCCCGGUUGGGACGAAUCGAAGCCGGGUGUAAGCACACCCAACUCCGGCGAUCCCGAGGGUGUCGGGGCUUUUUCCGGCCAUCUCCGAUCGUUCCACGACGAAAGGAAGGUGCAAUUAUUAACGGUGAUUCUGUUAUACCUUCUUGGUAUAGCUUUGCACCGUUGGUGUACGGUGAGUGGACCCCUUCAAAAUCAUGUUUAACAAUAGAAAUGCAUACAUGAAAAGCAUGAUUUAAUACUUAUGUUUUACGAAGUACUUUAUGAGAUAUAUGCUUACUGAGGCUAGAUUGAAUUAUUACUAUUUUUCCUAUAACCCAUGUUCUUAUAGAAUAUCCGAUGGAUGACGAUAUGAUAUUAGAACAUGUUUAGAACACCUCUUUGUAGUAUAGAUGAUGGAUGACUUUAUACUACGAAGUUGUUUUUCAAUAUGUUAUGCUCAAUGGUUUUGUACUUACCUAGUGGUCCUUUCCGCUACGGGACGUAGGGAUAGAUUCCGGUCCGUCCCGAGCGACGGUUUGGUGUUGGCAUAGGGCCUGGAGUGUGUUUCCUCUGGCUAUUUAGCACAGGGACGGGGAGCCGGCAUGGGGCCUGUAGUGUAUUUUCCUCUGACUGUCUGCUCAGAGACGGGGAGCUGGCAUGGGGCAUGUAGAGUAUCGGACAAUUCACUAAUGUUUAUUACUUAUACAAGUUAUGAAUUUGAGAUAUUGCACGGCAUGCUAGGUUUCGGAAAAUCUAUUUUGAUCAUGAUAUAUGUGUUUUCAUUAAACCUGGGGGUUAGUAUGUUGAUAACUGUUUUAUUAUAUUUAUAUCAAACUGGUCCACUCAUGUUUGUUUUGCGCCCCCUUCAGGACCUACGAACGAGGAUUACGAUAUAAGCUACGAGGCUUUUCCCUAUCAGUGAUCCAGUGCUAUACUUCUUCUGCUUCGAUAUCUUUUGUAAUAUAGCACAUCUCUAUUUUAAAUUCUGUUUGUACUCUGUAAUAGAUGUAUGCUCUGACAUUAUGCGUGGAUCCUAAUGUUGUAAUUAGAAGUUGAAUUUGUAGUAUUAUUGUGGCUAGUCUUGCUGCCUGUUUUAGCUUAUUUGUGAGUUUUUACUUAAAUUAAUGGCUUUCGUCACCCUUUGGGUGUCGGCCAGCACGUGAUCAUCCCGAUGUCACGAGGACAUCGGGAUCGGGGCGUGUCAAAUUAAAUAAAAGUUAUAAAAAAAAAACCGAAUCUGCAACCCAGAAGAAGAACCUUCUGGGUACGUGUUUGCAGUUGCGGGGCGAAUUCUAGAUCUUAAUUGGAUUAUUAGUUUCUGUUGUAAUAUGGUAGUUAGAAGAUUAAAAAAAACUAUGAUUUAUGCUUCAUAUGCUAACAAUUAACAGAUAAUUAAUGAAAUUUUUAAUUUUAAAUCUAAAUCCUAACAUAUUUUACAAUAGAAGCUUAAAUCUUAAUUUACUCAAUCACAUGGAUUAUUUUAUAACUACCUUACUAUUAAUUCAAUUAAACCUAUUAUUUCUACGAAAACUAACAAAAAUUUCAAAAAAAACUUUAGUUUUAAUGAAAAAAGAAAAAUGAAGAUUUGGUAAAUAAUACCAAAAAAAAAAUAAAAAUAUAAAUUUUCAUUAAAAAUGAACAGCAUCAAAAGUGUUUUAUUAAUACUCCAAUUAUUUAUUUACAAAUACGUGACUAAAUGAAAGGGAGCACUCAAAAUGAUGAAAAGCAGGAGCACCGAAGGCUAUCUCCGUUUCUUUGUUGAGUGGACAGCUGUCUCUUCGUCUUCUUUUGGCAGAUAGCUCCUAGUGGCCAGCCUAUAUUCCACAGCUGGUUAUAGGAUUCGGUUGCUAUAUAAGAAGUGUUUUGUUGUAAUUCAAUAUCGAUAGAAAUCCAAUAGGAUCUUUUUCAAAAUUUUGUGCGGAUUUUGGUAUGUUCGUAAAUCGUAUUUGUUCAUAUUAUACGCUCAUUUUUCAUGGAAUAUUAUUUUUGUUUAAUUUUAAAUAAAAUAAUUUAAAAUAAUUUUUUAUUGUAACAUGUACAAUGAACGGAUAUGAAUUGAUUCACAGAUCUUCAAAAUCCUUACAAAGAAAAUCCAAAAAUAAUCCGAAUUCAAUGGAGAUAAGUUAAUUUUGAAUCAAAUAACAUUAGGAAAAAAAAUUAACAUUAGACGGUUUUAAAUAAUUUAUUGUAUAUUUUUAGGGAAUUGUUAUUAGCACUUUAAAAAUCUCAUUUUACACUCCAAACUUUUUAUAUUAGAAAAGAAAAAUACACUUAUGAGGAAUGUAGAAUAAGAUUUUUGAAUUAACCAUGCAAAAAUGUAAUGUUAAAGCAUCAUGUCAUACAGACCUCUUCAAGGUACCAGAAAUUUUUGCACUAAAGAUGUCACAAGCAGCUGAUAUGAAGCUGCAUUUUCUGUGAGUUGAAAUUUUGUCAAUAUAAUCGAUCACCUGAAGAGAGAGAGAGAGAGAAAGACAGUGAUGUCCAGAGAUGUGAGCCUAAAUGCUGAGUGUGUAAAAAAAGAAGAUUAAAUGGAUAGCAAGAAUAUACAACUUUAAUGCUGAAAAGAACAUUGAAUAUGAUGCUCAUUCAUCAUUGCCAUUGAACGUGUACCUUCUUCUUUUCCUCUUUCUCAAAAGCAAGUAGAGCCUUGAAGACUUGCCUAUAUGAUCCAUCAUCACAACCAGGCAAAGUUGUUUUAAUCAUAGCAACAAUGGCUCUAACUAACUACCUGCCAUAAGAAACAUGCUACAUCAACAAGAUCACAGAGUGUACCAGAAACCGUAAUGUAGCAAAAUCUUAGAUAAAAUAGCUGGCCAAAAGGGAAUGGAAAAGCAAGCACAAAAAACAAUGAAAAGGACCAGUGAUGCCAAAAUUCUGGUGGAAAAGGUGAAAAGCUUAUGUCUAUUACAGUUCUUGUAUGCAUUCUUUAUAACUUAAGUUCUACGUAGCAAAAACCACCUUAUGCACAACAAUAUUGGAAAAAUUAGAUACAUACAACUGAGAAGAUAGGUUUUCAUAAUCUGGACAAGUGCUAACUACCUUCUUCCUAUAAACUGCCACUCCAUGAACAUUAAAUGGUAUUUUCCUUUCACGCAAGGCUGUCUGGAAGACUUUUCCUGAUACCUGUAGAAUAAAUUACAAAAGAAAAUGUGACCAAAAUGUCUUAUAUGAUUCACCUCAUUCACAUUAGCACUAAGGCAAGUAAGCUUGACCUGCCUCCGGUAAAGGAUUGCUAUAUUUCCAUAGGAGCACCCUGCUUCUGACCGUUUAGAUGCAGUCUCCAGGAUCUUGUCGACAACAAAGGCGCAUUGUGCAUCCUCAUUGUGACUUUCCUUGAUAAUUACCUACAUUUUGCCAGUAAAACCAGUGUCACUAACUAAAAGGACUGAAAAAUGACAUCAAAUUGUACUUGUUGGAGCAAGGAAAGAUUAAGUACCUUAGACCCAGAAGAAUUGUCCGUGUCAACAUUCUUUAGUUGGCAUCACUUCUUAUUGUUUUUUAUAACAGAAGAUGCAGCUUCCACACAAUAUAGCGUGUGGACCGAAAGUUCUUAUUAAGCCUAAUCUGAACCAUAAAGUUAUGUCAAAUCCCACAGAACCCCAUAAAAUAAAACUUACUUUCCUGUAAUUGUACAAUAUAUUUGUUCUAUACUAUAUAUAACGAAAAAAGACACCGUGAAUGACAUAAGAUAACAUAGCAGUCAAGUGCGAAGCGAACCUCUUUGUAAUUUGAAAAAUCUUUACGAAAAGAAUCAAAUCCAGAAAUGUCCGCCCCAUUGAAACUGAAAAUGGACUGCAGCAGGAUAUAUGUUAUUUGAUUUAGAACAGAUAAGGGCUGGAUUAGAAUGAGCUGAGAGAGGGAGAGAGGGAGAGACGGAGCAAUAACAUUGGAUUUCCAUAAUAAAUCAACAACAUGCCUGAUCAUCAUCACCAACAAUGGUUAUGUGGUUAUGAGAGGCGAGAAUCCGCAAAAGUCUAUAUUGCAUAGCACUUGUGUCUUGAAACUCGUCUAUUACAAUAGCUUUCCAUGACUCCUGGCACUCCUUCAACACUAAUUAAGAGAACACCAUGUAUCAACAUUUAGCAUUACUUGUAAAACUAGAUAAAUCAAUGAAAUAUACUUAGAUGAUAGAGACCUUCAGGAAAAUCACUUAGCAGCUUCACAGAGCAGCUAAUUAAGUCGUGGUAGUCCAAAGCGUUGCACGAUUUCAAGAUAUCAUUGUAAUUCCUAAGAAUUUCACCCUGAUUCAGAUUGAGAGCUAAAACUCAUAAGCAAUAGUUUCAAAGAACUGAAAUGAUAUCUGAAAUUCUAGUUCUGAGCGUACUCCUGUCACAUCACCCAUUCUUUGGCAUUCAGCGGGAGUUCUUUCCAGAAGCUUUUGCCUGAAACAUAAAUAAAUUUAUUGCCUAAUGCCACAUAUUGUAAGACACACCAUUGUAUUGGUCACUCUAGCUAAGCACAAUGAGCUUCAGUGGCAUACGGCGGUCACACAACACGCCGGAUGCACUCUUCCACUUCAUCCAUCCAGCUUGUAUUCUAUGGUUGAGAUCUCCAUCUAAUUCUCCGUUCUUUUGCAAAAUAGAUCCUAGGUAACGAAAACGGUCGCUCUUUGAUAUUUCUUGAUCUCCGAUCCUCACCCCUAAAUCGUUUUGGCCUCCAUUUGCACUGAACUUGCACUCCAUAUAUUCUGUCUUUGAUCGGCUUAGGCGAAAACCUUUAGAUUCCAACACUUCUCUCCAAAGGUUAAGCUUUGCAUUUACCCCUUCCUGAGUUUCAUCUAUCAACACUAUAUCGUCUGCGAAAAGCAUACACCAAGGAAUAUCACCUUGAAUAUGUCCUGUUAACUCAUCCAUUACCAACGCAAAAAAGGUAAGGACUUAAGGAUGAGCCUUGAUGUAAUCCUACAGUUAUGGGAAAGCUUUCGGUUUGUCCUUCAUGAGUUCUUACGGCAGUCUUUGCUCCUUCAUACAUAUCUUGUAUAGCUUGGAUAUAUGCUACUCGUACUCCUUUCUUCUCUAAAAUCCUCCAAAGAAUGUCUCUUGGGACCCUAUCAUACGCUUUUUCCAAAUCUAUAAAGACCAUGUGUAAAUCCUUUUUCCCAUCUCUAUAUCUUUCCAUCAAUCUUCGUAAGAGAUAGAUUGCCUCCAUGGUUGAGCGCCCUGGCAUGAACCCGAAUUGGUUGUCCGAAACCCGUCUCUUGCCUCAAUCUAUGCUCAAUGACUCUCUCCCAGAGCUUCAUUGUAUGACUCAUUAGCUUAAUACCACUAUAGUUCAUGCAAUUUUGUACAUCGCCCUUAUUCUUGUAGAUAGGCACCAAAGUGCUAAUUCGCCACUCAUUCGGCAUCUUCUUCGUUUUCAAAAUCCUAUUGAAAAGGUCAGUGAGCCAUGUUAUACCUGUCUCUCCCAAAACUUUCCACACUUCGAUUGGUAUAUUGUCUGGGCCUACUGCUUUUCUAUGUUUCAUCUUCUUCAAAGCUACAACCACUUAUUCCUUCCGGAUUCCACGAUAAAAAAAGUAGUUUCUACACUCUUCUGAGUUACUCAACUCCCCUAAAGAAGCACUCAUUUCAUGUCCUUCAUUGAAAAGAUUAUGAAAAUAACCUUUCCAUCUGUCUUUAACCGCGUUCUCUGUAGCAAGAACCUUUCCAUCCUCAUCCUUAAUGCACCUCACUUGGUUUAGGUCCCUUGUCUUCUUUUCCCUUACUCUAGCUAGUUUAUAGAUAUCCAACUCUCCUUCUUUGGUAUCUAGUCGCUUAUACAUAUCGUCAUAAGCCGCUAACUUAGCUUCUCUCACAGCUUUCUUCGCCUCUUGCUUCGCAUUUCUAUACCUUUCACCAUUUUCAUCGGUCCUAUCCUUGUAUAAGGUUUUACAACAUUCCUUCUUAGCCUUCACCUUUGCUUGUACCUCCUCAUUCCACCACCAAGAUUCCUUUUGGUGUGGGGCAAAGCCCUUGGACUCUCCUAAUACCUCUUUUGCUACUUUUCGGAUACAACUAGCCAUGGAAUCCCACAUUUGAUUAACUUCCCCCUCUCUAUCCCACACACACUGGGUGAUUACUUUCUCUUUGAAAAUGGCUUAUUUUUCUUCUUUUAGAUUCCACCAUCUAGUCCUUGGGCACUUCCAAGUCUUGUUCUUUUUUCUCACUCUUUUGAUAUGUACAUCCAUCACCAACAAGCGAUGUUGAUUAGCCACGCUCUCUCCUGGUAUAACUUUGCAAUCUUUACAAGUUAUACGAUCCCCUUUCCUCAUUAGAAGAAAAUAUAUUUGUGUUUUUGACGACCCACUCUUGUAGGUGAUCACAUGUUCUUCUCUCUUCUUAAAGAAGGUGUUGGCUAAGAAGAGAUCAUAUGCCAUUGCAAAAUCCAAGAUAGCUUCCCCAUCCUCGUUUCUCUCCCCAAAACCAUGGCCACCAUGAAAACCUCCAUAGUUGCCUGUCUCCCUGCCCACGUGUCCAUUUAAAUCUCCUCCUAUAAAUAACUUCUCCGUCUGAGCAAUUCCUUGCACCAAGUCUCCAAGGUCUUCCCAAAAUUUCUCCUUCGAACUCGUAUCCAACCCUACUUGAGGUGCGUACGCACUAAUCACAUUGAUAAGUUAUUGUCCUAUUACAAUCUUGAUUGCCAUGAUUCUAUCUCCUACCCUCUUGACAUCUACAACAUCUUGUGUCAAGGUCUUGUCCACGAUGAUGCCAACACCGUUUCUCGUUCUAUUUGUGCCCGAAUACCAUAGUUUAAACCCUGAGUUUCUAGAUAUAUAUAUAUAUAUAUAUAUAUAUCAAAUGGCCCCUAAAUGCUAUUAAAAAUCUCAAAAAUUAACAGGAAACUAAAACAAAUUAGAAUUUAUUCAUGGUUUCGCAAUUCCCAGCCGGGUAAACUGGUGGCCGUUGUAAGAGAGGGCCUCCAGCCGGAUAAACAUUUUCGAGUUAUAUGAUAUUUGUAUAGCAAAAAUACUUUAAUAGCAAGUGCGCGUGAGUGAAGAAAUUGAACUUACUUAUAUUCUUUCGAAUCCCAACCGGAAAAAUUGCAGGCUCUGGGAAGAGCGGACCUCCAGCUCUGCACCUCCUUCACGUCAACGUUAGAACGACCUUCAUGUUUAGCAAAAGCUUCUGCAAAACUUCCCUCGAGUUUACGAAUAUUGGACGGAUCGACUUGGUAGAAAAUGGGGAAUACAAUCUGGUUCUUGGAAUGGUUGCAUUCCAAGAUUUCCACGAGUUCUUUCAAGCACCAUGUGGAUGAAGCAUAGUUUUCAGAGAAAACUACAAUCGAAAUCCUUGACUCUCGAAUCGCUGUCAGGAGCUCGGAAAGGCGGUCGCCUUUUCUGAGGUCUUCGGCAUCAAUGAACGUGUUGAUUGGUUUCUGACGCAGAGCUUUGUAGAGAUGGCUGACGAAGCCCGUGCGAGUGUCUUCCCCUCUAAAAUUGAUGAACACAUCGUAUUCCCAACCAAGGCAAGAAGAAGAAGAAGAAGCAGCAAUUAAUCGAUCGCACCUGGGCAGCGAUGAUCGAGCAGCUUAAGACUAAGAGAAUUGUAAGUACAGAAACACUCAAUAGAUCUACAAAUUGGAUCACCAGAAAUUAGUCAAUGAGUCAAUGCAAAAGGGAAAAGGGCAAUUAUGCUUUUUGCGUUUUCACAUCUUCUUCAGGAAAUUUCGGUGUGAAAGGAAUCCGCAUACUUUUGAUUUUUCAACCCAAGAAAAUGCGAAGAAAGGGGACAAAGUAGUAAAUUUAAUCUACAGUUGCCUACCCAACAACCUCUUGAUUUAAUAUAUAUUUAAUUAGGAAAAGUAGUUUAGAGGAAGGAUGGUAUCUCCUUUUCUUCUCUCUCGAUCAGUCAAUCUUCCCGCGUGCGAUUUAAUCAUGAUUAAAGCUAAGCUUAAUCUUAGAUCGUAUUAUUUAGGUCUAAUUGGAUUCUUAAUUCUUGUUGUGAUAUAGUAGUUGGAAGAUUAAAAAAAAUUAUGAUUUAAAUGUUUGUGGUGAAGUCUGUUACGAUUUAGUUUCAAACUUGAAAAUUUCGUUAACUCCGUUAAUUAUUAGCACAUGAGACUCACAAAUGAAACUAAAAAUAUAAAGUUAGCCUCACAUGUAAUCUUCACGUGCUAACAAUUAAAAGAGAGUUCCGUUUUAGCUUAAUAUAUGUGACUCACGUGUUAAUAAUUAACGGAAUAUUAACAAAAAUUUUAAUUUUAAGCAUAAAUUCAAAUAAACUUCACCACAUAAGCUUAAAUUCUAAUUUAGAUAUCUUCUAACUAUCUUAUCACCAUAAAAAUUAUAAUCAAAUUAAACUUAUUAUUUAUUUAUAAAUGCGUAAUUAAAUCACAAAGUGUUGAAUGAAAGGGAGCACUCCAAAUGAUGAAAGAUGUGUGAUAUCCACACAUCUUUUUUUUUACUUUUUACACAUCGUUUUAAUUUUCGACUGUCGGAUCGAAUUAAUUGAAGAAAAUCAAAGGAUAAAAAUCAACAAAGGGUGUGCAAGAAGUAAAAAUGAGUGUGUGGAUAGUCAUCCCAUGAAAAGCGGGAGCAUCGAAAGCUAUCUCCGUUUCUUGUUGUCUAUUUGUCUUCUUUUGGCAGAUAGCUCCUAGGGACCGGCCUAUUUUCCACAGCUGGUUAUAGGACUCAGUUACUAUAGAAGGAGUGUUUUGUUGUAAUUCAAUAUCGAUGGAAAUCCAACAUAAUCUUUUUCAAAUUUUUGUGAGGAUUUUGGGGUGUACGUAAAUUGAUUAUGUUCAUCGUAUAUUAUGUGACCAUUUUUUAUCAAAUACUAUUUGUGUUUCAUUUUAAAUAAAAUAAUUUAAAAUAAUUUUUAACUGCAAGAUGUACAAUGAACGGAUAUAAUUCACAAAUCUCCAAAAUCCUUACAAAAAAAUCCGAAAAAGAUCCAAAUUCAAUGGAAAUAAGCUAAUUUUGAAUCAAAUUACAUUACUUUAUUUUGUAAAUAAAUUAAUUUUGAAUCGAACAACAUUCAUUUAUUAUGUAAGUAAUUCAUUUUGUAUGUAUCAUCAUAUAUAUUAGGCACAUUUUAUCAUAGGUGAUUUUGUGAAAAAUUAAUAAAAAGUUACAAUAUUAACAAUAGAUCAAUAAUAUUUAUGUUAAUUAUAAAUAGGUUAACCAUAUGUUGUGAUACUUAAAUACAUUUAAAAUAAAUAAAAAUUACAAAAUCUGACAUCCACUGCGACGUAGGAGCCACGGUGCAGCCCAAACUUUGCAGAUAAGAAAUCUGGUAAUUCACAGCAUGACAAACAAAUUACUGGGUCUCCUGACCAUCGUUGAUGCCAAUGUGUGCACAAGGAAAGGAGUAAGGUAAUCAAAUGCGUUAGUCUUGUGUACCUGUUUCGGUGUUGGUUUGGAUGAACCCAUUGAGUUCUCGAUCCUUAACUUCUGGAAAUGCUCCUGAAAGCAUAAAUAUAUGUACGGAUUUAAACCAAUGACAAAUGGACAUAAUUUACGGACAAUGAUUGAAGAAAAUACAGAUAUAAACGCCUCAGUAUUCCAUUGACGAAAGUUCUAGAUUUGAUGAAUCAAAAGUCCCACGUUGAGACUGCGUUAAGGCAAAUGGUUCUCAAAACCUGUUUUUCCCUCAUCAAAUGAGCGCGUUGAUCUGCAGGUAUUUUCUGCCAUCUCAAAACCUGUUACAAAGAAAUAUAACGUUGAUGUCGAGCUGGAUAGCAUAUUAUACCAAUUAUGUGUACAAACCUAUUGAAAUAAAGUAGCUGUAGUUGCAUAUUACGACAGAUAUUAACGAAAACAAAAGAAGGCUCGCCUAUUCAAGAUCCUAAAUCCCGUGAUUCUUUUGUUUUUAGUUUCAGAAAUUUUCAGAGCAAACUGGAAAGUACCAAGAUACUUACAUAUUGGGCAUAAUGAAAUGCAUCUUCAUCUUUCAAGCAAGAUUUGAGUGAGCGCAAACCGUCCUGAGAGUUACAUAAGUCAAUCAGUAAUAUAAAAACGUAGACGCAUCACAUCCAAACACAAGUAUUCAAACACCAACAACUUCUUCAUGCGGUGAGGCAUGUUAAAAAAUAGGGAAGAACAGUUAUUGAAUAGGAAGUUAAAGGACUAAAUUUAUGACCUUGUGUUUGUAGUUCUUGGCUCGUAUGCGUUCAUCUAUUACAAAACCAAUCUGUAACAGGUACAACAGAAAAUAUAAGCAGUAGUCAGAACAUUAAUCUUCGGCAUUCACAUUGCCACCAAUCCAAAGUUAAAAGUCUGAAGGCAAAACAGUAUGAUUCUUAUCUCUCAAACAAAAAUGAAACUAUACCCCGGUCUCAGACAUAAAUGAAAUAAGUUCUACUGCCUCAACUGAGUACUGUGAUUAUAUAUAAAUCCAAUUCACCUUGUCAAGUAAUCUCUUAGGAUCUUGAAAUGCUUCCUUCUUAGCCCAGUCAUUAAAUACAUGCGAGAAAAUUGAUCUCUCAUCCACACUGAAUCUAUUGCACAGUGACAGAAGAAUAAAGUUAAACAUGAACAUAACCAACCAAAAUGCUAGUUAUAAUAGUACACCCAUAAUUGCAAGCAAAACCUUUUUAAGAAGCCAUUUCCAUGGUUUUCCUCCCAAAUUCCAUCAAUUCUGCAGAGGCAACGUCAAAUUUACUAUGAUGGAGAUCAUUUUGCACUGUAAUAACUUCAGAAGGUAGGAGAUUUGGUUUCAGAUCAUCUGUUGACGGAGUAGUUUCUUUUGAAGUGUCAUGAUGCUUUUGAUUGCAAGCCUUCUGUACUUACGUCAGCCUACAAAACAAAAAUUGCAUUCAUCCACACUAGACUUAAUAAGAUUAGAAACACUUCAGAUUCUUCAUUAUUUGUAUUUUUGACUAAACAGCAGAACAACUGAGGAUAAUGAACAGUAAUACACACCUGGACUUCUCGUAGAUGAUUUGGAAUUUCUUUCAGAAAUCGCGAAGGUUGAAGCAUCUGAAGGAGUCACCUUCUCAGUCAGAGCAACAACAACAAAUAAGGAGGACAGGAAUUCAAGCUAAAACGAACCUGCCAACUGGAAUCCAUCGUAACAUAAAGAAUGAAAAGCUUUUUUCGAGCACGAGUCAUUGCAACAUAUAAUAGGCGUCUCUCCUCCUAUGAUUAGAGUGGGAUUAUUGAGUUAUUGACCAAAAGAAAAAAGAGUGGGAUUAUUGUGAAAAACAUGUCAAAGCUCUGCAUAUAACUGAAAAAUGUUGAACAAUUUACCACACACCUCAAUGGAGGUCCCAUUUUCUUUUGCAACCCCAUUGAAUUCAUGCAACAACGGGAUCUCAGAUUCAUUUACCUGUGUUAUUGGCAUGAGCAUUAAAGCAAGCUAAGAUGAUUUGAAGAGGUUGAUAUCGUCAUGAAUAUAGUAGAACAGAAUACCAAUUUCAAGCCAUCAAUUAGGUAUAGCAUUGGCAUGUUUAAUCCGUAAAUCUAAUGACAGAACACCUCAACUCUACACAUAAAUAAAUAAACAACCUGAAAAAUAUUACAGCCACAUGUUAAGGCAAAUACCUUAAUUAUGAAAACUAUAUCCCACUCUAAACCUUUUGACUGCAAGAGAAUGAAAAAGAAAGACAGUAAGCCAAGAAUGUUUUGUAGAACUCCAAAGGAAGUCCAAUAGGGAAAUCAUCGCAAGUAUAAGAGUUAGCGAGGUUCGCAUAAGAGGAUAUCAAAAAGAUCUAGAACCUGAUGAAUAGUAGUCAAAGUGACAGAACUUUGGUUGUCAUGUCUUCGGGAGUGAAAAUUUUCACUCUCCUGCUCAGAUAUGUAGUCGAUGAAAGCUUUGAGUAAAUUAACGCAGCCUUUUUCUUCUGCUACGACUUCUCUCUCCCCUUUUCCCGCAACAAAAUGAGUUGAUAAGAAAUCAGAUACGUCGUCUAGUAGGUACUGAAGAACCUGCAAUGAGAAUAAUCGCAUCACAGCAACAGGGUUGGACCAAGAUUUAAGUGACAACAAUGAUUAACUAACUAAAAUAGAGAAAUUAUUCAUUUAAGACCUUGUUGACGGAAAAAAGGGUUUUCCAAGCAGCGGGUCAUUUAAGCUUAUUGUAUAAAUGACAAUCAUCACAAACGGCAAACUUACAGAUCUCACGUCAUUGUCUUCAUUCAGCAGUUUUCCUCCAUCUACAUCAACGACUGCACGUUGCUCAAGACGGUACUUCUAAAAAUUGAAAGUCAACAACAACAACAACAACAACAACAAAGCCUUUUCCCACUAAGUGGGGUCGGCUAUAUGAAUCCUAGAACGCCAUUGCGCUCGGUUUUGUGUCAUGUCCUCCGUUAGAUCCAAGUACUCUAAGUCUUUUCUUAGAGUCUCUUCCAAAGUUGUCCUAGGUCUUCCUCUACCCCUUCGGCCCUGAACCUCUGUCCCGUAGUCACAUCUUCGAACCGGAGCGUUAGUCGGCCUUCUUUGCACAUGUUCAAAAUCACCGGAGCCGAUUUUCUCUCAUAUUUCCUACAAUUUCGGCUACUCCUACUUUACCUCGGAUAUCCUCAUUCCCAAUCUUAUCCUUUCUCGUGUGCCCACACAUCCCACGAAGCAUCCUCAUCUCCGCUACACCCAUUUUGUGUACGUGUUGAUGCUUCACCACCCAACAUUCUGUGCCAUACAACAUCGCUAGCCUUAUUGCCGUCCUAUAAAAUUUUCCCUUGAGCUUCAGUGGCCUACGACGGUCACACAACACGCCGGAUGCACUCUUUCCAUCCAGCUCGUAUUCUAUGGUUGAGAUCUCCAUCUAAUUCUCCGUUCUCUUGCAAGAUAGAUCCUAGGUAGCGAAAACGAUCGCUUUUUGUGAUCUUCGCUAGAUUUCUCCGGUCAUUAGUGUGGAUAAGUAUAUAAAUGGAUAGAGAUAGGAAAGCAAACACAAGAUGUACGUGGUUCACCCAGAUUGGCUACGUCCACGGAAUAGAAGAGUUCUCAUUAAUUGUGAAGGGUUUACACAAGUACAUAGGUUCAAGCUUUCAUUUAGUGAGUACAAGUGAAUGAUUUUAGUACAAAUGACAUUAGGAAAUAUUGUGGGAGAAUGAUCUCGUAAUCACGAAACUUCUAAGUAUCGGAGUGUGGUGUCGUCUUGACUUGCCUUAUCUGUCUCAUAGGUAGAUGUGGCAUCUUCUCUGGAAGUACUCUUCCUCAAACGAUAAAUUAUUAAGAAGCAUUGAAUAUAAGCAUGAAACGAAGAAAAUGUUAUGGAAUGGUGAUCCUCAUCCUCAAAGAUGAUUAAAAGCAAUUUGAUUCAAAAAUGACAUAUCAACUCUGGAGAAAUGGAAGACAAACCUGUGGUACCAUAUUCGCAACUGAGGUUAUGACAGCUGAAAUCGAUUGUUCCUGUGUGCAUUGAUAAGUGAGACUACCAUAGAGAUUCACAACUAAAUAAAGACAGGUAUUCCACAGAACAACCUUUACCUCUUUGGAAACACAGAUCUAACAAAAACUAUAACAUUUUGGAUUAAUAUUGACAAAUCAAGAAUAAUGCAAGGGAGCAAGAGAUACUCUUCCUUCUAAUAACAAGGAGGCGUGAAAAGUAUACAGAGUUCCAACAAUUAGAGAACUAAAAUCAAACUAAAAAAAUCACCAAAGUAGACAGAAUCUCACUUCGCCAAAAAUUUGAAAAUAUACCUUUUUAUCCAUUGAGAUUCAUGAACUACUACUACUACAUCAUGCCAAUAAGCAAUGCGUAAGAGGAGCUACAAUUUACCGAAUAUAUUUACCCUGAGAACAAGUUUUGAAAUCAUCUCUAGUGUUAACAGCACCUUGCGUCCUUGGGUAAGCUGAGUCCUAUUAUCAAGUAAAGAGACCAAUCAGUACAUAUCCAAAAGAUCUUAAAUGCUUGUAAUACCAAAUAAGAAAGAAACAUGAGUAUAUCUUGAAUUAACCAUGCAAAAAUGUAAUGUUAAAGCAUCUUGUCAUACAGACCUCUUCAAGGUACCAGAAAUUUUUGCACUAAAGAUGUCACAAGCAGCUGAUAUGAAGCUGCAUUUUCUGUGAGUUGAAAUUUUGUCAAUAUAAUCGAUCACCUGAAGAGAGAGAGAGAGAAAAAGACAGUGAUAUCCAGAGAUGUGAGCCUAAAUGCUGAGUGUGUAAAAAAAGAAGAUUAAAUGGAUAGCAAGAAUAUACAACUUUAAUGCUGAAAAGAACAUUGAAUAUGAUGCUCAUUCAUCAUUCCCAUUGAACGUGUACCUUCUUCUUUUCCUCUUUCUCAAAAGCAAGUAGAGCCUUGAAGACUUGCCUAUAUGAUCCAUCAUCACAACCAGGCAAAGUUGUUUUAAUCAUAGCAACAAUGGCUCUAACUACCUGCCAUAAGAAACAUGCUACAUCAACAAGAUCACAGAGUGUACCAGAAACCGUAAUGUAGCAAAAUCUUGGAUAAAAUAGCUGGCCAAAAGGGAAUGGAAAAGCAAGCAUGAAAAACAAUGAAAAGGACCAGUGAUGCCAAAAUUCUGGUGGAAAAGGUGAAAAGCUUCUGUCUAUUACAGUUCUUGUAUGCAUUCUUUAUAACUUAAGUUCUACGUAGCAAAAACCACCUUAUGCACAACAAUAUUGGAAAAAUUAGAUACAUACAACUGAGAAGAUAGGUUUUCAUAAUCUGGACAAGUGCUAACUACUUUCUUCCUAUAAACUGCCACUCCAUGAACAUUAAAUGGUAUUUUCCUUUCACGCAAGGCUGUCUGGAAGACUUUUCCUGAUACCUGUAGCAUAAAAUACAAAAGAAAAUGUGACCAAAAUGUCUUAUAUGAUUCACCUCAUUCACAUUAGCACUAAGGCAAGUAAGCUUGACCUGCCUCCGGUAAAGGAUUGCUAUAUUUCCAUAGGAGCACCCUGCUUCUGACCGUUUAGAUGCAGUCUCCAGGAUCUUGUCGACAACAAAGGCGCAUUGUGCAUCCUCAUUGUGACUUUCCUUGAUAAUUACCUACAUUUUGCCAGUAAAACCAGUGUCACUAACUAUAAGGACUGAAAAAUGACAUCAAAUUGUACUUGUUGGAGCAAGGAAAGAUUAAGUACCUUAGACCCAGAAGAAUUGUCCAUGUCAACAUUCUUUAGUUGGCAUUGCUUCUUAUUGUUUUUUAUAACAGAAGUUGCAGCUUCCACAAUAUAGCGUGUGGACCGAAAGUUUUUAUUAAGCCUAAUCUGAACCAUAAAGUUAUGUCAAAUCCCACAGAACCUCGUAAAAUAAAACUUACUUUCCUGUAAUUGUACAAUAUAUUUUUUCUGUACUAUAUAUAAUGAAAAAAGACACUGAAUGACAUAAGAUAACAUAGCAGUCAAGUGCGAAGCGAACCUCUUUGUAAUUUGAAAAAUCUUUACGAAAAGAAUCAAAUCCAGAAAUGUCCGCCCCAUUGAAACUGAAAAUGGACUGCAGCAGGAUAUAUGUUAUUUGAUUUAAAACAGAUAAGGGCUGGAUUAGAAUGAGCUGAGAGAGAGAGAGAGAGAGGGAGAGAGGGAGAGAGGGAGAGAGGGAGAGAGGGAGCAAUAACAUUGGAUUUCCAUAACAAAUCAACAACAUGCCUGAUCAUCAUCACCAACAAUGGUUAUGUGGUUAUGAGAGGCGAGAAUCCGCAAAAGACUAUAUUGCAUAGCACUUGUGUCUUGAAACUCGUCUAUUACAGUAGCUUUCCAUGACUCCUGGCACUCCUUCAACACUAAUUAAGAGAACACCAUGUAUCAACAUUUAGCAUUACUUGUAAAACUAGAUAAAUCAAUGAAAUAUACUUAGAUGAUAGAGACCUUCAGGAAAAUCACUUAGCAGCUUCACAGAGCAGCUAAUUAAGUCGUGGUAGUCCAAAGCAUUGCACGAUUUCAAGAUAUCAUUGUAAUUCCUAAGAAUUUCACCCUGAUUCAGAUUGAGAGCUAAAACUCAUAAGCAAUAGUUUCAAAGAACUGAAAUGAUAUCUGAAAUUCUAGUUCUGAGCGUACUCCUGUCACAUCACCCAUUCUUCGGCAUUCAGCCGGAGUCUUUCCAGAAGCCUUUGCCUGAAACAUAAAUAAAUUUAUUGCCUAAUGCCACAUAUUGUAAGACACACCAUUGUAUUGGUCAUUCUAGCUUGAUUGUAGCUAAUAUUUUUUAAAUCGAAUGAUUAGAGUUCUUAAUCCACAAUAAUCUGAACAUUAAAUUUGGUAUUCAAGACUAACCUGUGUCACCAACUACAGCCAUUUCCUUGAUGCAUCCUUAAAAUGAUGUGGAGAUGUUACGCCGUUAGACUCUUCCCCAUCUAUAGCAACAUUAAGAUUCGUUUACUCUUUUCAUCUUCUGAUAACCGCACAGCUUCAAUGAUUGCUCUUCUCUGUUGCCCAUGUCCAUAUAUCAAAAAUUCUGGUCUGCGCUCGAGUCUAAAACACAAGCCAACAUAACAGACUCAGCUAUACCACCAAAUGUAUGGUGUUCAAAAUCAAGGGAGGUGAAUCAAUAGCUUACUUCUCAGCAUGUGAUCGGCAAAGUUGCAAUGAAAAUGAAUGAAAUGUACUGAUUGUUAGUAGUUUUGCCGUUGCUUUCCCAGUCACAGAUCCAAUUCGAUCUCUCAUCUCGGAAGCUGCUGCUGUAGUGAAAGUCAUUGCUAGAAUGUUCGACGUGCUAAUGCCCUAAGAACACAAAAAAAAAAAAAAAAACGUAUAAGAUUUCGAUCAUAAACAAGAAAUGUAGAGAAACACACAAUUACGAAAGAAAAAGUUAGAGGGAAAGUAGCAACACCUCAUUGAGCAGCAUUAGAACGCGCCCAACUAUCGUUGAAGUCUUUCCACUUCCAGGGCCGGCAACAAUCAUCAAAGGUACUGAAAUAUCGCUGCAAGCUGCCUCGCGCUGCCUUUCGUUGAGAGAAAGCAAAUACUUCAAUACUCAUCCGGCAUGUUAGGCAAUCCAUGGUUAACAGAAUCUUUUUGGUUUUCACUACUCAAAGGUGGCGCUGAUGCGGCACUAACGUCACUACCACAACUCCCAAUAUCAUCACGCUGAAUGUCCACACUCGGUUUCUGCUCGAUUAAAGCGUCAAUUUCCUGCAAAAUACUCUCGUCGAAAUCAUCAUCGUUAAGAAUUCCAGAUGCAGAGAAAGAAUCAAAUGAAGUCAGAAACUGCGGUUGUCUGAUUGGAGUUGUGAAAGAAUCCGAUUUUGACACGCUUGAUUCGGUCCGGCUAACGCUUAAGCUCCCGGAACACGAAGCACUGCCAUAUUCACCACGCGUUGAAUUGUACCGGCUUGCGGAAAUCGGAGGCGGUGUUCUUUGAACUCUAUUGAGCUGAGUUGGCGUUUGGAUUCCAUUUCCGCCACAGAUUCUGGAAUUUGAAAAACACAAUUGAAUUGAUUUAAAUUGAAGCAAGAAAACAGCCGAGUAGCAAAAAAAUAGUAAGAAGAUGAAACCUUUGAUUCCUGAACGACUUACUUGGUAUGAGGGAGGUGAUGAUCAGGUGAAACGGCGUCGUUGCGGGGGCGUUUGCGAUCAAUGAGGGCCUUGGCGGCUCUGAAAUUCCGAGAGAUGCGGUUUCUUUGUUCCGCCGUGAGCCCUCCGCCGUACGCCUGAACGUUUUCCUUGGACAUUGCUUCGAAGAUUCCAACGGAGGAUUUGGCCUGACGGCCUGACCAGGCUGAUAACAGUGUAAAACCUUAGGAGCUAAGGAAAACUAAGAGAUAGAUCGUAGAGAGGGAAAGUUUUUUCUUUUUGGAAACUAGUAGGGAGGGAAAGUUUGUUAAACCUGAAUAAUAUUCUUUUCAUUCAACUUGUCUACAAUAAUUACCACUCUUGGUAUUUAUACAUUUCUAACACACCUCACUAACUAACUAAGACCACUACCAAUCAUACAAAAAUAAUUGUCCUUUGAUGAACUCUUUCACGAACAAAGUGGCAAUCAAUCUCUACAUGUUUGGCUUUAGAGUGCAAUACAGGUUUAGUGGCAAGAGCCAUUGCUUAAAUGUUAUCACAAUGCAAAACUGGAACAGAAGGAGAACCAACAUGCAAAUCUCGAAGAAGAUGUUGUAUCCAGAUAACCUUAGCAGUGGUUGUAGCCAUUGCUCUAUAUUCAGCUUCAGUGGAAGACCCACUCACUGUAUGCUGCUUUUUAGAACUCAAAGAGAUAGGAGUGACAAAACCCAUGGUUGAACGACGAUCAUUGUGAUCCCCUGCCCAAUCAGCAUAUGUAUGAGCUUUCAACUAAGAUGAACCUGAUUUAAAACACAAUCCCAGAGACAUAGUGCCUCUGAGAUAUCGCAGAAUACGUUUCACAGCAGCAAAUGAGUGGCUAAUGGUGAAUGCAUAAACUGACAUACUUGAUUGACGGAAAAAGAAAUAUCUGGUCUUGUAAAUGUUACGUAUUGUAGUGCCCCAACAAUACUUUUGUAAGUGGUAGGAUCAGAAACAGGUUCACUACCAUGAUUCAGAAGCUUUUGAUUAGGAUGACAAGGUGUGGAAAAAGGUUUACAGUCCAGCAUAUGCAUCUUUUGAAUGAGUUCUUUGACACACUUGGUCUGAUGAACAAAGAGUCCCUGUUCUUGAUAUUCAAUCUGUAAACCAAGAAAAUAAUGCAACACACCCAGAUCUUUCAUGUCAAACUCACUAGUUAACUGACUAAUAACAUUCUGAACCUUCACAGCAUCAUUACUAGUGGGAAUGAUAUUAUCAACAUGUAAUAAGAGAACAAUAAUUGAUGAACCAUCACACUUGACAAAUAAAGAAGGAUCUGCAUAUGAUGACUUGAACCCAAGCUUAGGCAAAUAACCUGAAAACCUGUCAUGUUAGGCUCUGGGAGCUUGCUUGAGUCCAUAUAAAGACCUCUCUAGUUUGCACACAUAAUCCGGAUAGGUAGAAUCCACAAACCCUUGGGGCUGAGACAUAAAAACUUCUUCCUCAAGAAAGCCAUGCAAAAAAGCGUUCUUGACAUCUAACUGUUUGAGUUUCCAAUUAUGAGAUGCAGCCAAGGAUAGAACCAAUCGAACUAUGUUUGGUUUGACCACAGGGCUAAAGGUUUCAUAAUAGUUAAUACCAACUUCUUAAGAAUACCCCUUAGCUACAAGUCUAGCCUUGUACCUAGCCACUAAACCAUCUGGAUUUCUCUUAAUCUUGUAGAUCCAUUUACAACUAACAAGAUUUUUGUCAGGUGGUAAGGGCACAAGCCUCCAAGUAUGAUGUUGAAUCAAAGCAUCCAUCUAUUCUUUCAUGGCAUUUUGCCAUUAAACACACUUGACAAUACUAGAAAAAGACUGAGGUUCCUUGAUUUCAGAAGCCUGAUCCACCUUAGCAGAAAACACCUUCUUUUUCAUAAUCCUAGACUUAGACCGGGUUUGCAUGGGAUGACAAUUUUGAGCAUUGAUACACACUGGUUGGAGAUCAUCCACUUGAGACAUUGUAGUAUUUGGAUGAUCUUUUGAAUACACAGUAGGCAAAACCUCUGAAGAAGGCACAAAACUUGUGGAAGAAGAGACAAGAUCACCAGAACUAGUGGGUUGAGAGGAUGAUGACUGAGUAACAUGUUGUGAUUUAGAGGUAAGAGAAGUGGGACCAAUAAAUGGAAAUGUGGAAGAAACACUAGGUGGAUGAAUGAAUGUGUUUGAAUGCACAACAGACAUUGGUGAGGAAGAAUGACCAGAAGUAACUUGAGGAUUGAAACCCAAAGCAUUAGAGUCUGUAGGAAACUUGGAUUCAUCAAAAAUAACAUGUCUAGAUACUAACAGUUUCUGAUCUUUGAGAGAUAAGCAAAUAUACCCUUUGUAUUGUGUAGCAUACCCCAGAAAAAUACACUUAGUAGUUUUAGGUUCAAGUUUAUUGCUUCUAUAGGGUUUCAAUGAAUGAUAGCAUAAACAACAAAAAAUUCUCAAAUGAUCAAGCUUAGGUGGAGAUUUAUAUAGCAUUUCAAAAGGAGACUACAUAUGUAGGGUAGGUGUGGGCAUUCUGUUUAUAAGAAAAGUAGCAGUGGCACACGAAUGGAACUAGAAUUUUGAAGGUUGAAACUUGUUGUAAAAAGGUAAUAGCUGUUUCGACAAUAUGUUGAUUUUUUCUCUCAGCCAACCCAUUAUGUUAUGGGGUAUAAGGACAAGAUUUUUGAUGAACAAUGCCUUUGGUAAGAAGAAAUUGCUUAAACUGAGUAUUAACAUAUUCCCCACCCCCAUCACUUUGCAAAAUUUUUACAUAAGCAUCAAAAUAAUUCGAGACAAAAGCAAGAAAGUUGACAAAACAGUGAGGGACCCCAAACAUCUAUGUGAAUUACUUCAAAUGGAGUAAGUGACUUCGAAGCAAUUACAGGAAAAAUGGAGCUUGGUAAAAUUUGCCUUGCAAACAAGCUUUACAAGUAUGAGAUUGAGAGUUACAAGGAAAAGAUAUACAAGACUUAUUAAGUGCUGCAGUGACAAUGGAAUGUGCAGGAUGGCCUAAUCGACAAUGCCACAAUGUAGAAUACAUCUUUUGACCCACAAAUGCAAUUGGAUUAAAAACAGGAGAAAUAGACCUAUGUGGUUUGAUUAUGGGAAGUGGAUAGACAACAUUAUUACUCAGCCCUUGGAAUAGCACUUUCCCGGUGACCUUGUCUUGUAGAUAGAGAGAAACAUCAUCAAUGAUACAAUGACACUGAUUAUCUUUGCACAACUGAUUCAUAGAUAAUAAGUGUUGUGACAGUUUUGGAACAUGUAACACAAAGUUUAACUUGAAAUUAUGUGACUUAGUGAGAAGAGAAGAGGAACCAAUAUGUUUGAUAGCUAAACCUUCACCACUAGCACUGGUCACAGUAUCAUUUGAUGGAUAAAUUUGUUGCCAUGUGCAAGUUUGACAAAUCUGAGGUCAUAUGGUUAGUUGCUCCCAAGUCAAGAAACCAUAAAUCUUGUUGAAGAGUUGAGGAUGAUGCACCAGCUCGUGCUUGUAUAGCAAGAGGAGGAUUUUGUGAGGAUAUAGUUGAGAGAUACAUAUGUGGUAUGACAUGAUACUGAAACUGGGAGCUAUUAGACCGUGGAAUCAUGCCUUGUGAAGGACCACAUGGAUUCUAGCUAGGUGCUUCGCCAUAUGACCCAGCAGGCAUUGGAGUUGGCAUAGAUGAGGAUAAACCCUGAGAGAAAUGCUUUGAUGUGCCUGUGAAAUUCUUAUUUCGAUCAAAGCAAGUAGCAGCAACAUGGCAAUUUCUGUGACAAAUUUGACAUCCAUGUUGAAAACAAUUCAAUGCAAAAUAAACUUUGCGAUCACAUAUUUGCAGAAAGGCCUUUGCAACCCUAGAAAGAAGAAGGAGCAAAGAAGACCAAAUGUGUACGUUUCUCUUUGGUUUUUUUUCCCUCUUAAUCACGCUGUUCGAAAUCACGGACCUCGGGCCUGGGCCUAGUGGGCCCAAUUAUGAGGCCCAUUAUCUCCGGUCUUCUCGUUCUACUUCUAGUUACCCAAAUUAAGAACGUACUGGUUCGCUUUUAGCGCGAGAGAGAAAUGGAGGCCCUGAUUGCCUCGUACGGAGACUCGUCGUCGGGCUCAGACUCCGAGUCGCCGGCUCCACCUCCAUCACCACCUCCGGAGCUCAACAACCCUCAAGAACCGACCCCUGCGCUGCCUCCACCUCCUCUGUCACUUCUCGACAACCCCAAUUCCUUCGGUAACCUCUGAUUCCCAUCAAUUUUCAUCUUUUAGCUUUCUGUUGUGAUGGCUUUUUCCGAGUUGCCCACCAAGUAUUUGAUGUUUUGCCUCUGAAGGAUUUCUGGACUUCUCGGCAAGCGCCCAGCCGAGCAGAGUUCGGAACUUUCCUCACGUCGAAGGGAACUACGCAGUACAUGUAUACAUCCCAGGUUAUCAAAAUUCUCGAAAUUUUCAGCUCCAUUAGCAAAUGCGAUCGCUUUGCACUUAGUUUUUGCUUGUUUAAUUCUGUGGUCAGUUUAUAUACCACCAGCACCAAGGAAAGAGAUGGCCUUGUUUUUGAACAAGCUAGCUUCUCUGGUGCCUGGUCUCCAUGCGGUUGACGUUGACUUCCUGCUUGACAUUCUGCGUAAGGACGAGCACAAGCUUGAACAAGUUGCUUUAGGCAGAGAGUUCCAUAUAAGUCUCGGAAGAACUGUUCCGAUUCGGGUGCACCAGAUUGAUUCCUUGGUGACAAUGCUGCGGCAGAAGCUUCAGAUUCAGAGGCGGUAUGGUUACAUUUACAUUCUCUUGUCUGCAUUGCGUGAAUUUAGUUCUGUUAUUUAACAUAAUUCUGUAAGCCUGCAAAUUUUUCGUCCAUUUUCAGUUUAACACAUUUUGUUAUUGUGAAACAAGUAUUGGAUUGAUUUUAGCAAGUGGUAGGUUUUUGUUAAUGAUGAUCAGACCCGGACCUUUGUGUCUAUCGAAAUCAUUGCUGCUGGGUUAGCUGAGGUAUGAUUGCUAGCUUUCUCUCUUGGUGCAAUUCUAAAUGUUUUCAGUUGUUAUAUGGGCUUAAGAUUUAGCAAGGACUUGCCGAAAGUCAUGGGAUUUUGAAAUAUCGAGAUCUUGCUUGCUUAUUAGCUUAGAUUUGGUCUUCGAUGCACUUGUAACAUGAAAAACACAAACGAAAACUAAUGCAUGAUAUGCUCAUGGUUUUAACAUGUGUUGUCCUGGCGUAAAUCAUGUUCCUAAUCAUGUCAUGUGAGUAUAAGCCUAUGAAACUUAGGGCAUGUUUGGCGGGCUGGACAAGAUUGGAAUUGGUAUUUCAGACUAGUUAGGUUAGGAUUGAACUGGAUAGGAUAGGUUUUUUGUCUAAAGAUUGGUGUAGACUGUCUUAACCAGACUAGGAACGAUGGGAUUUAAAACGUGAAACAGAUCGGCGACAUCCCAACGAUGACCCGCCCACCCAACAACUCUGCUCGUGACUUGCAACACCUCUCGUACCCUCCACGCCCCUUGCGGCCCGUCAGACCACUCUGAUAUCCUGGAGGAGUGAAACGUGGUUACUAGAAGCAUACCUGUUUUCGUAUUAAUGCACGGUUGAAUCAGCUUUCAUUGUCUACAAGUCUGAAAUAUUUUAACUUCCAUUGAUUUCAGAUAACAAAGCAGAUUCAAGCUGUGAAUGAGGUGUAUAAGCUUCACAAUCAUCCUAAAUUUUACAAGGUUAGCUUUUUCGUCCUUUUCAAACUCGAAUCGCUUCCUGAAUAUAUGACAAUAUAUUGGAUCAAAUGAUUUCUCAAAAAACUAAUUCACUUGAUGGGGUCUUGGUGAUCACAGGAUCCACGCCCUCACAUCUCGGUAGCUUGGGCAUUGGGUGACAUCAGCAAUUCCCUGAACAAAGUGGUUGAAGAAGAAAGACGAAGAUCUACCAUCGGAGGAUCGUUACAGAAAUGUAUUUUUACCAGUAAAUUCAAUGGUAUCGAAUGUAGGAUUGGUAAUAAGACACACAAAAUAUGUAAAUUUUCUGAAGAAUAAUGUAGCCAUUUAACUGUAUUGUGAAAUUCCGAGAAUAUAUCACUGAGCAUUGGAUGAGAAGACAUUUCUUCGUUGGUGUCGAACUUCUUGUCGAAGGUAUUGGCACCAGUGUAAACGUCAUCAUCCAUGUUGAUGGUAAUUACUUCCCAGCUACUAAGGGUGUCGGAACAGCCUUGCACGCAGCCUCCUGUGCAUUACUUGGUAUUGUCUCAGAUUCUCCAAACUUGAAUGCUAAUGUAAACCCACUCUUGACCUUUCCGUCAUCUGCGAUUACCGGAAUGCCGGCUUGGAUGUUGCCGUUGACCUACCGAACUUAAAAUACCGACGAAAUGUUGGAGUACUUAAGUGUACUACUCGUUUUUGUAUGCGAGAGCUCCACCUCUAUCGUUGUAACAGCAUCUGAUGCGGACUAGUCCUUCAUUCCCGUUACUCUUUGCCAUCUCCACUUCGAACUUGGCGUGAUGGCUCCCGGCCUCCUCUCCGGUGAAAUUGAGUAACCCCGGAGCUGGCGUGCCAUCAAGAUUUCCGUCGUGUCUCUAUUUGCUGUUGUGGUUUGGUUUCACCACUAUAAACUUGGCAGAGUUGGCAUUUUCAUUCUGUUGUCUGUAUAUCUUGAUAUUACAAGUAUUUGUUGUGCAAAAUGCAUGCUAAGUUCAACUUAUGUUUAUAUGUGUGUGUGUGUGUGUUGCCACUUUUCCAACGUUUUCUCCAAAAUUGUGACGAGCAACAAAGCAGUUUUGAUUCCGUGCACAACAACGAUACCUCGAAAGAAAUUGAUUCUUCCCCAGAAAGAUGUUUUAAAACAAAGUUGAACAAGGGAAGAAAACUUUUGAAUCGCAAUCAGAUGUCUGGUCAAAUUCUUUAACAGUUGAUGUAUACAGAAGUUCCUUGCUUAUGACACGACUUAUGAGAGGAUGUAUGUAUUGCAUUUGCAUCAAAAGAAAGAAAGAAGGUUGUAAGUGGUAAGGGAACGACUACCGAUGCCGCUCCACUUCUAAUCAAAGGGAUCGAUCCGAGGGUCGUGUUCACUUGCCAUCGCCAUUCCAGUGCAAAGGCAUGUCGGGCACAUUACCUGCCACAUUUACAGACGCAAUGUUAGAUAUAGCUGCCAUUUGGAAGUCAUCUCUCAAAAUUUUGCUACUAAAUCAAUCUUAAACUUCAUUUCCAGUGCAAUUUUUUUCUUCUGAAUUGUCUUUCACAUGCCCGACAAAUAGAAGUAUCACCAAACAUGUGAAUAUAGAGCAUCUAAGCGGCAGGCACUAAAAGGAAUUUAGUAUGCAAUAAACAUUCAACGGACAUAAUUAUAUGUCUAACCUUUCCCGCUCCUGAGCAAUUUGAACAUCGUUCAGUUUUUGGCAGAGAUAGGGGUUGGUUUCCGCCAUCAGCUGUCGAUACUGGUUCAGUAAGAACAAGGGUUCCAGUGCUGGAGCAACGAGCACAAGCAAGAGAUCCUGCGUAAGUAUCAAAUACACAGGUAAGUUGACAUACGAAACCAAUCCGAACAUCUCCAUCGUAUAUAUUUAAAGCUACAGUACAUAAACUAAAAGUCAGAAAUAUAGGACAUUAUCACACCAGUUCCAAGACAAUAUUUGCAUCGUUUAUGCUCCUGCUGUUUCACAUUGUUUAUUUCAACUACCAUCAAUGCUGAGAUCACUCCGACUGCUCCUCCAGAGAAUGACGCCACUAUGGGAUCAACUUGACUGCAGUUUGAAAGUAAAGGAGAUCAAUAAACGAAACUGGUAACAACAUAGUAUCAACAUUAUUUAGCUUCGUUUCAAGAAAGAUGACAUCCUAGGUUUUUCUAAUGUGUAAAAAUUGAGGAUCCUCGUAAAAUUUGACCAUAUCGGUUCCCAAAGCAUUUGAUUCCUACGUUACAGACGGAAAACAGCAACAAUCGAAUUUAAAGAUUCAUAACACGAUAGAUGGUACAAAAUUUCAAAACGAUAAUUACUAGAGAACAGGAGGGUUAAUAGCCUGAGAUAUGAGCAAUACCUCAACUGCAACGGCAGAUGCAUAUUUACUAUAAAGUCUUUAUAUGAUGUGCCUCCUAUUCCCAGCUUCAACUCCAACUGAAAGAUGUAAAGGUAAUUGUAGGCAAAGAGUUACAAACAUAACCGAAUCCAUGUUUUAUAAGCAACAACUACACUUAUUUUGAUAUGUUUCCUCAUUUUUUACUUGCAAAUUCCGAACCAUAUUGUCGGACCAGUAAAAGAAAAUAAUGUUUAUGAUAACUGUUAAAACUAAUUACAACAAGUUAAUGCAUAAAGAACUUACGGAGGGUGCUAUGAGGCCACCGAAAAGGAUAAACCCCACAAUAAUUGAAUAACAAACAGCAUAAUACUGCUUAAGGUUGUCUGAACUCUGCAAGCAAUGAAUUCACCUUGUGAUUAAUACUUUGCACAAACACUAGUUUUCGCAAUUUUUUAUGAAUCGACAAAAGGCUACAACAAAAUAUGGCUAAAACAUGUCGGGGAUAUGAAAAUACAUGUCUUCACAGGGGCACCAGCUUACCAGGGGAGGCAAAAAUGGAAUGAACGAUGGAAAACUAGGAAGUUCGUUUUCUUGAUCUUCAUUUACCGCUCCAAGCUCUGCACGUUUAAUCCGCUGUUGUAUCCUCAGCCUGCGAACCUACGCAUAUCGAAGCUCAUUCUUAAAGAACACAUUUCUAAUGGCAAUUGGAGAGUAAUUUAAAACAUGCUAAACUGAGAAAGUGGUAGCAACUAGUAAUUGCUCUCACCUCCUCCAUAUGCAAGAAAAUUUUGUUGCGACGACUCCGAAUAUUAUCUUGAAUUUCCUGCAGCUCCAUUGUGGCAAAAUCCUGCACUGUUUCAGGCCCCUCUAUGAUACAAAAUCUGCACCAUUAAGCAUGUAAAAAUUAAAAAUUACAGGCUACAAAGCAAUUUCCGUAUAGUUGUUGGGUUAAAUAACAUCAACAGCAAAUAAAUCACAUAGGUUUUUCACAUAAAGUUACAAACUUUCAAGGACUAAUAAGCUGUCUGCAAUCUCAUAAAUUUCACAGUGCAAAGUAACAAUCCAAAGCUUGGAACUUUAAAUUUCCACCUUCUGUUAAUUUUUUAGUGCACCUGGUGUCGUUAGAUUCGAGUAGUAUGUCACAUUAAAUUUUUUUUUUCUGUGCAUGCAUUUUUUUUUAAAAGAAAAUUUUAUAUUGUUAAAGAGCGAGUUCGAAACUAUUACAUUAUGGAAGGACAUAGUACCGAAACUCCGACGAUCAAAAACAAAAUCAUGUACAACCACUCCAAGCAGUCAACAUGGCCAUCACAUAUUGAAUCCAAAAUGUUGACGCCCCAUUCGCUGCAUAUAAUGUACAGACGAGCGGCAGCUUCAACCAGUUCUGCCAUAUCCGGCUGGAUGAGAGCAGCUAAAGACAUGAUUGUUCCCUAAUAACAUGAAUAAAUUGAGUAAACACCAAAAGUAGCAGCAAGGGAAGGAGAUGUGAAGUAUAUGAAGAGGUGUAAGACCUGUGAAUGUCCAGCAACAAAGAUUUUGGAGCUUGUUGUCGAAUAAUGCAACGCAUCAUUUCUGGUAGAUCAAAUAGAGCCAAUUCCCGCCAACUCCAAUUCCAAAAUUUCUACAGUAAAGCAUAAAUCUUAUUCUCUCUUCUGAUAAAGAUGAGUGUCCCAGACUCCAACGUGUUCCACACACAUUCCCUACCCAUACAUCGAAACCUUCAUCUGCAAGGACGAAUCCCAGCGAUUCUUCUGGAGAAUUUAAGAAUCAUGCAUCACCUGGUUAAGAUCAAGAAAAGCCAGUAACCAAGUUCAAUUGAGUUAAAAUGUAUCCCAUGGAUGUUCAUCACUUUGCCCAAUUGUUCUUUUCAAGAAAGGAAAUUUCAACAGAACCUGAAAACUUCAGAUCAGGGGGCACCAAAUAGUGAGCUAUACAUUCAAAAUUUGAAAUAAUCAACUUAGUAGGACCAGUAUGUUGAAAAAAUGGGAAGGAGCUAUGAAAGUAAGACUUUUCACUAAUCAGGCGUCCAGAGAAUCCAUAUUUUACCCGCGUAUCAGUUACGGGGAACACUCCCCACCAGAGCAAUCUCAUUAGUCCUUCACAUCUCAACCGUACAGAAGUUGCACUAACAAACAUGACUCCUAUUAGUCCUUCACAUCUCAAAUCCAGGAAGUACCCAUCUUUCGUCUGAAUCUGGAAAAUAAGCAGCAGUCAAUUUAACAAUCUCGGUAUCUCAAAGUUACUCACUUUAAUCACAAAUUUAGCAAUUAAACAUAUAAAUGGGCAUUUUUUUAGGGAAAUAUUAGUAUAGUACUCACUGUGUGCUCGGAGCAAGAGUACCCAGAAAGCUCAAUGAGCUGCGCACAGAGGACUGCAGUGGUGAACGACAGCGACCAAUUCUGUAAAAUUUAGUCGAGUUUUGGGAAAUUUCUGCAGCGAUUUCGGAGGUCAAGAGGCUGAUAAGGAAAGCCGCGACCAAAGGGCACUGGUCUGGAAGAAAGGCUUUGGUCGCCGCUAUCGCAAUUCGCGAAGGAAGAAGUGCCCCAAAACAAUUUCGGCCCUGGACAGGUGCACUGUUUGCACUGAGCCAGGGCCGGCCCUGAAUCGCGAUAACGUCCUUCUCCAAACAGUAUAUAUACAGAUGCUAGAAAAAUCUACCGGAACUAUUCAAUUCUAGCGUCUACAGCUUUAGCAUUAGUUGGUACAAGGGGCAUUCUUCCAAAGAGGGAGAUGAAAUCGUUGAGGCACCAAAUAGUGAGCUAUACAUUCAAAAUUUGAAAUAAUCAACAUGGUAGGACCAAUAUGUUGAAAAAAUUGGAAGGAGCUAUGAAAGUAUGGCUUUUCACUAAUCAGGCGUCCACAUAAUCAAUAUUUUACUCACAGAUCAUUUACGGGGAACACUCCCCACCAAAACAAUCUUUUUAGUCCCUCACAUCUCAAACCAAGUAGAAAUUGCAGUAACAAACACAUCUCAAACCCAGUAAGUACCCAUCUUUCGUCUGAAUCUGGAAAACAAGCAGCAGUGGAUUCAACAAUCUGGGUAUCUCAAAGUCACUCACUUUAAUCACAAAAUUAACAAUUAAACAUAUAAAUGGGCAUUUAUUUAGUGAAAUAUUAGUAUAGUACUCACUGUGUGCUCGGAGCAAGAGUACCCAGAAAGCUCAAUGAGCUGCGCACAGAGGGACUGCAGCGGUGACGACGGCAACCGAUUCUGUAAAAUUCAGUCGAGUUUUGGGCGAUUUCUGCAGCGAUUUCGGAGGUCAAGAGGCUGAUAAGGAAAGCUGGGACGGAAGGGCACUGGUCUGGAAGAAAGGCUCAGGACACCGCUGUCCCGAUUCAUGAAGGAAGAAGUGCCCCCAAAACAAUUUCGGCUCUGGACAGGUGUACUGUUUGCACUGGACCAGGGUCGGCCCUGGCGAUAACGUCCCCCAAACAGCACAUAUACAGAUGCUAGAAAUAUAUAAAUGUAACCUGAAACUACUAGAACCAUUCAAUUCUAGCGUCUACAGCUUUAGCAUUAGUUGGUACAAGGGACAUUCUUCCAAAGAGGGAGAUGAACUCAUUGAGGCUCUUAUUUAUUCCUCCUCUUGAUGUGCCCUUUUAGGCUGCUAAUUCCACACGAUCCAAUUUCAUACAUCUUCCCUGCAAAAGCAUGUGUGCCUGACUUCAAGAUCAAAUUUUUCCAACAAAAGAAACUUAAAGAUCAAACUCGCUAGCGGAAUAAGUGGUGCACAAGGGUGUUAAAAUCUUGACAUAUGUAUAUUUUUGGCAGAUUUUAUGUGAGCAUGCAACUAAAACUGGCAUCACUAUCAAUGGUGCACAAAGAUUGGUGGAAAACUUUAACAGUUUGAGUUGUAACUUCUCCAUUGUAUUUGUUAAGGCAAGACGGAUGUCAUCUAUUCAUUUUUCUGUAAAACUUAAAAGGCUGCAUAGCAGCUCUUGUUCGUUGUAUUGAAUACCAUGGUUUUACUGAUGAAUGCAGAGUUUGCUGAUGAUUCAUACGACAAGCAAUUGAAAAUCCCAUCAUUAUGCCCCGCAUAUACCAGAAGAAAAAAAAGUCAUUUACACAAAUUCAGAGCGUUCAUCCACUGUAAUUUGCAGAUAUGGAAACGUUAAGAUAAAAGGAAAUGCAAAGUACCUUUCACCCAAAUUGGAGGAGCAACGGUGGCAUUAGCAAGCUAGCAACGGGAAUUGACAUACCAAUAUCUUCACAGUUUCUGCACAAGAACAAAUCAAAAGAAUCCGGCGGUGGAGUUAUGUACCUCUCCUUGGAAAAUGCCACCUCCUGGGAUUUCAAAAUAUACGGCCGUGGCUAGCCGUCUGACCACGCCAAUUCCACCAAAGCCGCCGCAACGUGGCGUAGUGUCCGGUUGAUUGCUUCAAAACAGAGCUUCGUAUCCAUGUGUUUAUCAGCAGAGAGUACCCAAAACCCCUGAAAAUUAUUUCUUUAUUCAGAUAAUAAAAUUUCCCAAAUUUCGAAUUUUAAUUCCGAACAAAAAAAAUAGGGUUUGAAUUUUGAUUACCUAGAAAUUGGGGGGUUGGGGUGGAGAGGGACUCGGGCCAAGACACAGAUAUGCAUCCGUGAUAAGGUGUGCAAGGCUUUUGCAGUUUCUCAGAUCUAAACACUGAAGCCCCGUAAGCCGUUCAAUCCAGGGGGAAAGCUCUUUAAUAGAUGUUCCAUCCAAGAAAAGAAAUCUUAAUCCUUCCAUAUUUUCUUCAAUGCUUGGAAACACCUCAAAUUUUGUACAACCGGAAAGAGAGAGAAAGGCAAGGGACUUCAGCUGACAAAUGCUACUUGGAAGACUCUUAAGUUCUUUACAAUUUUCUAGCUUCAAAUGAUUCAAUCCCAUGAGAUUAUUAAUUGAUAAGGGCAGUUCUUUAAUUUUCGACCCAGAUAAAUCAAGAACUUUUAACCCCUCAAUCACUUCUGAAAUCUCUGGAAACAUCUCAAGACUCCAGCAACCAUAAAGAUCAAAGGUUUUGAGAGAUUUCAUAUGAAUGCUGCUUGGAAGACUCUUAAGUUCCUUGCAAUCUUGUAGAUUCAAAUGACACAACCUCGUAAGAUUAUUAAUUGACGGGGACAGUUCUUUAAUUUUUGAGCAGGGUAAAUCAAGCUUUUCUAACCCCUCAAUACCUUCUGAAAUCGAUGGAAACAUCUCAAGACUGGAGCAGCCAUAAAGAUUAAAGGUUUUCAGACAUUUCAUAUGAAUGCAGCUUGGAAGACUCUUAAGUUUCUUGCAAUCUUUUAGGUUGAAAUGACUCAACCCCGUGAGAUUAUUAAUUGACAGGGGCAGUUCUUUAAUUUUGGACCCGGAUAAAUUAAGCUCUUCUAACUCCUCCAUACCUUCUGAAAUCUCUGGAAACAUCUCAAGACUGGAGCAGCCAGAAAGAUUAAAGGUUUUGAGAGAUCUCAUACGAAUUUUGCUGGGUAGAAUCUUAAGUUCCUUGCAAUUUGAUAGGUUCAAAUGACACAACCCCAUGAGAUUAUUAAUUGACUCGGGCAGUUCUUUAAUUUUGGACUCGGAUAAAUUAAGCUCUUCUAACUCCUCCAUACCUUCUGAAAUCUCUGGAAACAUCAGAAGACUGGAGCAGCCAAAAAGAUUAAAGGUUUUGAGAGAUCUCAUACGAAUUUUGCUAGGUAGAAUCUUAAGUUCCUUGCAAUUUGAUAGGUUGAAAUGACUCAACCCCAUGAGAUUGUUAAUUGACUCGGACAGUUCUUUAAUUUUGGACCCGGAUAAAUCAAGCUCUUCUAACCCCUCAAUCACUUCUAAAAUCUCUGGAAACAUCUCAAGGCUCACGCAGUUAAUAAGAUCAAGAGUUUUGAGAGAUUGCAUACGAAUUUUACUAGGUAGAAUCUUAAGUUUUUCGCACCCAUUCAGAUCCAAUAAAACAAGUUUUGUAAGAUUCGAAAUAGAUGGGUGAACCUUAACUAACCCUAUACAACCAUGAAGAAUUAGCCUCUCAAGAUUUGGCACAUUUGUGAAGUCAGGGGUUUCCUUAAGGUAUUCACAAUAACUUAAAUUGAUGAAUUUCAACUUUUCCUGCGUCUGUUAAAACAUUCAGGAAAACAUGCAUUACUUAAUAAGACAUCUCACUCAAAGCCCAAACAUUUAAAAGAAACAAAUACAUGUAAAUGAUUGUACAUACCUGGGUUCCUUCCCAAAGUCGGUCAAUGUGGCUAUAUUGCAUGUCAAGUCCAACAAGAUUUUCGAAUUGAAAGUUGGAUGGCAAAGACUUGAGCGGGAAACAAGACCAGGAAAGAAACCUCAACUCACUAGAAACAAACUUUAAGGACCCAGUCAGGUGUUGUAUGCUGAAAGUACCGAUCUUGAGAAGUCUUAGUUUAGUCAUCCUAUCAAAAGCUUUAACAAUUAAGCAUCCCUCAUAUGAGUGCCCCAAAUCUAGGAUUAUGCUUUCAACUGUUUCUGUACCCUGUGCAAAUCAAAGGGAAGGAAAAAGCAGAGAACCUUAGUUUAGAUUAUGAAGUUAAUGCUUGUUUCUUAAGGAGUUGUUUGAUAAUAAUUUUGUUUUCACUUUUCACUUUUGUUUUGAUUAUUUAUUUAGAAAUCUGAAAAUUGAAAACAUAUAACUUGUUUGUAAUUGUUUUCAAUUUUCAAUUAUUAAAAAAAUGAAAAUUUAAAAAUAUAAAUGGAAACAAAAGUGGUUAUCAAACGAGCUUAAGAAAUUGAUUUUGGUCAAAAGUUGAAGCUUUCUACUAAACAUUGCAUAAGAAAAGAAAUUAUCACCGUAUUUUUAGUUAUCACAUGAAAAACAUCUUCAUAACUCCACAACCUACUUCGUCUCCCAGGCUCUUUGAUAGAUUCUUGGUAGACGAUUUUCUGACCCAUUUCCUCUAGUAAAUCAUGCAUCUCCAGUUCCCCCCUCCAUGAGACAGUUACUAGAGCUCGAUCGAUUAGAACUUUUAUUCCAAUAUCAGGAUAGGAACCACAGCUGUGCAGAACUGUGGUUGCAUAGUCUUUUCUCAUUCCUUUAAAGAAACAUGCAAUAUCUAGAAAGAUAUCCUUCUCCGUGUCAUCUAGUCCAUCGAAGCUUGUUUUAAGCACAUCAUGAAUUCCCUUUUGCGGGAUUUUCUUUAUUUUUUCUAACUCAUUUUCCCACUGGCGUACAUUUUUGUUAUAAAGAAAAGCUCCCAAGACUUUGAGUGCUAAAGGCAGACCUUGAGCAUAAUUUACAGCACGACUCGAGAUCAUCAUAAUCUCUGUUGGGUUGGUUUUUUCUAAAGGCGUACCGCCUAAAGAGUUCCAGAGCUCCAUAAUCACUUAAAAUCUUGGGAUUAUAUAUCCCAUCAGCUAUGCUUAGUAAUUGCGAAUCUCUGGUUGUUAUAAUAAUUCUGCUUCCACCACCAAAGGAAUGUGGCUCUCCAAGUAAAGCUUCAAUUUGUUCUAAUUCUUCCACAUCAUCAACAACAAUAAGAACUUUUCUCCGACCUAGACUAUUUAACAUCACCUGGAAACCUUUAUUCGAAACGUCGGAACUCCCCACCCUGUUGUUCGAGAUACUCGAUAGAAGUUCUGCCUGCAUAUGUAGUUUGCCAUGCUUCAUGAAACCUUCCUUGAAAUUUUCAAGAAAGCAACAAGCUUUAAAUCCACCAGAGAUUUCAUUAUAAAUAGCUCUAGCGAUGGUUGUUUUGCCUAAACCACCCAUACCCCAUAUUCCAACAAUGCGAACAUCAUUAGUUUCAACUCCAGGAGGAUGCAGUAAUGAAUGCAUGUUAUGCAUAUGAGAGUCCAUUUCAACCAAGCCAUUAUAUUUGCUUGAGGAUGAUGAGAUGUAUCGCCGACCCCACUUAGUGGGAAAAGGCUUUGUUGUUGUUGUUGUUGAUGAUGAUGAUGAGAUGUGGAUCAAUUUCUUAAAAACAUCUUCUACAAUUUUCUCAAUAAGCUCUGCAUCAUCCCUGUCAAAUUUAAAACACAAUAUAAUUACAACACCAAAUGAUACUUAAUGGGUCGUUUUGAUAACAAUUUCGUUUGCAAUUUUUUUUAAAUCUAGAUUUUAAGUUUGCAGAUUUUGUUUUCAGUUUUUAGUUUCAAUGAAAGUAGUUAUUAAACAAGGUUUCCAAUUUUUCUUUCAUGGUAUACAGUACGUAGUCCCAAAUAUCAGUAGUUAGAUCUUGCAUUUAGAUCUAAUGGGUAUUUACAACCUUUUUUCCUGAGAAUUUUGUACCAUUGUAGCCAGAUCACAUGUUUUCAUCCGUUAGUUUUAUAAAAAUGGAAACUACAAACUUAAAAAAAAAAAAAAAUAUAUAAUAUAUAUAUAUAUAUAUAUAUAUCAAAUGGCCCCUAAAUGCUAUUAAAAAUCUCAAAAAUUAACAGGAAACUAAAACAAAUUAGAAUUUAUUCAUGGUUUCGCAAAUCCCAGCCGGAUAAACUGGUGGCCGUUGUAAGAGAGGACCUCCAGCCGGAUAAACAUUUUCGAGUUAUUUGAUAUUUGUAUAGUAAAAAUACUUUAAUAGCAAGUGCGCGUGAGUGAAGAAAUUGAACUUACUUAUAUUCUUUCGAAUCCCAACCGGAAAAAUUGCAGGCUCUGGGAAGAGCGGACCUCCAGCUCUGCACCUCCUUCACGUCAACGUUAGAACGACCUUCAUGUUUAGCAAAAGCUUCUGCAAAACUUCCCUCGAGUUUACGAAUAUUGGACGGAUCGACUUGGUAGAAAAUGGGGAAUACAAUCUGGUUCUUGGAAUGGUUGCAUUCCAAGAUUUCCACGAGUUCUUUCAAGCACCAUGUGGAUGAAGCAUAGUUUUGAGAGAAAACUACAAUCGAAAUCCUUGACUCUCGAAUCGCUGUCAGGAGCUCGGAAAGGCGGUCGCCUUUUCUGAGGUCUUCGGCAUCAAUGAAGGUGUUGAUUGGUUUCUGACGCAGAGCUUUGUAGAGAUGGCUGACGAAGCCCGUGCGAGUGUCUUCCCCUCUAAAACUGAUGAACACAUCGUAUUCCCAACCAAGGCAAGAAGAAGAAGAAGAAGCAGCCAUUAAUCGAUCUCACCUGGGCAGCGAUGAUCGAGCAGCUAAGACUAAGAGAAUUGUAAGUACAGAAACACUCAAUAGAUCUACAAAUUGGAUCACCAGAAAUUAGUCAAUGAGUCAAUGCAAAAGGGAAAAGGGCAAUUAUGCUUUUUGCGUUUUCACAUCUUCUUCAGGAAAUUUCGGUGUGAAAGGAAUCCGCAUACUUUUGAUUUUUCAACCCAAGAAAAUGCGAAGAAAGGGGACAAAGUAGUAAAUUUAAUCUACAGUUAGUUACCUACUCAAUAACCUCUUGAUUUAAUAUAUAUUUAAUUGGGAAAAGUAGUUUAGAGCAAGGAUGUUAUCUCCUUUUCUUCUCUCUCGAUCAGUCAAUCUUCCCGCGUGCGAUUUAAUCAUGAUUAAAGCUAAGCUUAAUCUUAGGUCGUAUUAUUUAGGUCUAAUUGGAUUCUUAAUUCUUGUGAUAUAGUAGUUGGAAGAUUAAAAAAAAAUUAUGAUUUAAACGUUUGUGAUGAAGUCUGUUACGAUUUAAAUUCAAAAUUGAAAAUUUCGUUAACUCCAUUAAUUGUUAGCACAUGAGACUCACAAAUGAAACUAAAAAUAUAAAGUUAGCCUCACAUGUAAUCUUCACGUGCUAACAAUUAAAAGAGAGUUCCGUUUUAGCUUAAUAUAUGUGACUCACGUGUUAAUAAUUAACAAAAUAUUAACAAAAAUUUUAAUUUUAAGCAUAAAUUCAAAUAAACUUCACCACAUAAGCUUAAAUUCUAAUUUAGAUAUCUUCUAAUUUAGAUAAUUUUUAACUGCAAGAUGUACGAUGAACGGAUAUAAUUCACAAAUCUCCAAAAUCCUUACAAAAAAUAUCCGAAAAAGAGCCAAAUUCAAUGGAAAUAAGCUAAUUUUGAAUCAAAUAACAUUACUUUAUUUUGUAAAUAAAUUAAUUUUGAAUUGAACAACAUUCAUUUAUUAUGUAAGUAAUUCAUUUUGUAUGUAUCAUCAUAUAUAUUAGGCACAUUUUAUCAUAGGUGAUUUUGUGAAAAAUUAAUAAAAAGUUACAAUAUUAACAAUAGAUCAAUAAUAUUUAUGUUAAUUAUAAAUAGGCUAACCAUGUAUUAUGAUACUUAAAUGCAUUUAAAAUAAAUAAAAAUUACAAAAUCUACUACUACAGCUAGCAUUCACUUCAACUAAAGCAAUACGUAGUUUUUAUAUUUGGAAUAAGUCAUACGAAUCAGAGACAUGAAGAGGUGUAAGAACUGUGAAUGUCCAACAACAAAGACUUCGGAGUUUGUUGUCGAAUAUCUGCAGCGCAUCAUUUCUGAUAGAUCAAAUCGAGCCAAUUCCCGCAAACUCCAAUCCCACCACCACCUUUCAAGCCGGACUCAGCCCUCCGGGCGGCAUUUGGCAGGACAGCACUGGAUCAAACAAGAUUGAGACUGGCAGUGGGAGCAAUGAACGAGCACACUCAGCAGGGAAGUCCAUCAUGGGUUCUAACCACACAUUGUUUCUCUACUUUGUGGCUUCCAACACGAUUGGAUUUUUUGUUUCACUUUACAUGAUCAAUGUCCUCACCAGCAAUUUCCCUCUGCAGUUGGAGCUUCAAAUUUGUAUUGUCGCGAUGUACAGCACGUACAACACUGCAGUUUUCAGCAUUGCACCGGAGAACGUGCGCUUCUUCGUCCUUCUGUUCUCUGUAGUUUUCCCAACUUUGGUUACACUUGCUGUCCAAAAUGAUCGUCUUUCGACAUACAUCACAAUGGCGAUCUUUAAUCAUAAUGACUUGUACUGCUCGAUCAAACGAGACGCAUGGAGGCGCGACGUAGGAGCCACGGUGCAGCCCAAACUUUGCAGAUAAGAAAUCUGGUAAUUCACAGCAUCACAAACAUGUUACUGGGUCUCCUGACCAUCGUAGAUGCCAAUGUGUGCACAAGGAAAGGAGUAAGGUAAUCAAAUGCUUGAGUCUUGUGUACCUGUUUCGGUGUUGGUUCGGAUGAACCCAUUGAGUUCUCGAUCCUUAACUUCUGGAAAUGCUCCUGAAAGCAUAAAUAUAUGUACGGAUUUAAACCAAUGGCAAAUGGACAUAAUUUACGGACAAUGAUUGAAGAAAAUACAGAUAUAAACGCCUCAGUAUUCCAUUGACGAAAGUUCUAGAUUUGAUGAAUCAAACGUCCCACGUUGAGACUGCGUUAAGGCAAAUGGUUCUCAAACACAAAGCAAUAGUUUGCUACCGAAAACAACCAAAGUCUGACAAAGGGAACCGUCUUACACCUAACCUGUUUUUCCCUCAUCAAAUGAGCGCGUUGAUCUGCAGGUAUUUUCUGCCAUCUCAAAACCUGUUACAAAGAAAUAUAACGUUGAUGUUGAGCUGGAUAGCAUAUUAUACCAAUUAUGUGUACAAACCUAUUGAAAUAAAGUAGCUGUAGUUGCAUAUUACGACAGAUAUUAACGAAAACAAAAGAAGGCUCGCCUAUUCAAGAUCCUAAAUCCCAUGAUUCUUUUGUUUUUAGUUUCAGAAAUUUUCAGAGCACAAACUGGAAAGUACCAAGAUACUUACAUAUUGGGCAUAAUGAAAUGCAUCUUCAUCUUUCAAGCAAGAUUUCAGUGAGCGCAAACCAUCCUGGGAGUUACAUAAGUCAAUCAGUAAUAUAAAAACGUAGAUGCAUCACAUCCAAACACAAGUAUUCAAACACCAACAACUUCUUCAUGCGGUGAGGCAUGUUAAAAAAUAGGGAAGAACAGUUAUUGAAUAGGAAGUUAAAGGACUAAAUUUAUGACCUUGUGUUUGUAGUUCUUGGCUCGUAUGCGUUCAUCUAUUACAAAACCAAUCUGUAACAGGUACAACAGAAAAUAUAAGCAGUAGUCAGAACAUUAAGCAUCGGCAUUCAAAUUGCCGCCAAUCCAAAGUUAAAAGUCUAAAGGCAAAACAGUAUGAUUCUUAUCUCUCAAACAAAAAUGAAACUAUACCCCGGUCUCAGACAUAAAUGAAAUAAGUUCUACUGCCUCAACUGAGUACUGUGAUUAUAUAUAAAUCCAAUUCACCUUGUCAAGUAAUCUCUUAGGAUCUUGAAAUGCUUGCUUCUUAGCCCAGUCAUUAAAUACAUGCGAGAUAAUCGAUCUCUCAUCCACACUGAAUCUAUUGCACAGUGACAGGAGAAUAAAGUCAAACAUGAACAUAACCAACCAAAAAUGCUAGUUAUAAUAGUACACCCAUAAUUGCAAGCAAAACCUUUUUAAGAAGCCAUUUCCAUGGUUUUCCUCCCCAAAUUCCAUCAAUUCUGCAGAGGCAACGUCAAAUUUACUAUGAUGGAGAUCAUUUUGCACCAUAACAACUUCAGAAGGUAGGAGAUUUGGUUUGAGAUCAUCUGUUGACGGAGUAGUUUCUUUUGAAGUGUCAUGAUGCUUUGAUUGCAAGCCUUCUGUACUUACGUCAGCCUACAAAACAAAAAUUGCAUUCAUCCACACUAGACUUAAUAAGAUUAGAAACACUUCAGAUUCUUCACUAUUUGUAAGUUUGACUAAACAGCAGAACAACUGAGGAUAAUGAACAGUAAUACACACCUGGACUUCUCGUAGAUGAUUUGGAAUUUCUUUCAGAAAUCGCGAAGGUUGAAGCAUCUGAAGGAGCCACCUUCUCAGUCAGAGCAACAACAACAAAUAAGGAGGACAGGAAUUCAAGCUAAAACGAACCUGCCAACUGGAAUCCAUCGUAACAUAAAGAAUGAAAAGCUUUUUUCGAGCACGAGUCAUUGCAACAUAUAAUAGGCGUCUUUCCUCCUAUGAUUAGAGUGGGAUUAUUGAGUUAUUGACCAAAAGAAAAAAGAGUGGAAUUAUUGUGACAAACACUUCAAAGCUCUGCAUAUAACUGAAAAAUGUUGAACAAUUUACCACACACCUCAAUGGAGGUCCCAUUUUCUUUUGCAACGCCAUUGAAUUCAUGCAACAACGGAAUCUCAGAUUCAUUUACCUGUGUUAUUGGCAUGAGCAUUAAAGCAAGCUAAGAUGAUUUGAAGAGGUUGAUAUUGUCAUGAAUAUAGUAGAAUAGAAUACCAAUUUCAAGCCAUCAAUUAGGUAUAGCAUUGGCAUGUUUAAUCCGUAAAUCUAAUGACAGAACACCUCAACUCUACACAUAAAUAAAUAAACAACCUGAAAAAUAUUACAGCCACUUGUUAAGGCAAAUACCUUAAUUAUGAAAACUAUAUCCCACUCUAAACCUUUUGACUGCAAGAGAAUGAAAAAGAAAGACAGUAAGCCAAGAAUGUUUUGUAGAACUCCAAAGGAAGUCCAAUAGGGAAAUCAUCGCAAGUAUAAGAGUUAGCGAGGUUCGCAUAAGAGGAUAUCAAAAAGAUCUAGAACCUGAUGAAUAGUAGUCAAAGUGACAGAACUUUGGUUGUCAUGUCUUCGGGAGUGAAAAUUUUCACUCUCCCGCUCAGAUAUGUAGUCGAUGAAAGCUUUGAGUAAAUUAACGCAGCCUUUUUCUUCUGCUACGACUUCUCUCUCCCCUUUUCCCGCAACAAAAUGAGUUGAUAAGAAAUCAGAUACGUCGUCUAGUAGGUACUGAAGAACCUGCAAUGAGAAUAAUCGCAUCAAAACAACAGGGUUGGACCAAGAUUUAAGUGACAACAAUGAUUAACUAACUAAAAUAGAGAAAUUAUUCAUUUAAGACCUUGUUGACUGAAAAAAGGGUUUUCCAAGCAGCGGGUCAUUUAAGCUUAUUGUAUAAAUGACAAUCAUCACAAACGGCAAACUUACAGAUCUCACGUCAUUGUCUUCAUUCAGCAGUUUUCCUCCAUCUACAUCAACGACUGCACGUUGCUCAAGAAGGUACUUCUAAAAACUGAAAGUCAAACGAUAAAUUAUUAAGAAGCAUUGAAUAUAAGCAUGAAACGAAGAAAAUGUUAUGGAAUGGUGAUCCUCAUCCUCAAAGAUGAUUAAAAGCAAUUUGAUUCAAAAAUGACAUAUCAACUCUGGAGAAAUGGAAGACAAACCUGUGGUACCAUAUUCGCAACUGAGGUUAUGACAGCUGAAAUCGAUUGUUCCUGUGUGCAUUGAUAAGUGAGACUACCAUAGAGAUUCACAACUAAAUAAAGACAGGUAUUCCACAGAACAACCUUUACCUCUUUGGAAACACAGAUCUAACAAAAACUAUAACAUUUUGGAUUAAUAUUGACGAAUCAAGAAUAAUGCAAGGGAGCAAGAGAUACUCUUCCUUCUAAUAACAAGGAGGCGUGAAAAGUUUACAGAGUUCCAACAAUUAGAGAACUAAAAUCAAACUAAAAAAAUCACCAAAGUAGACAGAAUCCCACUUCGCCAAAAAUUUGAAAAUAUAUCCUUUUUAUCCAUUGAGAUUCAUGAACUACUACUACUACAUCAUGCCAAUAAGCAAUGCGUAAGAGGUGCUACAAUUUACCGAAUAUAUUUACCCUGAGAACAAGUUUUGAAAUCAUCUCUAGUGUUAACAGCACCUUGCGUCCUUGGGUAAGCUGAGUCCUAUUAUCAAGUAAAGAGACCAAUCAGUACAUAUCCAAAAGAUCUUAAAUGCUUGUAAUACCAAAUAAGAAAGAAACAUGAGUAUAUCUUGAAUUAACAAUGCAAAAAUGUAAUGUUAAAGCAUCUUGUCAUACAGACCUCUUCAAGGUACCAGAAAUUUUGGCACUAAAGAUGUCACAAGCAGCUGAUAUGAAGCUGCAUUUUCUGUGAGUUGAAAUUUUGUCAAUAUAAUCAAUCACCUGAAGAGAGAGAGAGAGAAAGACAGUGAUAUCCAGAGAUGUGAGCCUAAAUGCUGAGUGUGUAAAAAAAGAAGAUUAAAUGGAUAGCAAGAAUAUACAACUUUAAUGCUGAAAAGAACAUUGAAUAUGAUGCUCAUUCAUCAUUGCCAUUGAACGUGUACCUUCUUCUUUUCCUCUUUCUCAAAAGCAAGUAGAGCCUUGAAGACUCGCCUAUAUGAUCCAUCAUCACAACCAGGCAAAGUUGUUUUAAUCAUAGCAACAAUGGCUCUAACUACCUGCCAUAAGAAACAUGCUACAUCAACAAGAUCACAGAGUGUACCAGAAACCGUAAUGUAGCAAAAUCUUAGAUAAAAUAGCUGGCCAAAAGGGAAUGGAAAAGCAAGCACAAAAAACAAUGAAAAGGACCAGUGAUGCCAAAAUUCUGGUGGAAAAGGUGAAAAGCUUACGUCUAUUACAGUUCUUGUAUGCAUUCUUUAUAACUUAAGUUCUACGCAGCAAAAACCACCUUAUGCACAACAAUAUUGGAAAAAUUAGAUACAUACAACUGAGAAGAUAGGUUUUCAUAGCUGGACAAGUGCUAACUACCUUCUUCCUAUAAACUGCCACUCCAUGAACAUUAAAUGGUAUUUUCCUUUCACGCAAGGCUGUCUGGAAGACUUUUCCUGAUACCUGUAGUAUAAAAUACAAAAGAAAAUGUGAGCAAAAUGUCUUAUAUGAUUCACCUCAUUCACAUUAGCACUAAGGCAAGUACGCUUGACCUGCCUCCGGUAAAGGAUUGCUAUAUUUCCAUAGGAGCACCCUGCUUCUGACCGUUUAGAUGCAGUCUCCAGGAUCUUGUCGACAACAAAGGCGCAUUGUGCAUCCUCAUUGUGACUUUCCUUGAUAAUUACCUACAUUUUGCCAGUAAAACCGGUGUCACUAACUAAAAGGACUGAAAAAUGACAUCAAAUUGUACUUGUUGGAGCAAGGAAAGAUUAAGUACCUUAGACCCAGAAGAAUUGUCCGUGUCAACAUUCUUUAGUUGGCAUCGCUUCUUAUUGUUUUUUAUAACAGAAGAUGCAGCUUCCACAAUAUAGCGUGUGGACCGAAAGUUUUUAUUAAGCCUAAUCUGAACCAUAAAGUUAUGUCAAAUCCCACAGAACCCCAUAAAAUAAAACUUACUUUCCUGUAAUUGUACAAUAUAUUUGUUCUAUACUAUAUAUAAUGAAAAAAGACACUGUGAAUGACAUAAGAUAACAUAGCAGUCAAGUGCGAAGCGAACCUCUUUGUUAUUUGAAAAAUCUUUACGAAAAGAAUCAAAUCCAGAAAUGUCCGCCCCAUUGAAACUGAAAAUGGACUGCAGCAGGAUAUAUGUUAUUUGAUUUAGAAAAGAUAAGGGCUGGAUUAAAAUGAGCUGAGAGAGAGAGAGAGGGAGAGAGGGAGCAAUAACAUUGGAUUUCCAUAAUAAAUCAACAACAUGCCUGAUCAUCAUCACCAACAAUGGUUAUGUGGUUAUGAGAGGCGAGAAUCCGCAAAAGACUAUAUUGCAUAGCACUUGUGUCUUGAAACUCGUCUAUUACAAUAGCUUUCCAUGACUCCUGGCACUCCUUCAACACUAAUUAAAAGAACACCAUGUAUCAACAUUUAGCAUUACUUGUAAAACUAGAUAAAUCAAUGAAAUAUACUUAGAUGAUAGAGACCUUCAGGAAAAUCACUUAGCAGCUUCACAGAGCAGCUAAUUAAGUCGUGGUAGUCCAAAGCGUUGCACGAUUUCAAGAUAUCAUUGUAAUUCCUAAGAAUUUCACCCUGAUUCAGAUUGAGAGCUAAAACUCAUAAGCAAUAGUUUCAAAGAACUGAAAUCAUAUCUGAAAUUCUAGUUCUGAGCGUACUCCUGUCACAUCACCCAUUCUUCGGCAUUCAGCGGGAGUCUUUCCAGAAGCUUUUGCCUGAAACAUAAAUAAAUUUAUUGCCUAAUGCCACAUAUUGUAAGACACACCAUUGUAUUGGUCAUUCUAGCUUGAUUGUAGCUAAUAUUUUUUAAAUCGAAUGAUUAGAGUUCUUAAUCCACAAUAAUCUGAACAUUAAAUUUGGUAUUCAAGACUGACCUGUGUCACAAACUUCAGCCAUUUCUUUGAUGCAUCCUUAAAAUGAUGUGGAGAUGUUACGCCGUUAGACUCUUCCCCAUCUAUAGCAACAUUAAGAUUCGUUUUACUCUUUUCAUCUUCUGAUAAACGCACAGCUUCAAUGAUUGCUCUUCUCUGUUGCCCAUGUCCAUAUAUCAAAAAUUCUGGUCUGCGCUCGAGUCUAAAACACAAGGCAACAUAACAGACUCAGCUAUACCACCAUAUGUAUGGUGUUCAAAAUCAAGGGAGGUGAAUCAAUAGCUUACUUCUCAGCAUGUGAUCGGCAAAGUUGCAAUGAAAAUGAAUGAAAUGUACUGAUUGUUAGUAGUUUGCCGUUGCUUUCCCAGUCACAGAUCCAAUUCGAUCUCUCAUCUCGGAAGCUGCUGCUGUAGUGAAAGUCAUUGCUAGAACGUUCGACGUGCUAAUGCCCUAAGAACACCCAAAAAAAAAAAACGAAUAAGAUUUCGAUCAUAAACAAGAAAUGUAGAGAAACAGACAAUUAUGAAAGAAAAAGUUAAGAGGGAAAGUAGCAACACCUCAUUGAGCAGCAUUAGAACGCGCCCAACUAUCGUUGAAGUCUUUCCACUUCCAGGGCCGGCAACAAUCAUCAAAGGUACUGAACUAUCGCUGCAAGCUGCCUCGAGCUGCCUUUCGUUGAGAGAAAGCAAAUACUUCAAAUACUCAUCCGGCAUGUUAGGCAAUCCAUGGUUAACAGAAUCUGUUUGGUUUUCACUACUCAAAGGCGGCGCUGAUGCGGCACUAACGACACUACCACAACUCCCAAUAUCAUCACGCUGAAUGUCCACACUCGUUUUCUGCUCGAUUAAAGCGUCAAUUUCCUGCAAAAUACUCUCAUCGAAAUCAUCAUCGUUAAGAAUUCCAGAUGCAGAGAAAGAAUCAAAUGAAGUCAGAAACUGCGGUUGUCUGAUUGGAGUUGUGAAAGAAUCCGAUUUUGACACGCUUGAUUCGGUCCGGCUAACGCUUAAGCUCCCGGAACACGAAGCACUGCCAUAUUCACCACGCGCUGAAUUGUACCGGCUUGCGGAAAUCGGAGGCGGUGUUCUUUGAACUCUAUUGAGCUGAGUUGGCGUUUGGAUUCCAUUUCCGCCACAGAUUCUGGAAUUUGAAAAACACAAUUGAAUUGAUUUAAAUUGAAGCAAGAAAACGGCCGAGUAGCAAAAAAAUAGUAAGAAGAUGAAACCUUUGAUUCCUGAACGACUUACUUGGUAUGAGGGAGGUGAUGAUCAGGUGAAACGGCGUCGUUGCGGGGGCGUUUGCGAUCAAUGAGGGCCUUGGCGGCUCUGCAAUUCCGAGAGAUGCGGUUUCUUUGUUCCGCCGUGAGCCCUCCGCCGUACGCCUGAACGUUUUCCUUGGACAUUGCUUCGAAGAUUCCAACGGAGGAUUUGGCCUGACGGCCUGACCAGGCUGAUAACAGUGUAAAACCUUAGGAGCUAAGGAAAAACUAAGAGAGAGAUCGUAGAGAGGGGAAAGUUUUUUGUUUUUUGGAAACUUAGAGAGGGAAAGUUUGUUAAACCUGCAUAAUAUUCUUUUCGUUCAACUUGUCUACAAUAAUUACCACUCUUGGUAUUUAUACAUUUGUAACACACCUCACUAACUAACUAAGACCACUACCAAUCAUACAUAAACACUUGUCAUAAUCCUAUGCACUCAUAGUAUCAUCACUCUAACAUCCCCCUCAAGCUCGUGUGGCAGAUUGCCAAGUAUGAAAUUGGAACAAUUACGAGUGAACUGGGGUGAACACAAGCCUUUGGUGAACAUGUCGGCAUAUUGAUCUGCAGAGGUAACAAACUGCAAAAUAAUUGUCCUUCGAUGAACUCUUUCACGAACAAAGUGGCAAUCAAUCUCUAUAUGUUUGGCUUUAGAGUGCAAUACAGGAUUAGUCGCAAGAGCCAUUGCUGAAAUGUUAUCACAAUUCAAAACUGGAACAGAAGGAUAACCAACAUGCAAAUCUCGAAUAAGUUGUUGUAUCCAGAUAACCUUAGCAGUGGUUGUAGCCAUUGCUCUAUAUUCAGCUUCAGUGGAAGACCUACUCACUGUAUGCUGCUUUUUAGAACUCCAAGAGAUAGGAGUAUCUCCCAAAAAAAUGACAAAACCCGUGGUUGAACGACGAUCAUUGGGAUCCCCUGCCCAAUCAGCAUCUGUAUAAGCUUUCAACUAAGAUGAACCUAAUUUAAAACACAAUCCCAAAGACAUAGUGCCUCUGAGAUAUCGCAGAAUACGUUUCACAGCAGCAAAUAAGUGGCUAAGGGUGAAUGCAUAAACUGACAUACUUGAUUGACAUAAAAAGAAAUAUCUAGUCUUGUAAAUGUUACGUAUUGCAGUGCCCCAACAAUACUUUUAUAAGUGGUAGGAUCAGAAACAGGUUCACUACCAUGAUUCAGAAGCUUCUAAUUAGGAUGACAAGGUGUGGGAAAAGGUUUAUAGUCCAGCAUAUGCAUAUUUUGAAGGAGUUCUUUGACAUACUUGGUCUGAUGAACAAAGAGUCCCUGAUCCUGAUACUCAAUCUGUAAACCAAGAAAAUAAUGCAACACACCUAGAUCUUUCAUGUCAAACUCACUAGUUAACUGACUAAUAACAUUAUGAACCUUCACAUCAUCAUUACUAGUGAGAAUGAUAUCAUCAACAUAUAAUAAGAGAACAAUAAUUGAUGAACAAUCACACUUGACAAAUAAUGAAGGAUCUGCAUAUGAGAUUGAGAGUUACAAGGAAAAGAUAUACAAGACUUAUUAAGUGUUGCAAUGACAAUGGAAUGUGCAGGAUCGCCUAAUCAACAAUGCCACAAUGUAGAAGAAAUCUUUUGACCCACAAAUGCAACUGGAUUAAAAACAGGAGAAAUAGACCUCUGUGGUUUGAUAUGGGAAGUGGAUAGACAACAUUAUUACUCAGCCCUUGGAAUAGCACUCUCCCGAUGACCUUGUCCUAUAGACAGAGAGAAACAUCAUCAAUGAUACAACGACACUAAUUAUCUUUGCACAACUAAUUCAUAGAUAAUAAGUGUUGUGAUAGUUUUGGAACAUGUAACAAAGAGUUUAACUUGAAAUUAUGUGACUUAGUGAGAAGAGAAGAGGAACCAAUAUGUUUGAUAGCUAAACCUUCACCACUAGCAGUGGUCACAGUAUCAUUUGAUGGAUAAAUUUGUUGCCAUGUGCAAGUUUGACAAAUCUGAGGUCAUAUGGUUAGUUGCUCCCAAGUCAAGAAACCAGAAAUCUUGUUGAAGAGUUGAGGAUGAUGCACCAGCUCGUGCUUGCACAGCAAGAGGAGGAUUUUGUGAGGAUAUAAUUGAGAGAUACAUAUGUGGUAUGACAGGAUACUGAAACUCGAAGCUAUUAGACUGUGGAAUCAUGCCUUGUGAAAGACCACAUGGAUUCUAGCUAGGUGCUUCACCAUAUGACCCAGUAGGCAUUGGAGUUGGCAUAGACGAGGAUAAACCCUGAGAGAAAUGCUAUGAUGUGUCUGUGAAAUUCUUAUUCCGAUCAAAGCAAGUAGCAGCAACACGGCAGCCUCUGUGACAAAUUUGACAUCCAUGUUGAAAACAAUUCAAUGCAGAAUGACCUUUGCGAUCACAUAUUUGCAUAAUGGCCUCUGUGAUCACAUAUUUGCAGAAUGGCCUUUGCAACCCUAGAAAGAACAAGGCGCGAAGAAGACCAAAUGUGUACGUUUCUCUUUGUUUUUUUUUCCCUCCUAAUCGUGCUGUUCGAAAUCACGGACCUCGGGCUUGGGCCUAAUGGGCCCAAUUAUGAGGCCUAUUAUCUCCGGUCUUCUCGUUCUACUUCUAGUUACCCAAAUUAAGAACGUGCUGGUUCGCUUUUAGCGCGAGAGAGAAAUGGAGGCCCUGAUUGCCUCGUACGGAAACUCGUCGUCGGGCUCAGACUCCGAGACGCCGGCUCCACCUCCACCACCACCUCCGGAGCUCAACAACCCUCAAGAACCGACCCCUGCGCUGCCUCCACCUCCUCUGUCACUUCUCGACAGCCCCAAUUCCUUCGGUAACCUCUGAUUCCCAUCAAUUUUCAUCUUUUAGCUUUCUGUUGUGAUGGCUUUUUCCGAGUUGCCCACCAAGUGUUUGAUAUUUUGCCUCUGAAGGAUUUCUGGACUUCUCGGCAAGCGUCCAGCCGAGCAGAGUUCGGAACUUUCCUCACGUCGAAGGGAACUACGCAGUACAUGUAUACAUCCCAGGUUAUCAAAAUUCUCGAAAUUUUCAGCUCCAUUAGCAAAUGCGAUCGCUUUGCACUUAGUUUUUGCUUGUUUAAUUGUGUGGUUCCAGUUUAUAUACCACCAGCACCAAGGAAAGAGAUGGCCUUGUUUUUGAACAAGCUAGCUUCUCUGGUGCCUUGUCUCCAUGCGGUUGACGUUGACUUCCCGCUUGACAUUCUGCGUAAGGACGAGCACAAGCUUGAACAAGUUGCUUUAGGCAGAGAGUUCCAUAUAAGUCUCGGAAGAACUGUUCCGAUUCGGGUGCACCAGAUUGAUUCCUUGGUGACAAUGCUGCGGCAGAAGCUUCAGAUUCAGAGGCGGUAUGGUUACAUUUACAUUCUCUUGUCUGCAUUGCGUGAAUUUAGUUCUGUUAUUUAACAUAAUUCUGUAAGCCUGCAAUUUUUUCGUCCAUUUUCGGUUUAACACAUUUUGUUAUUGUGCAACAGGUAUUGGAUUGAUUUUAGCAAGUGGGAGGUUUUUGUUAAUGAUGAUCAGACCCGGACCUUUGUGUCUAUCGAAAUCAUUGCUGCUGGGUUAGCUGAGGUAUGAUUGCUAGCUUUCUCUCUUGGUGCAAUUCUAAAUGUUUUCAGUUGUUAUAUGGGCUUAAGAUUUAGUAAGGACUUGCCGAAAGUCAUGGGAUUUUGAAAUAUCGAUAUCUUGCUUGCUUAUUAGCUUAGAUUUGGUCUUCGAUGCACUUGUAACAUGAAAAACACAAACGAAAACUAAUGCAUGAUAUGCUCAUGGUUUUAACAUGUGUUGUCCUGGCGUAAAUCAUGUUCCUAAUCCUGUCAUGUGAGUAUAAGCCUAUGAAACUCAGGGCAUGUUUGGCGGGCCGGACAAGAUUGGAAUUGGUAUUUCAGACUAGUUAGGUUAGGAUUGAACUGGAUAGGAUAGGUUUUUUUGUCUAAAGAUUGGUGUAGACUGUCUUAACCAGACUAGGAACGAUGGGAUUUAAAACGUGAAACAGAUCCGCGACAUCCCAACGAUGACCCGCCCACCCAACAACUCUGCUCGUGACUUGCAACACCUCUCGUACCCUCCACGCCCCUUGAGGCCCGUCAGACCACUCUGAUAUCCUGGAGGGGUGAAACGUGGUUACUAGAAGCAUACCUGUUUUCGUAUUAAUGCACAGUUGAAGCAGCUUUCAUUGUCUACAAGUCUGAAAUAUUUCAACUUCCAUUGAUUUCAGAUAACAAAGCAGAUUCAAGCUGUGAAUGAGGUGUAUAAGCUUCACAAUCUUCCUGAAUUUUACAAGGUUAGCUUUUUCGUGCUUUUCAAACUCGAAAUUACUUACUGAAUAUAUGACAAUAUAUUGGAGCAAAUGAUUGUGCCUGAAUGCUACUCAUUGCUCAAAAAACUAAAUCACUUCAUGGGGUGUUGGUGAUCACAGGAUCCGCGCCCUCACAUCUCGGUAGCUUGGGCAUUGGGUGACAUCGGCAAUUCCCUGAAGAAAGUGGUUGAAGAAGAAAGACGAAGAUCUACCAUCGGAGGAUCGUUACAGAAAUGUAUUUUUACCAGUAAAUUCAAUGGUAUUGAAUGUAGGAUUGGUAAUAAAACACACAAAAUAUGUAAAUUUUCUGAACAAUAAUGUAGCCAUUUAACUAUAUUGUGAAAUUCCGAGAAUAUAUCGCUGAGCAUUGGAUGAGAAGACAUUUCUUCGUUGGUGUCGAACUUCAUGCCGAAGGUAUAGACACCGUGUAAACGCCAUCAUCCAUGCAGUCUCCUGUGCAUUAUUUAGUAUUGUCUCAGUUUCUCCAAACUUGAAUGCUCCUAUAAACCCACUCUUGACCUUUCCGUCAUCUGCGAUUACCGGAAAGCUGGCAAGGAUGUUGCCGUUAACCUACCUAACCGGCUAGGAUGUUGCCGUCAUCUCCAAACUUUAAAUACCGGAAAGCCGGCUCCAAACUUCAAUGUGCUACUAGUUUUUGUAUGCGAGAGCUCCACCUCCAUUGUUGUAACAGCAUCUGAUGCGGACUAGUCCUUCAUUCCCGUUACUCUUUGCUAUCUCCACUUCGAACUUGGCGUAAUGGCUCCCGGCCUCCUCUCCGGUGAAAUUGAGAAACCCCGGAGCUGGCGUUUUCAUUCUGUUGUCCGUAUAUCUUGUAUUACAAGUAUUUGUUGUGCAAAAUGCAAGCUAAGUUCAAUUUAUGUUUAUGUGUGUGUGUGUGUUGCCACUUUGUCACUUUUCCAACGUUUUCUCCAAAAUUGUGAUUUUGGUGAAUCCUAAUAACAAUUCCCUCGUUAAUCAUUGGGACGAGCACCAAGGCAGUUUUGAUUCCGUGCACAACGGCGAUACCUCGAAAGAAAUUGAUUCUAACCCAGAAAGAUGUUUUAAAUCAAAGUUGAACAAGGGAAGAAAACUUUUGAAUCGCAAUCACAUGUCUGGUCAAAUUCUUGAACAGUUGAUGUAUACAGACGUUCCUUGCUUAUGACACGACUUAUGAGAGGAUGUAUGUAUUGCAUUUGCAUCAAAAAAGAGAGAGAAGGUUGUAAGUGGUAAGGGAACGACUACCGAUGCCGCUCCACUUCUAAUCAAAGGGAUCGAUCCGAGGGUCGUGUUCACUUGCCAUCGCCAUUCCAGUGCAAAGGCAUGUCGGGCACAUUACCUGCCACAUUUACAGACGCAAUGUUAGAUAUAGCUGCCAUUUGGAAGUCACUUCUCAAAAUUUUGCUACUAAAUUAAUCUUAGACUUCAUUUCCAGUGCAAUUUUUUGCUACUAAAUUAAGCUUGUGAAUAUAGUACAUCUAAGCGGCAGGCACUAAAAGGAAUUUAGUAUGCAAUAAACAUUCAACGGACUAACCUUUCCCGCUCCUGAGCAAUUUGAACAUCGUUCAGUUUUUGGCAGAGAUAGGGGUUGGUUUCCGCCAUCAGCUGUCGAUACUGGUUCAGUAAGAACAAGGGUUCCAGUGCUGGAGCAACGAGCACAAGCAAGAUAUCCUGCGUAAGUAUCAAAUACACAGGUAAGUUGACAUAUGAAACCAAUCUGUGUAAACUACACUGUAAUAGCAGAAGAAUAUGCAGUACGAGAGAAAGAGAGAGAGAGAGAUUUAGAGAGAGAAGUUAAUACUUCAUAUGUAAUAUUUUCUAUAUCAUCAAUCUUACAAUAUUAAGACUAUAUACUAUAUGAAACUGCUAACUAACUCUAACAACCUCUCUAACAACCUUUCUAAUCUUUUGACAAGUGUCUUCAUAUUCUACCAUUGGAUUACUAUCCUUAACAUCCCCCCUCAAGCUCAGGAGAGGUAGAAUCCAAACUGAGAUUGCGACAAUGAAUCUGAAAGAGAGGAGCAGAUAAUCCCUUGGUCAGUAUGUCUGCAUAUUGCUCACUGGAAGACACAAACUGAACAAGCAACUGCUUCUUUGCAACUCGUUCGCGAACAAAAUGAAUAUCAACCUCAAUGUGCUUUGUGCGUUGAUGUAGAACUGGAUUGGAUUAAGCAAUUACUGACCUUUGUGCAUCUUACUAUUCCUACUUCACCAGUUUUGUAUUGUGAUAAUAUGUCAGCAAUCGCAUUAACAACCUCUCUAACAACCUUUCUAAUCUUUUGACAAGUGUCUUCAUAUUCUACCAUUGGAUUACUAUCCUUAACAAUCUGAACAUCUCCAUCGUAUAUAUUUAAAGCUACAGUACAUAAAACGAAAAGUCAGAAAUAGAGGACAUUAUCACACCAGUUCCAAGACAAUAUUUGCAUCGUUUAUGCUCCUGCUGUUUCACAUUGUUUAUUUCAACUACCAUCAAUGCUGAGAUCACUCCGACUGCUCCUCCAGAGAAUGACGCCACUAUGGGAUCAACUUGACUGCAGUUUGAAAGUAAAGGAGAUCAAUAAACAAAACUGUUAACAACAUAGUAUCAACAUUAUUUAGCUUCGUUUCAAGAAAUAUGACAUCCUAGGUUUUUCUAAUGUGUAAAAAUUGAGGAUCCUUGACUAUAUCGGUUCCCAAAGCAUUUGAUUCCUACGUUACAGACGGAAAACAGUAACAAUCGAAUUUAAAGAUUCAUAACACGAUAGAUGGUAGGUCUCGGGUUCGAGACUUGGGAGCAGCCUCUCCAUAAAUGGGGGUAAGGCUAGCCGACAUUCACCUCUCCCAGACCCUGCGUAAAGCGGGAGCCUUGUGCACUGGGUACGACCUUUUAUAACACGAUAGAUGGUACAAAUUUUCAAAACGAUAAUUACUAGAGAACAGGAGGGUUAAUAGCCUGAGAUAUGAGCAAUACCUCAACUGCAACGGCAGAUGCAUAUUUACUAUAAAGUCUUUAUAUGAUGUGCCUCCUAUUCCCAGCUUCAACUCCAACUGAAAGAUGUAAAGGUAAUUGUAGGCAAAGAGUUACAAACAUAACCGAAUCCAUGUUUUAUAAGCAACAACUACACUUAUUUUGUUAUGUUUCCUCAUUUUUUACUUGCAAAUUCCGAACCAUAUUGUCGGACCAGUAAAAAGAAAAUAAUGUUUAUGAUAACUGUUAAAACUAAUCACAACAAGUUAAUGCAUAAAGAACUUACGGAGGGUGCUAUGAGGCCACCGAAAAGGAUAAACCCCGCAAUAAUUGAAUAACAAACAGCAUAAUAUUGCUUAAGGUUGUCUGAACUCUGCAAGCAAUGAAUUCACCUUGUGAUUAAUACUUUGCACAAACACUAGUUUUCGCAAUUUUUUAUGAAUCGACAAAAGGCUACAACAAAAUAUGGCUAAAACAUGUGAAAAUACAUGUCUUCACAGGGGCACCAGCUUACCAGGGGAGGCAAAAAUGGAAUGAACGAUGGAAAACUAGGAAGUUCGUUUUCUUGAUCUUCAUUUACCGCUCCAAGCUCUGCACGUUUAAUCCGCUGUUGUAUCCUCAGCCCGCGAACCUACGCAUAUCGAAGCUCAUUCUUAAAGAACACAUUUCUAAUGGCAAUUGGAGAGUAAUUUAAAACAUGCUAAACUGAGAAAGUGGUAGCAACAAGCAAUUGCUCUCACUUCCUCCAUAUGCAAGAAAAUUUUGUUGCGACGACUCCGAAUAUUAUCUUGAAUUUCCUGCAGCUCCAUUGUCGCAAAGUCCUGCACUGUUUCAGGCCCCUCUAUGAUACAAAAUCUGCACAAUUAAGCAUGUAAAAACUAAAAAUUACAGGCUAUAAAACAAUUUCCGUAUCAUUUUUGGGAGCUCUCUCUCUCUCUCAAACCAGAAGGCAGAGCUUUCUGUUUCUCUUGAGGUUUCUUUCACUGGUAAAUUCCAGAGAAGCAGAGAAGAAGGCUCUCUGAGAAAUGGCGAUGGUGCAAGUGGAGACAAAACAAAUGUAUAUCUUGAAGCACCGAAAUUGUGCAGAACACUUGUCAACUACCGAACUCUAGGAUUAGGAGAGAGAGAGAGAGAGAGAGUGAGUGACCGGCAAAAAAAAAAAUGAGGGAAGAAUCACCCACAUUUAAAAAUGAUUUUUAGGGGACCUGGUGUCGUUGGAUUCGAGUAGUUGUUCGGUAUGUCACAUUUAAAAUUUUAUUAUCUGAUGAUAAACGUCGAAACAUAAAGAUAGGUCAUCUCUAACCGAAUGAGGACUAAAAAGUCAUGUUUAGUACUAUAAUCCUGCAAUGAAUUAUAUUUUAAUAAAUAAUAUCAGGUUAUAUUUUAUACCAUAUCUAACCGAGUGGGUCAAAUGAUCAUAUGCCAAACAUAGCCUUUUGACAAAAAACUCAUCUCCAACCGAGGGGGCUAAAUGGUCAUAGACCAAACAUAAUUGCUCAAUAAUUUAUUAUUCUAAUUGAAUUAAUAUGAUUAAUUAAAUUAAAUUACCAUAUUAAAAUAAGAUUUCAUGAUAUAUUUUGAGUGCCACUUGCCACAAUACCGAAGAAAGCAUGGUAUUAUUGCACCUGCCACAAAGUCAAGCUUGACAUUCUGCUGCUGGAGGGCUGGCUGGCUAGCUGAAAAUGGCCAGCCUGCUGGCCUGAUUUGGGAGGUUUUGGCCCAAUGGGGCCCCAAGCCCUUUGGCCUAGCCUUCGGUUGGAAACGGUUUUCGUGUUAUUCUGAGUUAUUUUUAACCCUAUGAUCCUUUGGCCGGAUCGAUUGGAGAUGACCUUAGGUGUGUUGAUUGUCUUUGAGACAUCGGAGGUUCUGUGUGAUUGAAUACUUCACCCUCCUCCAAAGGCGCCACUCUUGAGAAGGUUACUUGCCUCAUGCAAACAUUGUGAAUUGCAAGUGAUGAAUUGUUCUGAUGAUGAGGUUUAUUUUUUAACUCAUUAUGUUUCAAGUUUAAACAUUUUUCCCUCUCUUAGUGUAAAAUAUUGUUUGUGAUAAAAAAACUUAAAAUGAGACACUCUCCUUCAUAUAUAAGAUGAUCAAGUGUGAGAUUAAUACUUUUAAUGAGUGACUCAAUUAACCAUUUUCAUUUCUUACGCGUUCAAAAUUAGACAAAUUCUUUGCAUACAUUUAAAAAAAAAAGAUAUUAAGGAGAGUAUAAAAUUAUUACAUUACGAAGAGAGAGUUUCGAACUCGGGACGUAUGAGUAGAACCCUAACGCCUCUCCACUAGGAUAUUAGACCAAUACUGGUCUUGAAUUUUUUUGGUGCCCGGAGCGAAUGCUCAAAACGUGUCUUUUUCCAGUACAACAUAAAUUAAAAAGAAAUAUUUAUAGAGGGCUAGAACCCAAUCGAAGCUGGGGGACUAGGCCCUUACGCCUAUAUUAUAUUACUUACCUAAUACAAACAUUUCUGAUAGAUUUCAGAGGCUCUAAAUGGUCAAACACUUCGUCCUUCCCAAAACCGUUACUGUUGAGAGGGUUCCUUACCUAAUACAAACAUUUUACGUUUACUUAGAACUAGAAAAAUAAGAAUUGCAGGUGAUGAAUUGCUCUAAUGAUGAUGUUUAUUUUUUAACUUAUUGUGUUUUAAGUUUAAAUAAUUCUGUUUCUUUGAUAUAUAUAUUAGUGUAAAAUCAUUCGUAAUAAUAAAAAAAAAGAAUAAAAAUGAUACUCUCAUUUAUAUACAAGUUGAUCAAGUGUGAGAUUAAUAAUUUUAAUGAGUGAAUUAACUAUUUUCAUUUCUUACGAGUUCAAAAUUACACAAAUUCUUUGCAUACAUUUUUUUUUUAAAUAGAAAAUUUCUAUUAUUAAGGAGAGAGUCCUAAACUAUUAGGUUAUGGAAUGUGAGUAGAAACCUAACGCCUAUCCACUAGGAUAUUAGACCACCAGAGCUGAUCCUGAGAUUUUUGGUGCCUGCGUCAAAAUAUGUCCUUUUCCAGUACAACAAUAUAAAUUAAAAAGAAAUAUUUAAAGAGGGCUGGAACCCAGUCGAAGCUGGGAGGCUAGGCCCUCACGCCCAUAUUCUAUUACUUGAAGAAACAAUAUACAACGGGGGGAAUCAUAGUACCGAAACCCCAACAAUAAAAAACAAAGUCACAUGCAACCACUCCAAGCAGUCAACUUGGCCAUUACAUAUUGAAUCCAAAAGGUUGACGGCCUAUUCUCUGCAUACAAUGCACAGAAGAUAACAAGAUUACUAAUAUAAAAAGAACAUCUGAAAAGAUGAACAUAUGCAUCAACAAAUAAGCAGGGGCGGAUCCACAGUGGGGUCGUCGGGGUCAAACGACCCCUUGGAAACCAUGGAAACAACCUUGAAGCUCCCAUAUGCGACCUCUUGGAGCUGGGGUUGUCGGGGUUGUCAGGAAGAGGAAGAAGAAGACUCGGCAGGAAGAGGAAGAAGAAGCAGCUCGCGCGACGUGUAGGUUCUGUGUAGAGUUUCUGACCUUUAAUUCCCACUUCACAAAGACGAGAGAAAGAGAGAGAGGGAAGGAAAGUCCUCGGGGUGGUGGUGAUGUAGACCUUCGUCGGGGUAGUGGUGUGGGUGUGCGUGGGUGUGGAUUCGAUCGGAGAGAGUGAGAGGGUUAAAGAGUGAAAAAGAGAGAGAGAGAGAGAGAGAGAGAGAGAGAGAGAGAGAGAGAGAGAGAGAGAGAGAGAGAGAGAGAGAGAGAGAGAGGAGAGUUCGGGGAGAUGAGAAGGAGGACAAUGGGGACUUGCCCCGUGGCAAGUUGUGAUAGGUAGGAAAUCCCAAAAAGGGAUCCGGAUAGGGUAAGUAAGUGGGGACCAAAUUGUAAACUUCAUUUAACUGUAGGGAAAUUGUGAAAUUACAAGGAAAUCUUUGGGGAGGGGUUUUACAGAAACCCUUCUCAACACUUAAAAGCAAACUGCGUGCUUUUAAUCAGGUUUGGCUCUAUAAUUGAACUUGUAACCAUGCCUUUCCCUAUGACGGAAUUGUGAUAUGCUUUGCCAGAUAUUCACAAGGAAUUCAUUUUUCUUUUUCCAAUUGCAAAAUAUUAGUGAACAAGUUGUUUCUUCUAUGAGAGAUCCAAGCAUAAUGGUUGGGUAGAUGCAGAUGAGAAAAUCAGCAGUUGCUGUAUUUGGCACAGUAAGAUAUUAACUCUUACAUCUAAAUUGAAAAACAUGAAAAUUUCCUAGUUCUCAAGGUCUCACGUGCAUGCUCAGAUACAUUUGUGCUUCAUAUUUGUGUGUUUGAUUCCGAGAAGGCUGACAAGUUGAAGCAAUCUCUUCCUCCAUGUUUGAACAUUCAGGACCUUUGAACAAGGAUUUUGGAGUAGCUGGUUGCGCUAUCCUACCAAGACCCGAUGAAAUGACGAUAUGCAUGCCGUUUCUGUUAAAAAAAAAUAUCCUUAUUGACCCCCCAAACAUUAUUUCCUGGAUCCGCCACUGCAAAUAAGUAAACCAUUCUAAGUGCAAUUUUAGAAGUGAUACGCUCCAAGUGUGAUAUUGGACAGAAGAGCGGCAGCUUCAACCAGUUCUGCUAUAUCCGGCUGGAUGAGAGCUGCUAAAGACAUGAUUGUUCCCUAAUAACAUGAAUAAAUUGAGUAAACACCAAAAGUAGCGCAGCAAGGGAAGGAGAUUUGAAGUAGAUGAAGAGGUGUAAUACCCGUAUAUGCAGCGCAUCAUUUCUGAUAGAUCAAAUCGAGCCAAUUCCUGCCAACUCCAAUGCCGAUAAUCCUACAGUAAAGCAUAAAUCUUAUUCUCUUCUGAUAAAGAUGUGUGUCCCUGACUCCAACGUGUUUGACGCACAUUCCCUACCCAUACAUUGAAACCUUCAUCUGCAAGGACGAAUCCCAGUUAUUCUUCUGGAGAAUUUAAGAACCAUGAAUCACCUGGUCAAGAAAAGCCAGUAACCAAUUACAAUUGAGUUUGAAGCACAUAAGAGCCUAAUUUAAAAUGUAUCCCAUGGAUGUUCAUCAAUUUACACAAUAGUUAGUUUCAAGAAAGGAAAUUUCAACAGAACCUGAAAACUUCAGAUCAGGGGGCACCAAAUAGUGAGCUAUACAUUCAAAAUUUGAAAUAAUCAACUUAGUGGGACCAAUAUGUUGAAAAAAUUGGAAGGAGCUAUGAAAGUAAGGCUUUUCACUAAUCAGACGUCCAGAGAAUCAAUAUUUUACUCACGGAUCAGUUACGGGGAACACUCCCCACCAAAGCAAACUCUUUCGUCUGAAUCUGGAAAACAAGCAGCAGUGGAUUUUAACAGUCUGGGUAUCUCAAAGUUACUUUAAUCACAAAUUUAACAAUUAAACAUAUAAAUGGGCAUUAUUUAGUGAAAUAUUAGUAUAGUACUCACUGUGUGCUCGGAACAAGAGUACCCAGAAAGCUCAAUGAGCUGCGCACAGAGGACUACAGCGGUGAACGACAGCGACCGAUUCUGUAAAAUUCAGUCGAGUUUUGGGUGAUUUCGGAGGUCAAGAGGCUGAUAAGGAAAGCUGCGACCGAAGGGCACUGGUCUGGAAGAAAAGGCUCAGGUCACUGCUGUCCCAAUUCGCGAAGGAAGUGCCCCCAAAACAAUUUCGGCCCUGGACAGGUGCACUGUUUGCACUGGACCAGGGCCGGCCGGCCCAGGCGAUAACGUCCCCCAAACAGUACAUAUACAGAUGCUAGAAAUAUAUUAAUGUAACCUGAAACUACUAGAACCAUUCAAUUCUAGCGUCUACAGCUUUAGCAUUAGUUGGUACAUGGGACAUUCUUCCAAAGAGGGAGAUGAGCUCGUUGAGGCUCUUAUUUAUUCCCCCUCUUGAUGUGCCCUUCUAGGCUGCUAAUUCCAGACGAUCCAAUCUCAUACAUCUUCCCUGCAAAAGCAUGUGUGCCAGACUUCAAGAUCAAAUUUUUCCAACAAAAGAAACUUAAAGAUCAAACUCGCCAGCGGAAUAAAUGAUGCACAAGGGUGUUAAAAUCUUGACAUAUGUAUAUUUUUGGCAGAUUUUAUGUGAGCAUGCUACUAAAACUGGCAUCACUAAAGAUUGGUGGAAAACUUUAACAGUUUGAGUUGUAACUUCUCCAUUGUAUUUGUUAAGGCAAGAUGGAUGACAUCUAUGCAAUUUUCAGUAGAACUUAAAAGGCUGCAUAGCAGCUCUUGUUCGUUGUAUUGAAUACCGUGGUUUUACUGAUGAAUGCAGAGUUUGUUGAUGAUUCAUACGACAAGCAAUUGAAAAUCCCAUCAUUAUGCCCCACAUAUACCAAAAAAAAAAAGUCAUUUACACAAAUUCAGAGCGUUCAUCCACUGUAAUUUGCAGAUAUAGAAACGUUAAGAUAAAAGGAAAUGCAAAGUACCUUUCACCCAAAUUGGAGGAGCACCGGUGGCAUUAGCAAGUUAGCAACGGGAAUUGACAUACCAAUAUCUUCACAGUUUCUGCACAAGCACAAAUCAAAAGAACCCGGCGGUGGAGUUAUGUACCUCUCCUUGGAAAAUGCCACCUCUUGGGAUUUCAAAAUAUGCAGCCAUGGCUAGCCGUCUGACCACGCCAAUUCCACCAAAGCCACCGCAACGCGGCGUAGUGUCCGAUUGAUUGCUUCAAAACAGAGCUUCGUAUCCAUGUGUUUAUCAGCAGAGAGUACCCAAAACCACUGAAAAUUAUUUCUUUAUUCAGAUAAUAAAAUUUCCCAAAUUUGGAAAUUUAAUUCCGAAUCAAAAGUAGGGUUUGAAUUUUGAUUACCUAGAAAUUGGGGGGUUGGGGUGGAGAGGGACCCGUGCCACGACGGAUCUCUGUGUCUGUUUUAACUCAUGCCAAAUUAUAGAGAGUGUCAGGAAGACUUAAAUACUGAAGCCCCGUAAGCCGUUCAAUCCAGGGGGGAAGCUCUUUGAUAGAUGUUUUAUCCAAGAUAAGAUAUCUUAAUCCUUCCAUAUUUUCUUCAAUGCUUGGAAACACCUCAAAUUUUGUACAACCGGAAACAGAGAGACGGACAAGGGACUUGAGCUGACAAAUGCUGCUUGGAAGGCUCUUUAGUUCCUCGCAGUCGUUUAGCUUCAAAUAAGUCAAUCCCGUGAGAUUAUUAAUCGACCAUGGUAGUUCUUUAAUUUUUGAUCCGGAUAAAUUAAGAAAUUCUAACCCUUCAAUCACUUCUGUAAUCUCUGGAAACAUCUCAAGGCUCGAGCAACCAUAAAGAUCAAAGCUUUUGAGUGAUUUCAUACGAAUGCUGCUGGGAAGACUCUUAAGUUUCUUGCAGUAUAGUAGAUUCAAAUGACUCAACCCCGUAAGAUUAUUAAUUGAUGGGGGCAGUUCUUUAAUUUUUGAGCAGCGUAAAUCAAGCUUUUCUAACCCCUCAAUACCUUUUGACAUCGAUGGAAACAUCUCAAGACUGGAGCAGCCAUGAAGGUUCAAGGUUUUGAGACAUUUCAUACGAAUGCAGCCUGGAAGACUCUUAAGUUCCUUGCAAUCUUUUAGGUUGAAAUGACACAACCCCGUGAGAUUAUUAAUUGACAUGGGCAGUUCUUUAAUUUUUGACUCGGAUAAAUUAAGCUCUUCUAACUCCUCCAUACAUUUUGAAAUCUCUGGAAACAUCACAAGAUUGGAGCAGCCAUAAAGAUUAAAGGUUUUGAGAGAUCUCAUACGAAUUUUGCUGGGUAGACUCUCAAGUUCCUUGGAAAAUUCUAAGUUUAAAUGACUCAAUCCCGUGAGAUUAUUAAUUGACUCGGGCAGUACUUUAAUUUUUGACGCGGUUAAAUUAAGCUCUUCUAACUCCUCCAUACCUUCUGAAAUCUCUGGAAACAUCUCAAGAUUGGUGCAACCUCUUAGAUUAAAGGUUUUGAGAGAUUGCAUGCCAAUGUUGUUGGGUAGAAUCUUAAGUUCAUUGCACCAAUUCAGAUCUAAUAAAACAAGCUUUGUAAGAGUCAAAAUCGACCCGUGAACCUCAACUAAGCGUGUACAACUUUGAACAAUUAGCCUCUCAAGAUUUGGCACAUUUGUGAAGUCAGGGGUUAUCUCAAGGUUUUGACAAUGACUUAAAUUGAUGAAUUUCAACUUUUCCUGCGUCUGUUAAAACAUUCAGGAAAACAUGCAUUACUUAAUAAGACAUCUUACUCAAAGCCCAAACAUUUAAAAGAAACAAAUACAAGUAAAUGAUUGUACAUACCUGGGUUCCUUCCCAAAGUCGGUUAAUGAGACUACAUCGCAUGUCAAGUUCAACAAGAUUUUUGAAUUGAAAGUUGGAUGGCAAAGACUUGAGAGGGAAUUGAAACCAGGAGAGAUACCUCAAGUUAGGUAACUUAAAACGGAGCCCACUCAGGUGGUGUUUCCAGUAAUCACGUUUAAAAACGGAGCCCUCACUACUGAUCUUGAGAAGUCUUAGUUGAGUCAUACUAGCAAAAGCUUUAGCAUUUAAGCAUACCCGGUCUGAGUACGAGAAAUCCACGAUUAUGCUUUCAACUGUUUUCGUAGCCUGUGCAAAUCAAAGUAUUAGAAAAUACAAAGAACCUUAGUUUAGAUUAUGAAAUUAAUGCUUGUUUCUUAGGGAGCUGUUUGAUAAUCAUUUCGUUUUUAGUUUAAUUUUUUUUUCAAUUUUCAAUUAUUCAAACAAUGAAAACUAAAAAUUAAAAAUUGAAAACAAAAAUGGUUAUCAAAUGGCCUAAGAAAUUGAUUUUGGUCAAAAGUUGAAGCUUUCUACUAACAAUUGCAUAAGAAAAAGACUUCUCACCGUAUUUUGAGUUAGCAUUUGAUUAACAUCUUCAUAACUCCACAACCUACUUCGUUUCCCAGGCUCUUUGAUAGAUUCUUGACGGACGAUUUCCCGACCCAUUUCCUCUAAUGAAUCAUGCUUCUCCAGUUCCCCCUCCCCUGAGACAGUUAUGAGAGCAUGAUCGAUUAGAACUCUUAUUCCUAUAUGAGGAUGGAAACCACAAUCGUCCAUAAUUCGGGUUGCACAGUCUUUCUUCAUCCCUUUAAAGAAACAUGCAAUAUCUAGAAAGAUGUCUUUCACUGUGUCAUCUAGUCCAUCGAAGCUUGAUUUAAGCACAUCAUGAAUUCCCCUUUGCGGGAUUUUCCUUAUUUUUUCUAACUCAUCUUCCCACUCACGGAUAGUUUUUUUAAGAAGAAAAGCUCCCAAAACUUUGAGUGCUAAGGGCAGACCUUGAGCAUAUUUUACGACACGCUUAGAGAGAUCAUCAUAAUCUCUGGUGGGUUGGUUUUUUCGGAAGGCGUGCUGCCUAAAGAGUUUCAGAGCUCCAGAAUCACUCAAAGUCUUGGGAUUAUAUAUCACAUCAACUAUGCUUAGUAACUGUGAAUCUCUACUUGUUAUAAUAAUCCUACUUCCACCACCAAAGGAAUGUGGCUCUCCAAGUAAAGCAUCAAUUUGUUCUGAUUUGUCCACAUCAUCAACAACAAUAAGAACUUCUCUGACCAAGGCUUUUUAACAUCACCUGAAAACCUUUGUUCGAUAUGUCAGAGCUCCCCACCUUGUUGUCCGAGAUACUAGAUAGAAGUUGUGUCUGCAUAUGUAGUUCGCCGUGCUUCAUGAAACCCUCCUUGACAUUUUUAAGAAAGCAACAAGUUUCAAAUCGACUAGCGAUUUCAUCAUAAACAGCUCUAGCGAUGGUUGUUUUGCCUAAACCACCCAUACCCCAUAUUCCAACAACGCGAACAUUAUUCGUUUCAACUCCAGGAGGAUGUAAUAAUAAAUGCAUUUCAUGCAUAUGAGAAUCCAUGUCAACCAAGCCAUUCUCUUUCCUUGAUGAUGAUGAGAUGUCAAUCAAUUUCCGAUAAACAUAUUCUACAAUUUCCUCUACGAGCACCGCAUCACUCCUGUCAAAUUAAAAAAAAAAAAUAUAAUAACAACAAAAAAUAAUAAUUAAUAGGUCUUUUUCAUCUGUUAGUUUUAAAAAAACUAGAAAUUAAAACCAAAAUCUUGUUGUGGUCUAUUUUAUCUGACAGAGGGACUAGGGCCGGCGGCAGAGAGAGAGAGGAGAGAGAGGUGUGUUUGUAGAAUUGUAGGGGAAUGUGUGUGUUGUUAUCCCUCCUACAUUGUGCCUUUAUUUAUAGUAGUAAAGGGAGAGAAGAUAUUCCUUCUUCUCCAAGUAAUACAAGUUGUAAUAGGAAAGGAUAACUAGAAUCAAAUCUUAUCUAGGAUUUACACAAUCAUACUUAAACUAGGAAUGUUUACAACACUCCCCCUUGAGUGGGUAAAUACUCAAGGUAGAUUCAGCAUCAUGCAGAAGUUGAGGAAGUCGACUCGUCGGCAUUGAUUCCAAGGAACAACGCUUAUUCUCAAUAAGGUAGGAACUUGCAUAAGUAGUAAGUCUCACUAAAAAACCCUAAGGCUAUGGCAAAAACCCAAGUAGGGACAAAAUCCAUAGUCUAAGGAAAAAUGCGUGAGGAAUGCAAAGUCAAAAGAAACGUCUACAGGACAUCAUCAGGGAUAUGACCAGCCCAAGGUGGGUGCCUCGUUAAAACCUAGUUAGGUAGCAAAAACCCAGUGGGAAAAAUGCUCCUAAUCGUAGGGAAAAAGAGUACAUUAAGAUCAAGCAAGUAUCCAGAAGAAACUCCCCCUGAGUUUGACAUAAUUCCAAAGAGAAAUAGCAAAGUUACAACUCAGAAAGUUUUUACGCAUACCAAUUCCAUGAACAAGCUUCUAAAAACGUCGCCUUCGGUAGUGAUUUGGUGAAGAGGUCGGCCAGAUUGUCUUGUGAUCGGAUUUGCGUGACUUCAAUCUUCUGAUGCUCUUGUUGUUGAUGUGUAAAGAAGAACUUCGGCGCAAUAUGCUUGGUGUUGUCUCCUUUGAUGUAACCCUUCUUGAGCUGUUCGAUGCAAGCUGCGUUGUCUUCAAAAAUCGUCGUCGGGGCAUUAACGGCGGGAUGAAGAUCACAGGAGCUUCGAAUAUGGCCCACUACUGCUCUCAACCAAAAGCAUUCCCGAGUUGCUUCAUGUAAGGCGAGAAUUUCAGCAUGGUUAGACGAAGUGGCAACUAAGGUCUGUUUAGUUGACCUCCAAGAUAUUGCGGUGCCUCCAACGGUAAAGACAUAACCCGUUUGAAGAACGCGCCUUGUGCGGAUCAGAUAAGUAUCCAGUGUCGGCAUAACCAACAAGGCGAGAAUCAACCCGAUGAGCAUAGGGUGCGGCAUCACUCGAGGAUUCGUAGGGAUAAGAUAAAGCCCAAAUCCGUAGUACCCUUAAGGUAACGGAAGAUGUCUUUCACGCCAGUCCAAUGUCUGCGUGUUGGUGCAUUGCUGUAUCUUGCCAAAAGAUUAACAGCGAAGGAGAUGUCGGGUCUAGUGCAUUGAGCUAAGUACAAUAAAGCGCCUAUCGCACUUAGAUAAGGAACUUCAGGCUCCAAAAUCUCUUCAUCAUCCUCCUUCGGACGGAAGGGAUCUCGCUUUGCAUCUAGCGUACGAACGACCAUAGGAGUACUCGAAGGCUUCGCUUUAUCCUCAUUAAAACGGCGCAACACCUUCUGGGUGUAGUUCGAUUGAAGUACUAGGAUUCCAUCCGAACAAUGCUCUAUCUCGAGGCCGAGACAGUAUCGAGUCUUACCUAGAUCUUUCAUCUCAAAUUCCGACUUCAGGUGCGAAGCAGUUCUCGCGAGCUCUUCAGGAGUUCCGAUGAGAUUCAUGUCAUCGACAUAUACUGCAACAAUCGCAAAUCCGGAAUGUGACUUCUUAAUGAACACACAAGGGCAUAGUUCGUUAUUCACAUAUCCCUGACUAGUCAAAUACUCACUUAAACGGUUAUACCACAUUCUUCCGGAUUGUUUCAAACCGUAUAGUGAACGCCUCAGCCGAAUUGAGAGCGUGUUCCGAGGUUUGGAAAUAUUUGAACCAGUCAAUGUAAGUCCUUCGGGAACUUUCAUAUAAAUUUCCGUAUCAAGAUCCCCAUAGAGAUACGCGGUUACUACGUCCAUCAGCUGCAUAUCCAGUUUUUCGGAAACUACCAAACUGAUAAGGUAUCGAAAAGUAAUCACAUCCAUAACGGGUGAGUAAGUUUCGUCAUAGUCAAUCCCGGGGCGUUGUGAGAAACCUUGUGCUACAAGACGAGCUUUGUAACGCACAAUUUCGUUCUUCUCAUUACGCUUCCGAACGAAAACCCACUUGUAGCCAACGGGCUUCACAUGUGGAGGAGUAGGAACUACAGGUCCAAACACCUUACGUUUCGCAAGUGAAUCAAGUUCGACUUGGAUUGCUUGUUUCCAGUUUGACCAAUCAGCUCUACGUCGACAUUCAUCAACGGAACGCGGUUCAAUGUCAUCGCUCAACAUGAUCUCAGUAGCUACUGCAAAUGCUAAUGCAUCGUCGACAAUCAUCUCAUUUCUACGCCACACAUCAUCUAAGCUAGCAUAAUAGACCGAAAUCUCACGAUUCUCGGGAGGAGGAUUCGUCUCUUCAAGGACGCUUCCAUAAUCUAGAAUUUCCUCAUGAGUUGGGUAAAAUGAGUAAGCGAUAGUCGGAUUCACGGUAGGCUCUUCAGGACCUUGUGCCGUGGUUUUCCUCUUCCGGGGGUGUGAAUCCUUUGAACCAAGGGGUCUGCCACGCUUUUGUGUAGGGGCAGAUGAUUGGCUAGCCGCUAAUGUACGUGGAUCACCAGAAUUGGCGUCCCGGGCUUCCAGGAGGGUAGUCCGUCGUACAUUUGGUACAUCCAUCUUUGCAGGCGUUUUCGCAGCUGGAAUAUGUGAUCUUGUCACGCGCGCUAGAUCGGUGAAAGCAUCUGGCAUGCUCUGAGCUAUGCUCUGGAGAUCUAAUAUGCGCUGCACUUCAGCUUCAGACUGAGCGGUGCGGGGAUCUAAAUGAGACAAAGUGGGAGUCAUCCACGAUAAUUCGCGUCGUUCAUUAGGAACGUUGACGUUCUUAUCUCCCCCUAACGACGGGAAGACUGUCUCAUAGAAGUGACAAUCCGCGAAACGAGCGGUAAACAGAUCGCCUGUCAAAGGUUCUAAGUAACGAAUAAUCGAAGGAGAAUCAUAUCCGACAUAGAUUCCCAUCCUUCGCUGAGGCCCCAUUUUUGUACAUAAGGGCGGCGAGAUCGGCACAUAGACCGCACAACCAAAAACGCGCAGAUGAGAUAUGUCGGGUUCGCAUCCGGUGACCAACUGAAGGGCACUAAAUGGUUGUGUCGCAACAGGCCUCAGGCGGACCAACUUUGCUGCGUGCAAUAUUGCAUGGCCCCAAGCAGCGAUCGGGAGCUUGGUACGUAUGACCAACGAUCGAGCAAUCAUUUGUAAACGCUUAAUGAAAGCCUCUGCCAGGCCGUUCUGGGUGUGAACAUGGGGUACAGGAUGUUCAACUUCAACCCCAACCGACAUGCAAUAGUCAUCAAAAGUUUUAGAUGUGAAUUCUCCAGCAUUAUCCAAUCGAAUAGAUUUGAUCGGAUAAUCAGGGUGGUGAGCCCUGAGCUUGAUAACCUGAGCCAACAGUUUGGAGAAUGCAGCGUUCCUUGUGGACAACAAGCACACGUGUGACCAACGUGUAGAAGCGUCAACCAAAACCAUAAAAUAUCUAAAUGGUCCGCAGGGAGGUUGAAUCGGUCUACAAAUGUCCCCCUGAAUCCGUUGUAGAAAAAUGGGAGGAUUCGAACGAAUCUUGUCAUAAGAAGGCUUAGUAAUAAGCUUUCCCAUAGAACAUGUUUGACAUGCAAUUUCAUGGAUCGAACCUAAGCUUCGGGUUAGUGGAUGCCCGUGUGAAGUUUUGAGGAUACGGCGCAUCGCUAUUCGUCCAGGAUGUCCCAAACGAUCAUGCCAAAGUGUAAUUUCGUGCGCGGUCCCUGUGGUAGGGCCGGCCACAUAGUGGCAUUCUAUGGGGCGUAUGGUCGUAGUAUAUAGACCACUCGGGUUACGCGCCAUCUUCUCUAGAAUACGCUUCUGGCCAUAUUCGUAGGAAGUUACGCACAGAAAUUUAACUCCGUUUUCUACGUGGGUUUCAGCGUGGUAAUUGUUAUCUCUAAUGUCCUUGAAACUUAGUAACGUUCUUCCGGAACGUGGAGAAUAGAGUGCCUCAGCAAUGGUCAAGAUUGUACCAUUGGACAACAUUAUACGUGCCUUACCGUAUCCUUCGAUCAGGUUGGAUGGGCCUGAGGGGGUUGUCAGAGGUGCAUUCUUAGGUACGAAGUUAGUGAAAUAGAUGCGUUCACGCAAAACAGUAUGCGUGGUUGCACUAUCUGCCAGACAACUAACUUUCCCACUAUUCAUACCUAGAAUUAAUUUGAAUUGGUCACAUGCAUAAAAGUUUAUAAAACAAGUAUCAAUUCAAAAUAAUUUCAUUUAUUCAAGGAAAAAACUUAAUAUCCAAAAUAAAUCGCCAACUAAUAAUCCAAAACAUAAAGGAAAAUUGUUCAAAAUCAACCAAAAACAAGGUGGGGUUCGGCCACUAGGUGGAAUUCGGCCCCAAUUGUCUUAUUUUAACUGAAAAAUAAGUCUAUGUCUAAGAUUCUAAUCUUCCAUAGGAGUGGUAUCCUCCUGAAAAUCAGAAACCUCCAUCUUUGUAAUCUCCGGUUCGUCCACUUGCAGGAAGUUUGAUUCAAACUUCGUACAACGAGAAUGAUAUGCAUCCACAACCUUCUUGGGAGUACGGCAAAUACGGGACCAAUGGUCCUUGGAACCACAACGAUAGCACAUAUCGUCAUUCAUUGUGGCAGGUGCUUUGCCCUUAUUCUUGAAGUUCGGGGCCUUGGGAGUGAGGUUUGGGCGCUUCUGGGCUUUGUUUCCUCCCUUGGAUGGGCCUUGGCUCUGUUGACCUUGGUGGGAUGGCUUCUGGCCGCCCUUACCACGCCUCUUUUGGCGUUUUGGGUGCUGAUUAGUGCUAUAAUGUGCUUCAGGCACAGCAGUAGCCCCAGUAGGUCGAGCUUGAUGAUUUUUCAUCAACAGCUGGUUCUGCUUUUCAGCAAGAAGUAAAACAGAGAUCAAAUCAGAGAACUUAGUGAACUUCUGAGCUCUAUAUUGUUGCUGCAGGACAAUAUUAGAAGCAGAGAAGGUCGAGUAGGUCUUCUCCAGGAGAUCCUCUUCAGUCAAAGUUUCAUUGCAAAACUUGAGAAGUGAUCGGAUUCGACAAACUUCAGAAUUAUAUUCAUUCACAGACUUAAAGUCUUGGAAGCGCAAGUGCUGCCAGUCGUGUCUUGCUUCAGGCAAGAAUAUGUCCUUUUGGUGAUUGAAACGAUCAGCCAAAGCGACCCAUAAUGCACGUGGAUCCUCCUCAGCAAGGUACUCAGUUUGUAGAGCGUCAUGGAUAUGUCUUCGGAUGAAGAUCAUAGCAGUGGCUUUUUCAGCCUCGCCAACAGGUUUAUCUGUUACUUCUUCAAUAGCAGGACGCAAGUUCUUUGCAGUGAGGUGGAGCUUCACAUCUUGAACCCACUUGAGGUAGUUCCUUCCAGAAACCUCCAAAGCGGUGAAGUCGAGUUUGUUCAAAUUCGACAUGUUCCUAUCACAAAAUGGAUGAACAAGAUGUGGUUAGUGUAAUGGAGAAAAAUCAAUCCAUUCACAUAGGAGUAGAACAUACAGGUUCUAAUAGACAUGUAUUGGUUUAAUUUUGCAUGAAAAACUUCGGGUUUUCAUGGGUGAUAUAUUUAAGUGAAAACUUCGGGUUUUCAAACAAGGCAUGUGUAUAAGAAACUUUGGGUUUCAAAGUAAUUAUGAACUUCAGGUUCAUAUAUUCCUGCAGGCAAACACAAAUAUAUAUGCAAACAAAUAUGCAAAGAAUAUAUGUAGAAAUAUUGUAUAAUGAUAAGUGAAUUAAUUUAUUUUUGGUCUUCGGGGCCAAAUUAAAGUGUGGGUGAAAAUAUAAAAACCCAUAUUAUUUAAAAAAAAUUAAAUAAUAAAAUCUCGGGGCCUAAAAAUAUAGGCCAAGAACCCUCGGGUGGGAUUACAGGCCCACGGGGUGAGAAAAGGGGAAUGGGCUGCUGUGUGCAGCCCUAAAAUUUUUUUUUUCUCGGGCCGUUCCAGGCGAGCCCAUAAUUUUUUUUUUCUUUUCGGGCCGUUCCAGGCGAGCCCAGAAACUUUUUUUUUUUUUUUUUAAUUUAGAUGCAUAUAUAAUUCAAUGAAUCACAUAUUUACUUUGAUGCAUAUGCAAAUAAUAGUUUCAAUGCAUGUACAUAUGUAAGAUUCAAUUCAUGGCAAAUAUCAAAUUCACAUAAUUGUAGCAAUUUUGAUUAUGAAGCAUACACAAUUUAUGUAGAAUCUAAAAUACGUAAAACGUAAAGUUGGGUCAUGCAUCAUGGUGAAUGUUCAUGCUAUCAGGGCUUGCAAAAUAUCGAGUUAAAAGCCGUUGUUUGGAAAGAACCUGAUUGCGUGAUGAUAUGGAUGAACUGGUUUGAUGCAGAAAAAAUCUCCAACGUCAGAUUCCUAAGCGCAACGGUAGGAGCGUGCUGAUAACGUGUUGUGGUCUAUUUUAUCUGACAGAGGGACUAGGGCCGGCGGCAGAGAGAGAGAGGAGAGAGAGGUGUGUUUGUAGAAUUGUAGGGGAAUGUGUGUGUUGUUAUCCCUCCUACAUUGUGCCUUUAUUUAUAGUAGUAAAGGGAGAGAAGAUAUUCCUUCUUCUCCAAGUAAUACAAGUUGUAAUAGGAAAGGAUAACUAGAAUCAAAUCUUAUCUAGGAUUUACACAAUCAUACUUAAACUAGGAAUGUUUACAACAAAUCUAAAUAUUUGUCAAAUUAUCUAAAUAUAUAAAGAGAGAGCCCCAGUUUGGUGAAGCAUUCCAAAAUGCCAAGAAUAUCCCUAUGUUUCCUUCACAAUCAAAAUCCAAAAAAUCCAAAAAAAAGGAGGACAAACUGGUAAAAAACUUAUAACCGAACAUAAAAUUGUAUUGAAAGAAAAAACUAAAUUUUUACUAAAAAUUGAGAGCAAGAAAUACAAAAAAAAAAAACAAAAAAAAGGGAAAUUAAACCGAAUACUGGUAGAACAAGUCCACGUAAUUGAUAAUUGACGAAUGCAAUGUUGGUAACUGGUCUUGAUUUAAAAUAAAAAGUUGAAAACACAAAGAGACAGAUGCAGUAAAAAACACCAAUAAAAAACAAAAUAAAAAAAAAAAUAUUGGAAACUGAGGAAAGAAACGUGGGAGAGAGACUGCUGUUUUCAAACUGCAUUAAGUUUAAAGGCUCUCAUGUUAUUGCUAAUGGAAUAAAACAAAAAAGAAAAUAAAAAGAGACCUAAUACGUUUAGAAUAGAACUGCUAUUCGACAGUUGCAGGCUUGAAGUGUGUGAAGGAAACAGUUUUGAAGAACGAUAAACUCGAACGUUCAUGAAAAUAAAAGCGAACGUGGGAGAGGAACCAGUUUUGCGGGACAUGUAAAUAAAACACAAAAUAAAAUAACCUCAAGAGAAUAAAUUGAAAUUGUUGUGCCAGAGCCUGAAGGAGAAGAUCAAAUUGGCGAAAACCAACAAGAACUGGUAGUUCUGUAGUUCUCAAUUAUUAAAUUUGUGUGUUUUGUUCUCUAUCAAAAUGCUUCUUAUUCCUUAAUCUUCUCAUGCAUUUUCACAUGAUUAUUGAAAAUUCUGCACGUUAAUUGUAAUGGUUUGAUUGUGGUUUUUGUUCUCUGCAGGUUUUUCUUCCCUUAUCUUAUCAAAUAAAUCAAUUGAUAGGUUAGGCUUUCAUUUUUUUUUCUUCACAGGACUUUUAAGGACAUCCUCAAGUCAAAGUGAUGGAAUCAAAGUCUUCAGGUUUGGAUGCUUUUUUCCUUCUCUUUUUAGAGUAAUUUUCGAGUUUCUUCUCGCAUUUUUCGGGUUCCUUUCCCCAGUCCCCCAAAAUAACAAUAACAAAUUAGGCUUCUUCAUUUUUAGACUCUCUUGGGGUUGGCAGAUAAGGGGUUGCUUGCAUUUAAACCUCACCGUCCGGCUUCUUCUUUCUUAUGAAUUUUUAUCCCUUUCCUACGGCCAGUUCGUGAAGGCCGUUUUCAAAUUGAGGUUUUGUAUAUUCUGUCUCUUAAGAUUUGAUUCUUUCUAUUUUGGAUUAUUUUUUGUCUGAUUUCUCAAACAAUUUGGCUAAUGAAGAGUUUAUGGAUAUACAAUGGGACAAUAUUAUUUUCUCUCUGUUUUAUGUGUUUAUUUAGUUUUACUGUAGUUUUCAUCUAUGCCUUGAGUUUUGGCUUCUCUAUCUUUUUAUCUUUUGUAGCGUUCCAGGUAAAUGGUGAGAAUUAUUCAAGUAUGCGACAUCAUUUUAGUUUCAUGUGAAAAAUCUUCUCUUAUAAUUUUGUUUGAGUGAUUGAAUGUGCAUAUGUGAGCUCUAAGGUUUGGUUCCAUAUUUAUUGUUGAAGAAAAACAGGAAGUGAGGAACACAAUAACCCUACCACGAUUAUGUAUGAAAUAAAUUGGAUCUAUUAAAAACUCAUAUUUUGGGUGUGUUGUUAGGAAGAAAUGCCUAAACUCCGAAUUUGUAUGGAACAUACUCAUUAUAGAAUAGAUUAAUUGUAUGUGUUAUUGCUUUUAGUACUAAAAUUGACUUAUUUGCCCUCCUACAAGUCAUAGCUUUGCUAAUAAAUUGAGAACAAUGUCUGAUUUAGUUUUUUUUUUUUGUCGAAAUGUCUUAUUAGUUUAACUCUUUUCAUUUGAUAAUUCUCUUGCCCUUGGUUUGAGAUAUAAAGUAUUUCAUUUCAGUCAUCAAGUGUCACAGCCUGUCCCGAAAUAUUUUAUUGAUGUUGUGAAAUGACGAAACUGCCUUUGAGCGUUUUUUGACAUUUAAACUUUAGGGUUUGUUUUGGUAACCAUGGUUGUGUUUAGGGUUAGGUGGAAGUGUGAGGACACACACAUCACCCUUUCCCUUUCUUUCUCUUCUCUCCCGUGCACUCUCUCUCUCUCGGAAACACUCUCCCUCUCGGAAACACUCUCCCUCUCUUCCUUCUUUGUACGGACAACAUCAAAACCCUCUCAAACCUUGUAGAUCGAGGGUGUAAAGAACACCAUUGGGUUCGUGAGGAUCAUACAAGUCAAAAGGUACCAGUUUCAGGUAAGGAAACCUUCGAUUUCCCGUGAAAACCCUAACCCUCCGAUUUUGUCACUGUUUAUGCUCAUGUAAAACCUUGUGUUUUAGGGGAUUUUAAGCUCAUAGGGAGCUUUAGGAGGUCCUAAGGAAGAUCAGAGUGGUUUGUUGGAAGAAUUUGGACGUCGAAAUAGUGAGAUCGACGAGUUGCAGGGUUUGGCCUGAUUAUCGAGGUUUUUUUCCAGCGAGUUGGAGGUCGAGGCAUGUAUGGUUUUGUUCGUCUUUGUGAGAUCUUCAAAUUGGUUCAAAUUUCAUUGAAAAUGGUGCAAAAAUGAAGAAGUUAUAGGCAUUAGAAAUUUUUCCAUAAACCGGUGACUCACCGGAGAAGAAAGGAGUUGACGGAAUAUACUAACGGCGUCAUGUAUCUUUAACAGAUUCAGUUAGUUUUAACGGAAUAUUCCUGACGGCGUUAACUGACGCCGUCAGUGUGCCAAGCACAUGGGCGCACGUGGGGGCGCAUCUGGCCGUGCCUUGGCCACGUGGGUGAUCAGAAAAUUAUUCUAAAAAUAUGGGGAUGUUUCUGAGGUUGUGUAGAUCAUUUUGGUAUAUUCAAACACCCCGAUUGAGCAUUGUAUGAGAAGUUGUUACCAAGUUUUGUGUUUGUGCUUUAAAAGUAACGUUUAUAUAGUUGUUUCGCAUAUAGGUGAGACCUAUCCCGAGGACGAGCGAAGUCAGGGGCAACUCGGGGGUUACGACCCUUCCACAUACCAGUGAGUAUAUAUAUAUAUUGAAUAUUUUCCUAGAAAAGCGAUUUAAAUGUGUGAAAUCCCGUUUCUGGAUUUCAUUGUUAUCACCUACAUAUUUGUAUUAUUGAGAUUUUAUAUUAUUUCUCGAGAAUUUAUUUUAAUUUGUUUGAAUUUAAAUUUAAAUUAAAUUAGUUAUUAACGUUUGAAGUUUGAGGCAUUUUAGAAAUAAAUAGAAAAAUCUGAAAUUUUCUUAUGAAAUCUGGUGUGCCACAUGGGUGGCCCAGAUUCAAUGGAAAGGAAAAUGGAUGGUGGAGAUGCAAAGGAAAGGAUUUAAAAGAGAGUGGGCGCUGCCCAGUUAGGAGGGGGGAGAGAAAGAGGUGACCAAUUGGGCGAAGAGGAAAGGAGAGUAAGGAGAGAAGAAGAGGAAGAGGGAACCGGCCGGGGUUUACUAUGGCCCAUGACCCGACCCGGUUAUAUCUCCCAACUCCGGCCACCAUGGACGGCUAGGAUGGUGUCAAAAUGAUCCUUAGCUCGAGGCCAAUCGAUCUCUCUUCCAUUUCUACACUUAAAACGACGAGGGGGAGUCCAAUUUUGAGGAAAUACCACGGUGGGUGCGUCGGGCUUAUGUGGAAAUCCAUUAAAUCUUGAAACGUUUUCUUCCAAUUACAACCACCCAUAGCAUCCUCAUGAGGCCUAGAACAAAGCCCAGACAAGUUUGGGGGCGGCAGAGUUGUUUUCGAGUCGGAUCGAACACACCUAAAAACAAGGGUUCCGUACGGUUCGAGUGAAAUUGGGGAUUUUCCCGGCCAAAUUGGACUUGGCCACAGGUAUAAAAAUUGCUAUACUCAUUGAAAUCUUCAUUUCUGUAAAUUUUGAUAAUUUUUAAAAAUAGUUGAAUUUUUCCGGCAAGUCGGGGCGGCCGACGGCCACCCGUGGCGGCGAGUGCGGCGGUUUCCUGGCCAGUGGGCCGAAAAUAUCAUUUUAAGUUCAAUUAGAUGUCUUGAUUUCAUAAUUGAUAUCCUUAUGAUAUGGUUUGAUUGUUUGAACCUAAUUUCAUUACGAUACGUGGUUAGGUCAAAAUAUGAUUCGACGAUCCUACCGUUGGAUCGUCACCAAACCUUAAUGCGUGAUAGAACAUAAUAUUUUUGGAUCAUAGAAACUUACGGAUCGAGAAUCUGACGUACGGAUCUUCCCUAAUUGGAUUUCUAAGUUUGUAAAAUUAAAUGUCGACCGCCACUUGAAUUUUGAAAUUGGCGGAGAUCCAACUGUCGGAUCAUGUUGAGAUUUCAGUAUGUUGUUAUUUGAGCAUAAUGUGGACUUUGGAAAGUUUCGGAUCGGAAAUCCGAGGUGCGGAUCUUCCGAAUCAAAUUACAUAAGUUUGUGGACCCUACUGUUGAUCGAGAGUUGACUUUUGCUCAACAUGUCAUGAAACGUCCUAAUUACUAAAAUUAGUACUACAGGGGAACUAGGUGAAGUCUAGUGGGCAUGCAUUGAUUAGAGAGUGACUUGAAUAUAUGUGAUAUGAUUAUUACCUUAAUUUCCUAUUAGUAUCCUUUGUGAAGAUGAAUUGGUUUUAUAAAUGUGAUUUCUAUUGAAAUGUGAUUUUUAUAUAUUUAGCCAUAGGCCUAUGAUUAUUAAACAUGAUUUGGCUUGGUACUGAUGAUGGUUGUGACAUAUGUGAGUUAAAUUAUCUUUUUAGUAAUGUGAAUGAUGUGUAUGAUUAUUUUCAUGACAAUGUGAUCCUAGAAUCCUAUUAAAAGUAUGUUGUAGCACUUAUAUGCUUGGGUGCCAUAUUAGUGGUGACCUUGAGAAGUUGAUGGUGUAGGUGACUACGUUGUAACUCAUAGGGUUGAGAUGUGAUGUGGAUAAGUUGAGGUGUUGAAAUUACUACACCAUGUAGUAGUUGUACAUUGAUGGUCCUGCUUGGUAUAUCCGCAUUGGGGGACCAUACGCAUUCUAGGAGUGAUCAUGCUUGGUAUAUCUGCAUUGGGUGAUCACUACCUACCUGAUUAUCUUGACCCUGCUUGGUUAAUCCGCAUUGGGGGGUCACAAGUGGUCCUGCUUGGUUAACCCGCAUUGGGGGACCAUACUUUAUAUGGAUCGCGCUUGGUUAAACCGCGUUGGGCGAUCCUUAUGGCCAUGUAUGCUUAGGAGUGAUCAUGCUUGGUAUAUCCGUAUUGGGUGAUCACUGCCUAGGAUAUUAAACUAUGCAUACGGUUUUGCUUGGUAUAUCCGCGUUGGGGGACCAUAUGCAUUCUAAAAGUAAGGAGGAUUAGUUGUGUUGAUGCACAAAAUCAGCGAAGACUUUGGUACAACAGAAAGUGUCAGGUUUUGUGACCUUCGCUUGGUUGCUUCGGUCACUAGUGAGGAUAAAUACGUAAAUAAAUAGAGACAGAGAAGCAAACACAGGAUGUACGUGGUUCACCCAGAUUGGCUACGUCCACGGAGUAGAGGAGUUCUUAUUAGUAGUGAAGGGCUUACACAAGUACAAAGGAUCAAGCUCUCAAUUUAGUGAGUUCUUGUGAAUGAUUUACACAAAAUGGCAUUAGGCAAUAUUGUGGGGGAAUGACCCCUAUUUAUAGAAAAACUUGUAGCUUUGUCACAUUGACAUGUGUCAUGUUAUGAUUGGUUCUUGAUGUUGACACGUGCUGCGCUCUGAUUGGCUUCUAAUCCUGACACGUGUCGAGUAGUGAUUGGCCUCCUGGUCGGAGGGGAACUCUUCUGGGUCCUUGACAGUAUAGCGUUGGCUGGUACUCGGUAGUUUCGGGAUUGGUCAAGUAUGGUACAAACAGUGCUCCCCUAAGUUCCCGAGUGAGGGAAACUCCUCGGUUGGGGACUUGCAAGAUCCAAUCCCUUGAGUAAUCACGAAACUUCUAAGUACCGAAGUGUGGUCUGAUCUUCAUCUGCCCUUCUCUGGAAGUACCUUUCCUCCAUCCGGGAAUGGUGUAUUUAGCUGAUGUUGACGCACAAGCUAAUGUAUCAAUUUCACUUGAAGCUUAGUUGUAGUUUCGGGCUUAGUCAAGUGUGAUACAAACCCUAUAGUAGGAGUCCCCCAAGUCGCCGAGCUAGGAGAUCUGCCGAAAGAGGUGACAGACAAGGUAAGCAGUCAAACUUCCAAGUAAGCAACCCAGGAUCAGAGGUUUGACUUCGGCUUCCGGUUGAUUGUUCUCAUUCUCCUUGUCUCUCAUUCAACUGCCAGGAUAAGGAGAAGCAAAUGGAUAAGAGAUGAUAUGAGAUACUUUUGCUUUUGAAGAAGUAACUUUCCACAGGCUUAUUCUUGAACUGUGCUGGAGGGUUUUCUGGUGCCCUUCAGAGUAUAAGGCCAACUCAAAAAUUUGAGGGUCAAAACAAGUCCAUCAAAUCUAGAGUACGUUCGACCUUGAUGAUAUGGGAUACUUUUGCUGUUGACGGAAUAAUGAAUGUGGUAUGGAAAGGUGUCGUGCUGUAGUGAUCUGUUUCAGCUCACCGUUUGAACCUUCUGCUUCAAUCUUUUGCAUGGCAGAAGUGGUGUGCAACCUUUGCAUUUAAAUGGUCCUUCAGAACAUUCCUUCAUAGUGACUCAUCCACGCUUGGCAGCUUCAGUGUAAAGAGCCAAUAUCUGAUCAACUGUCAUGAGGUAUUUGCCGGUGGAAUUCGUGACCUUGACAGCAGUUGAGGAUGAGUACUCGAGAGCAAUGCUAAGUAAGCAACCAGGCAAAGGCUCCAGGCAGUCAGUUCCAAAUUGGAGGUUUGAUUUCAGGUUCCGACUGACUGCUCUCUUUCUCCUUGUCCUGCAGGUGUGGACAAGGACAAAGACAAAGACAGGGAGAAAGCAUGAUAUGGGAUACUCUUGCUUUCGAUCCUGAUGAUAUGAGAUACUCUUGUUCUUGGUGUGGCUUAUUUGCUGAGGUAUUAUCGGGGGGAAAUAAAGCUGAGUAUUUCGAGAGGUUAUGUUGAGGGUGCCUUUUCGAAUGCGAGAAAGGGUUGAGCAUUUUUGCAGGUUUGCCUGUCCGUUGAGGAGGGAGGUCAAUGUAUAUAGGGAUUUCCCAAUAACAAGUAGUAAUGCUAUUCCUUUACCCUUCUUGGUCACAGCAAUGUAGUGGGAGCUGCCAGCUUCACGUGUUUUAAUUUUGUCAGAGCACUUUGAAAAAAGUGGUAUGUGGUAUCUGGAAAGCUGAUGUUACGUGUGAAGAUUACAGACAAGCUUUAUCUAAGGAAAUCUGGCUCUCGAAGUUCUGAGAGUUGUGCCUCUUCGGUUUUCGAACAAGCAAUCCCGUCGAGGAUCUGACUCUCGAGAUUCGGAAAGCGGUGCUACUCCGGUUUUUUAGAAAGUAAUUAUGUUGGGAGUCUUUUCUUGAAUGUGAGUAAAGGUUGGACGUUCUUGCCAACCUGUCUUGCCGCAAAACACGGAGGUCGACACACAUAGGGACUUUCCAGUUGUCAAGCAGUGGUGCUGUUCCUUUACCCUUAUGGGUAAUAGUAGGGUAGCUGGAACUUCGAAAUUCUCGUGCCUAAACUUUGUCAGAGAUCUUUGACAAAGUUAUAUGUGGUACCCGAUGAGUUGAUGGUGCAUAUGGAGAGCGGUGAUUGAACAGUAAGAUUCACGUGCUUUCUACUUCACCAGAAAUCUUCGACAGAUUGCCCGUAAUUUCUGCAAAGCUGAGUGUGCAUGUGACAGGUGCUGACGAGGCUGAAAAAGCAGGUGCUUCUUUGAUUUCUGAGAUCGGCCCUCGUGGUCUCUGAGCAGCCCAGCUUUUGAGAAAGCAAACGCCUCUUCGAUUUCUGAAGCUCCGUCGAGUGCAGAUUUUUAUAGAGGCUGGCAUUAAGUUCCACAGCACACUUGAAUCUCUACCAGUAGAAGCUCAUUUCUUGCACUUCUAAGAUCUUGAUUUGUCUGACCUCUUCCCUCUUCAACACAUUUGAAAAUGUCUGGACCCUCCGACCGUCGUUUUGACUUGAACCUUGGAGAAGAGACAGCCACGCCUUCUCCAGACAACAUAUGGCGCCCAUCAUUCAUAUCCCCUACCGGUCCUCUUACCGUUGGGGAUUCUGUGAUGAAGAAUGAUAUGACCGCUGCAGUGGUGGCCAGGAACCUUCUCACUCCCAAAGAUAACAUACUACUUUCCAAACGGUCUGAUGAGUUGGCUGUUAAGGACUCUUUGGCCCUUAGUGUUCAGUGUGCAGGUUCUGUGUCUAAUAUGGCCCAACGCCUAUUUGCUAGAACCCGCCAAGUUGAAUCAUAUUGGCUGCUGAAGUGAUGAGUCUCAAACAGGAGAUUAGAGGGCUCAAGCAUGAGAAUAAGCAGUUGCACCGGCUCGCCCAUGACUAUGCUACAAACAUGAAGAGGAAGCUUGACCAGAUGAAGGAAUCUGAUGGUAAGGUUUUACUUGAUCAUCAGCGGUUUGUGGGUUUGUUCCAAAGGCAUUUAUUGCCUUCGUUCCUCUGGGGCUGUACCUGGUAAUGAAGCUUCAAAUGAUGAACCUCCAAUGCCUCCUCCUUCUGGGGUUUUGUCAAGUACUGAGGCUCCGGAUAACCACCCUCCGGUGCUUUCUCUUUCUGGGGCUCUACCGACUGCUGAGACUUCCCCUAAGCAACCUUUGUGAAGGCUCCCUUUUGUUUGUUUAUUUUGACUCAUGUAUAUGUACAUAUUUGUGGCUUAUCGAAAAUAUUAAUAAAAUAAGCUUUGCUUCAUUUCAACAUAUUGUGUUAAAUACACCAAAGCCUUCUUCAUAAAGUUCUUUGAAUUUUUGCUUUUGUUGAAACCUGUAUUGUUGAAGCUUUGUGAGUGAAGCAUGUAGUUUGAGGUAGUGUUCCCUUAAUUUCUCGAGUGAGGAAAACUUCUCGGUUGGAGACUUGAAAAAUCCAAGUCACUGAGUGGUUGUGAGACUGCCGAGUAUCAAGGUGCAGUAGCAUAUGGUGGGAGUCCCCCAAGUCUUCAGGCGAAGAGAGUUGCCGAAUGAGGUGUCUCGCGUGUUACUAAUUUGUCAAAGUAACGAAUUCUUGUUUCGAUGUCACACAUUCGUAUAUGCUUUAUCUAAAAAAUAUUUCCAACUUUUGUGUGUGUUUGAUGCUGCAUGCUAUUGACUAGACAAGAUCAAGUGCAAUUAGUAGCUUUCUCUCUUUUUCAUCUUUUCUUUGGUGGAAUUGCUUUUCGUUUCCACUAAUCAGCCUGAGUGGAUGCAAGAUAACACCUUUCUCUAUAGCUCAGAUUGCAAAGUCGUCUUCAUGAAAGUUUUUCCUUAUCUUGUGAACUACAAUAUAUCCAAAUUUGAGAUCCAUCGGAGUAGUACAACUUCAGAAAUUCAAGUAUGAUGAGUAACUGUUCAUCAAUGUUCUGUUAAUCCGUCAGACUUGUUGUGAGCUUCGAAACUCCAUUUUCUCUUGUUCAGAUCAACAUACUUUCUUUCUUCAUCGAAGUUGUUCCUCAGCUUGUGAACUACAACAUAUCCAAAUUUGAGAUCCCUCGGAGCAGUAUAACUCCAGAAAUCCAGGUAUGAUGAAUGACUGGUUAUUAUUUUUCUGUCAACCCGUCAGAUUUGUUGUGAGCUUCGAAACUCCAUUUUCUCUUGUUCAGAUCGGUAUGCUUUUCUUCAUUGAAGUUGUUCCUCAGCUCGUGAACUACAACAUAUCCAAAUUUGAGAUCCCUCGGAGCAGUAUAACUCCAGAAAUCCAGGUAUGAUGAAUGACUGGUUAUUAUUUUUCUGUCAACCCGUCAGAUUUGUUGUGAGCUUCGAAACUCCAUUUUCUAUUGUUCAGAUCGGCAUGCUUUCUUCAUUGAAGUUGUUCCUCAUCGUCUCUUUCAUAACAUAUCAAAAAUUCAGAAUGAACUAAUGGUUAAAUAUUUCCAGAUCUUUGAAACAUCACAGCAGCUUCGAAAUCUGCAAGAAUCCGACUGUCAUGUUUGGAACUUCAACACUUUAAUUUCCGUCGCUCAAACAGAAAUGGUUCCUUCUUGAAAGUUGUUCAUAUGCUCAAGAACUAUAGGGUGUCCAAAAUUCAGCUCCAUUGGAGAAGAGCAGAGGUUGCAGAAAUUUGAUAGAUGAAAGGAGGCGGAAGAGGGAGAGAGAGAAAAAGUCUCUUGGGUUGGAUUUCUAUUUUGGGGCAGAUUCCAAUUUUUGUAGCACCUUCAUUAUUGAUGAAUUGCUUGUACUUUUGUCCAUUAUGAAACUUGGGACUUUGGCUUGUUGUUGGAUCUAUUAUAAUAUGUUUGGGAACAUAUAUAAGUGAAUAAAUAAGAAGGAAAAUUUUGGGCCCUUGUGGGUGUAAAACAAAAAAUGUUUAUGUUUACCCAAGUGGUUUUGUGAACAAAAUUUGUUUAUUUGGAGCAAGGUUUUGUGUUGAAGCUUUGUAGGUGAAGCUUUGUAGAUGAAGCUUUCGAGGUGAAGCUUUGAUGGUGAAGCUUUGUAGAUGAAGCUUUCUGGGUGAAGCUUUGAUGGUGAAGCUUUGUAGAUGAAGCUUUCGAGGUGAAGCUUUGAUGGUGAAGCUUUGUAGAUGAAGCUUUCUGGGUGAAGCUUUGAUGGUGAAGCUUUGUAGAUGAAAGUAUGUAGAGGGAGCUUUCUAGGUGAAGAUUUUUUAGGUGAAGCUUUGUAGGUGAAGCUUUUUUAAGUGAAGCUUUUCGGGUGAAGUUUUUGUUGGGUGAAGCUUUGUGGGUGAAGCUUUUUAGGUGAAGCUUUGUGGGUGAAGCUUUGGAGGUGAAGCUUUUCGGGUGAAGCUUUUUGGAUGAAGCUUUUUUUUUUUUUUUUUUUUUUUUUUUUUUUUUUUUUGGCGCUUGACACGGUCUUCAUUUGCUUGUUUUGUAGUGACUGUGGAAGACGGAUUGCUUUCUGAAUUGAGAAGGGUUCCGGCAUCGCUUGCUAUGAAUGUAAAAGAGUGAGGGCUGAGUUGGCUAAAUUACCUCUUUAUUGAAUUCAUUGCCAAAUGGCCUUCAUUACAUAGGAUGCCGAACGGCUAUAGCUCAACACUUGUACAUCGUGAGUCUAUUUGUAGUAGUACUUCAAGUGAUCAGCGUUCCAUGGAUGGCCAAGGGUCUUGCCAUCGGAGCUUCUAAGUGUGUAAGAGCCAGGGCGACUGAUGCCAAUGACUUCAUACGGUCCAUCCCAGUUUGGACUAAGUGUGCCUUCACUCGGGACUCUGUCGCAGAGUAAUCUUUUCUUUUAAGACCCAGUCUCCUAUUUUGAAAGAACGAGGCUUGACCCUAGAGUCAUAAUAGUUGGAGAUGCGCUGCUUGUAGGCGACAUUCCUCAAGUGAGCUUGGUUUCUGUGUUCCUCGACUAAAUCCAAGUUGAGGGUGAGUUGUUUGUCAUUUUCACUUUGAAUGUAGUUCUGGACUCGGAAUGUUGCUUGCUCGAGCUCAACAGGGACAACCGCCUCUGUGCCAAAGGCAAGUGAGAAUGGAGUUUCUCCUGUUGAAGUCCGAUAUGAAGUGCGAUAUGACCAAAGAACUUGGGGUACAAAUUCUGGCCAACAGCCUUUAGCUUUGUCCAAGCUGGUUUUCAAAGUGCGCUUGAUUAUUUUGUUGAUGGCCUCAACUUGUCCAUUAGACUGGGGAUGAGCUGGAGAGGCAAAGCAUAAGUUGAUGUUGAACUUAGAGCAGAACAACCUGAACUUCUUGUUGUCAAACUGUCGCCCAUUGUCAGUGACUAUCGCAUUGGGAAUGCCGAAUCUACAAAGGAUGUUCUUCCACACGAAGUCUUCUAUCUUUGCCUCAGUAAUGGUUGCCAAGGGUUCUACUUCGGCCCACUUUGUGAAGUAGUCCACUGCAACGACUGCGUAACAGACUUUGCCCUUCCCUGCCGGCAUUGGGCCGAUCAAAUCAAGUCCCCACUGGGCGAAGGGCCAAGGGCUGAUCAUAGGAGUAAGAGGCUCUGGAGGGGAAUGAGGAAUAGUUGCAUAUCGUUGACAUUUGUCACAUGAGCGGGAUACUUUGAUGGCAUCCUGGUGGAGUGUUGGCCAGUAAUAUCCUUGGCGAAAAGUCUUGUGUGCUAGGGACCGAGAUCCAGCAUGAUCUCCACAGACUCCCUCAUGUAUUUCCCGAAGGACGAUUUCCGCCUCGGCAGGCGUAAGACACCUUAAGUAUGGCAGGCUAAAACCUCGCUUAUAGAGUUGAUCAUUGAUGAUCAGGUAGCGGGUAGACUUGUAUCGAAUUUGCUUAGCCUGGACUUUAUCAUUUGGGAGGGUGCCAUGAGCAAGGAAAUUAUAGAUCGGGGUGAUCCAACUAUCCCCCUGUUGUAAGUUGCAUACUUCUGCGGCCAUGGUGCUUGGUGUUGCCAACAGUUCGACAUGAAUUUUUCUUCCAAUCUUGUCUUCCACAGCUGAGGCGAGGCGAGCCAGGGCGUCUGCAUGACUGUUUGCCGCUCGAGGAACUUGGGUGAUCUGGUAGUGGAAGUGCUUGAGUAAAAGUUGUGUUUGCGCAAGAUAUGCUGCCAUGGAGCUGUCCUUAGCAUCAAAGUUGUUGGUAACCUGGUUGACCACUAAUUGGGAGUCACUGAAAAUAUCAAUUUGUUUAACCCCGAGGUGUUUGGCCAAACGUAAUCCUGCUAGAAGGGCUUCAUACUCGGCCUCAUUAUUUGAUGCCUUGAAUUUGAAACGAAGAGCAUACUCCAUUGCUACUUUGUCGGGUGUAGUCAAGACUAGUCCCGCUCCACAGCCCUGUUGGUUGGAUGAGCCAUCAACAUACAGACUCCAUGCUGGGGUUGUUGGUUCUAUCUUCUGAGCUUCCGGGGGUAAUGAAGCCACUGUUUCAGGUGUAGAAGCAAUGUCAACCGGAUAUGUGAAGUCGGCAAUGAAGUCUGCCACUGCUUGGCCCUUCUCAGCUGGCUUUGGUUGGUAGGAGAUGUCAAACUCACCCAACGCUAUUGCCCAUUUGAUCAUUCGCCCUGAAGUGUCAGGACUUUGGAGUAUCUGUCGAAGAGGAUAAUUGGUAAGCACGAUGAUGGAGUGCGCUUGGAAGUAAGGGCGGAGUUUUCGAGCAGACAUGACCAAUGCCAGAGCCAAUUUCUCAAUGUUAGAGUACCGUGUCUCCGCAUCUUGUAAGGCUUUGCUAGCGUAGUAGACAGGUCGCUCAAUAUUCCCAUCCUUUCGAAUGAGAACGGAACUUACGGCUGAAGCUGAUACCGAUAGGUAGAUAAUGAGAAUGUCUCCUACCUCGGGCUUGGUGAGUAGAGGGGCUUUACUCAUGUACUCCUUGAGGUUUUUGAAUGCCUCGGCACAUUCAUCAGUCCAUGUAAUGUACUUCCUACUUCCCUUAAGUGCUUUAAAAAAGGGAGCACAUUUGUCUGUGGCCUUAGAAAUGAACCUGGUUAAGGCUGCCACCUUGCCAGUAAGGCUCUGGAUGUCCUUUGAAGUUACCGGUUCCUUCAUGUCGAGGAUUGCUUUGAUCUUCUCGGGAUUAGCUUCAAUGCCUCGUUGGCUAAUCAUGAAACCUAAGAAUUUGCCAGAGCCUACGCCGAAGGCACAUUUGUUGGGGUUUAACCUCAUUCGAUACCUCUUCAAAAUAGUGAAAGUUUCAGAUAGGUUGGUGAUGUGUUGGUCAGCAUGUUUGCUCUUGACUAACAUAUCAUCAACGUAAACUUCCAUGCUCUUCCCAAUCUGCUCGGCGAACAUUGAGUUGACUAGUCUCUGAUAAGUCGCUCCUGCAUUCUUUAGGCCGAAAGGCAUGACUUUAUAGCAGUAUAGUCCUCUGUCGGUAGUGAAGGCUGUGUGUUCUUGAUCCGAAGGGUUCAUGAGGAUUUGGUUGUAUCCUGAGUAAGCAUCCAUGAAGCUCAGGAGUUCACACCCGGCCGUAGAGUCUAUAAGUCUGUCAAUAAGAGGAAGAGGGAAGCUAUCUUUCGGACACCCUUUGUUUAGGUCGGUGUAGUCAACACACAUUCUCCACAAGACCUUUUGAAGCGAAAGACUUUCUUUGGUCGGAUUUUUCCUAACAAGGACCACAUUUGCUACCCAUGUCGGGUAAUUGACUUCGCGGACAAAGCCUAUGCCUUUGAGUUUUUCAACUUCUGCUUUCAUUGCCUCGUAUCGUUCAGCGUCAUAAGAUCUUCGCUUCUGUCUCACCGGCUUGAUCUUGGGGUCAAUACUCAAACGAUGACAGAUGACAUCGGGAGAGAUGCCUGGCAUGUCCUCGUAUGACCAGGCGAAGACUUCAGUGUUCUCUUUCAAAAAAGAUAUCAAUGCUAACCGAAGGGGUGGUGACAAUGUGGUGCCAAUCUUCACCAUGUGAUCUGGAUAAUCUCUUGAGAUAGGUACCUUCUCCAACUCUUCAGCAGGUUGGGCUUGCUGGGUGAAAGAGUCAUCUCGAGGAUCAUCGGGUUGAUUGUUGCUAUCAGGAAGAUCCAAGUUCGCUUCAUCUAGGCUGGUCUUUGUGACUUGGUCAUGUACAGACAGGGUUUCCUUGGGUCCGGGCAAGUGUUGUUGCUUAACUGAAGUGUUGUAACAUGAUCGUGCACUAAGCUGAUCUCCUCUGAUGUAGCCGUUGCCAUGGGGGGUUGGAAAUUUCAUCAACAGCAUAUGCGUGGAUACCAUAGCCUUGAGAUCAUUGAUGCCUGUGCGCCCAAAGAUGACAUUGUAUGCCGUUGGGCAGUCAACCACUAGGAAGUUAGUGGUAAUGGUAGCCGUGUAAGGGCCUGUACCAAUAGUAAAGGGUAAAUGUAUGCUCCCUAAGGGUUGCACGAUAUCACCGGAGAAGCUUAUCAGAGGAGAAAUCGAGCGAUCGAGCAAGUGUUCAGCUACACUGAGUGCCCUGAAAGCUUCGGCAAACAUGAUAUUGACCGAAGCCCCUGUGUCUACGAGGAUUCGUCGAACAUCAAAGUUGGCUAUGUGAGCCUCCACGAUCAAUGGGUCGUUAUGAGGGUAGAUGAUGCCUCUUUCUUCCUCAGGGUAGAAACAUAUCGGAUCCCAGUUAGGCUUUUGAUACUUCCCUCCCCUGAUGUCUUCCACGUGAAACACUUGGUGACCAGGCCUCAGAAUUCGUUCACUGUUUUUCAUGGCCCUAUUGGAAGAUUCAGAUAUGGGUGUGCCGCCGCUUAUGGAAUAUAUGACAUUCACCUGGCGUUGGUUACGGUUAUCCCUUUGAGGGUGAAGGAGGAAUUGAUCAAUUUUUCCUUCUCGUGCCAAAGCUUCAAUACGAUCACGGAGGAUGAUACAUUUCUCGCUAUCAUGGCCGUUAUGCUCAUGGUAGCAACAAAACAUGCCCGCGUUAUUCGGGGGCGUGUAAUCUGGGUGCCUCGGCUUUGGCUUUGGUAUCAGGUGAGCUAUGCUGGGGUAAAUGGCCGCGCAUGUGGCAUUCAAGGGCGUGUAUGUCUCAUACCUUGGGGUAGGGGGUAUCUUGACGCGGGUUUGACCCACUGCAUUGACUGCCUGGGGGCGAGCGUUAUUGUGGCGAUACCCUUGGUUAUCGGGAUAGUGUCCCUUACUCUUUUUUACUGAAAUGAGAGUGGUGAGGAUGGAAAUCCUUCCUCUUGCCUUGAAAUUGAUAUGUCUGUUGAUUCGGCGAAGCAUUAUGCAAGGCAUGGGGAGGUGCCACUGCUGUUUGGAAAGUCGAGGUCUUCUCAUUUAGGUGAGUCUGGCUUCCACCUCCCACUUGUUGAUAAAGGAUGGUUGUAGGGGGUUUCUCCUGAUAUGUCUUUGCCUCGGCGGAGGCAUGGUUAUAAGCCUGCGCCAUCACCUCAGAGUAAGUCUUCCAAGUAUUGGCAUUGAUCAUGUAUUUAAAGAAACAAUCACGUAGGCCUGCCGUGAAGGCUUUGAGGGCAGUCUUGUCGUCUGCCUCGGCACACCGGGAGUAUUCAUGGCUGAAGCGGCCAGCAUACAUACGUAAUGACUCGUCUGGCUUCUGGCGGAUAGUGUACAGGUCAUCUGCAGAGUGCAAGCGAUCGGUUUGGAAAAUGUGUUGGGAAACAAAUAGUUUCCUCAAUUCCUCAAAUGAGUCUACCGUCUCAGGUGUAAGACGACAAUACCAAUUUAGAGCUCCGCCAGAGAGGGUGGAGGGGAAGAGAAGACAUCGCUCUUCGUCGGUGUGCAUCCGGUAUGCCAUGGUGGACUCAAAGAGGUUAAGGUGCUCAAUCGGGUCCUCUUUUCCAGUAUAAAGUUGCAAGCCAAGCUUUUUGCUUUGUCUUUGCUUGAAGGGGGGUGUUGAGGAUCCUCCUUGUAAGAGGGCCAGGCCUGGGUUGGUUCCAGUCAGGUAUUUCAGCCUGACGUUCAGCCUUCAACUUGUUUACUUCCUCAAGAAGUUGUAGGACAAGGGGGUCCUGAGCGGAGUUAUGUGCCACUGGAGCUUUCUUUCGUAAAUCUCCAUCUUCUCUUGGAAUUAGGAAGGUUUGAUCAAGGGCAUGUGAUUUUUCCCUGGACUCGCUGUACUGGCUUCCAGGGUAUGUCUGUCGGAACACCUCUGAGUCCCCUGUACCCUCAUGUCUCUCUAGGACUUGUUGCCCCUUCCCCAAAUUGGUGGCCGGCUUGGGCCGUGGCAGGGGACCGAGUCUCUCAGAAAUCCUUGGGUCAUUAAUCUUUGAGCUUAUAUGGAUGGAAUUCUCUCGACGUUGCUUCAGGAAAUCCCGACAAUAGCGAAAGACAGCUUUCGAUCCUUCUGCCCCUUCAGCAAAGAGGUGUCUCCCUCCACUUCUCAUGGUUCGGGUUGAAGCAACUGGGUUAAGAGAAGCCUCAUGUUGAUUAUCAAGUCGAGGGGUAAUCUGUUCCCUAUCAGGGAUAUCUAUGUCGAAUGCAUGUGACCCUCCAUGUUGGAGGGCACCCAGUUGAUGGUUGACUUCCACGGGGGCAACAAGCUCGCGUGUCUGAGCUUGCCUAGCUUCGUGGAGUGUCUCGAAGAGCUUCUCAUAUUGCUCCUGGAGGACCUCAUUCCUCAUUGCUAUCUUGUUGUUCUGAGCUUCCAACUCAUCGACUUUAGCUUGAAGAAGAACUCGUUUUCCUUCCUUCUUUCGUUGUUUCGCACUAUGUGCAAGGGGGGUGUCAUUCUGUGUGCUGUGGCUUCCUUCGCUUCCCAUGUUGGAGAGGGAUGCCUGGUCAAAAGAAAGUGUACGAAUGAUAGAAACCAGCUUGACACAGCUGAAGAGAGUAGGAAUAAGUGUCGUUUCCCACAGACGGCGCCAAAUGUUGAUUAUCAAAAUCAGCGAAGACUUUGGUACAACAGAAAGUGUCAGGUUUUGUGACCUUCGCUUGGUUGCUUCGGUCACUAGUGAGGAUAAAUACGUAAAUAAAUAGAGACAGAGAAGCAAACACAGGAUGUACGUGGUUCACCCAGAUUGGCUACGUCCACGGAGUAGAGGAGUUCUUAUUAGUAGUGAAGGGCUUACACAAGUACAAAGGAUCAAGCUCUCAAUUUAGUGAGUUCUUGUGAAUGAUUUAACACAAAAUGGCAUUAGGCAAUAUUGUGGGGGAAUGACCCCUAUUUAUAGAAAAACUUGUAGCUUUGUCACAUUGACAUGUGUCAUGUUAUGAUUGGUUCUUGAUGUUGACACGUGAUGCGCUCUGAUUGGCUUCUAAUCCUGACACGUGUCGAGUAGUGAUUGGCCUCCUGGUCGGAGGGGAACUCUUCUGGGUCCUUGACAGUAUAGCGUUGGCCGGUGCUCGGUAGUUUCGGGAUUGGUCAAGUAUGGUACAAACAAGUUGUACUUAGUACAUUUGAUGGGCAAUCAUAUUUUAGUUGGUUCCGUUGAGUGGUCCGGAAUCCUUUUUGGUGUCUUGGUUCCGUUGAGAGGUCCGGAACCCGAUGCUGAUGGAUUUCGUUGAGGGGUCCGAAAUUGCAUCAUUUGAUUCAUUUAAGACAGCUUCAGCAAUGUAGACUUAUGUCGAAUUGUGUCGCUCUAACCCGGCAUUCCGAUGAAUUGUAUGUGUUAUUGAUGAUAUGGUGAUUGGCAUUAUUGAUUGAUGUGAUAAUUGGAUGGUAAUGGAAUGCAUAUGUGAGGAUGAAUGACGUUAUGAGUAGAGAUUAUUAUUGUGCUUUGUUAAAUGUUCCUUAAGGUGCUACAUAAUUGAAUUGUGGUAUUAUGUUGAGACCUAGUGGUCUAUGUGACGAAUGUUCGAUAGUAGUGAAAUGUGAACUACGAAUGACUUGAUCCCUGUUGAGGGUACGUAGGUAGUCUAACGAGGAGGUUAGAUGCAGUCAUAAAAUACACAAAAAUUACAACGAAAUUCGAAUAUUGAAUUAUGCUUUGUAAAUAUUUCGGGCGGGAUAUGUGAGAUAUACGGGUUUUUAAUGACGUCACGUGCUGAUCUUGGACGUAUGUCGGGAUCAGGGCGUGACAAAAUGAGUUUUAUGAAAUGAAAUGGCAUGCCAAUUAUAUUUAUAUUAAGAAUGUGCAUAUGUGAUUAUAUAUGUUGUGAUUCGAUGCUAUGGGCGCUCAGGUAAGUUUCAAGUAAGUUUAUGUGUUGAGUUUAAGGUGUGGAAAAAUGAUGAUUGUUGAGAUGUGUUGAGAGCUCAUUAACCUGCACCCGGGUGUUAGUGCUCCUGCCCAUGGUUAGGGGCACAGUCUUUCACGUGAUGUUUACCUCCCGUAGCACACGCUCAUCUUGGAUCCAAGUUAGGUGCACAAUCCUGUUGUAUAGACCACUUUCAGUGGGUUCGACUCGUUGGUGACCUGCAAUCAUUCGCACAGUCUUCACGUGAUUGUAGCAUUAGAGCAUAUUUGUUUUACACCCAGUCAUGUCGUAUAGACCACUAUAGGUGGGUUCGACUCGUGUGCAGACAUGAUUUAUGAGAUAGAAUUCAGUUGAUUUGAUAUUCUCACAUGUUAUCACUCCUUGGGGUACUUACCUUGUUAUUUGAGAUGAUUGGCAUGGUAUAUUCACGUUUUGACUUUGGAUUUUGAUAUUGCUGGAUAUGUUGAGAUUACGAGUAUAUGUAUAUGCUAUUUGCUGGGAAAUUAUACAGGUUUUACAGAGAGGGGUUAUACUUUUGAGAAAUGAAAUGAUUUUGAAAAGUUUUGUUUUUUGCCCACUCACGCGUUUUGUUUUGCGCCCCUCUAGGUUUUAGGUAGCGUUGUUGGUGGCUUACGAGUUUUCAGCGGAGGUUCUGACAGACCAUCACUUAUGUAGAAUCACCUUUGGGUGUUGUUAUUUAGUACUUUUAUGCUUGACUGCACUUAGGCUAGUUAAGCUCUGAUUGUGUAUUCACACUUAAUUUCCACUCUUGCAUCUUAGUCUUGUCUAGUACUAUCAGGAUUUGGUUUCUAUUCAAUUGUAUUUCUCUAUAUUAAUCUUGCUUCCGCACUGUGCAUAUGGCUACGUCACCCUCACGUGACGGUUAGCAUGUCUCGAUCUUGGUCGGGGUGUGUCAUCAAGUCACCUUUUAACUUCUAUUAUGUUGAUUUUUGUCUGUAGGUACACAAAAAUAUGCAGAUUUGGCUUUCAAAUUGAGAGGCCUAAGGACAAUCUCUGUUCAUAGAAAAAAAAGUUGGACAUAGAAGGCAUGGGUAUGGGAACAUGAUUGGUUGUUAUAUUGCUUUGGGACGUUUUGAUAUUUUAGAGAUUAAUGAGUUUGUGGAGAUUUUGUUUUUCACAUCUUGCUUUGUAUUUGAACUUAAGCACUAUAACUGAACUUACUUUAAAAUUAUAGGACUUCAAAACGCGACCGCGGUUAGGAUUAGAAAGGGCCAAGUAUAUAUGUUGAGAAACUAGGCAUUGCAAGCAUAUAAAUUCCAAUUUUAUUAUUGCUAAACCAUAUAUCAAAUGUAGUUAGGAAUUAAAUUAAGUACAAACUACAUGGGGAUGGAGAAAGUUAUGUAUAGGUGAGAGCCUAAAAAUACUUGAGAAUCAAAUACUGCACAAAUUUGUGAUAAGUUAGAUGAGUAAAGAUCGCCUUUUGUCAAGCAGUUUUUGACUUUUCUGCAUUCUUUUAUAUAGUUUUUUCUUUUUUUCUUCCUAUUUUGUCAGAUUAGAUAGAUAGGGGCGCUAAUAAAAAAAAAGAAAGAAAGUAUUUUUGCAUUUUGCUGCACGUGAUGAUGUUGAUGAUAUACAAUAUUCAAUGACUAAACCCUAUUCCCUAUACUAUAGCAAAAAAUGAAGCAUAAUUAUACAAUAGCUACACACAAAACAUUGAAAGUAUACAUGCGUGCAGUAAGAAUGAAUGGUAAAAAUGCCAUGUUCCUUUUAACAUUGCGAAUUACCGAGCUUUAUGGAGGGAGUAUAAAUACGAAUGCUCUUGGUGGUCUUCAUCUAAUUUCUUAUUAGUAUCAUCUCGAUGUUUUGGAACUUUUGACAGCCCUCUCACCGAACAUAUAAUUUUUAGGGGCGCGCAGCGCUCGUAAUUAAAAAAACGCGCAUGCGGAGAGGCUGGUAUAUACUAAAGUCCUACGCCCAAAAAUGCUGUUCAUAAGAGCAGUGUAAAGACGCAAAUACCCCUCCUCAACUGAUCUUUUCCUUCCUAUAUUUCAUGAGGCUACAGUAAAAAGACGAAAAACCAUGUUGCACACGUGGCGUGCUAGCGAGAUUUCUCUCUUCCACCGCUUCCUUCCUCUGCAGUCUACACCUCUUGCGUUUUUGCCUUUCCUCUCCAGCUGUCGGCCAUCACAGAGUCUUAUGGCAUCUUCCCGUUCUUUUCGCUGUUUUUCCUUCGGUUGCUUUUCACUUCUUUUCCUCUAAUUUGACUUCGUUUGUUUUGUGUUAUGUGGUUUUUAUUGAUUUUCAAUGUGUAUUGAUUGAUACUAACAAUUACAAGAUGAAACUUAUAUAUAGGGAAAGAAAGAUGACAUAAGCCUAACUUGCCUAACUUGCCUAACUUACACAAAGAAAGUUGACUAGCCUAACUUCACUAGUCAUCCAAUACAAUUGUUCCAACAUGUUUAUUUCAUGCAUUUUAACACUCCCCCUCAAGUUGGAGUGUGGAUGUCAAUGAUACCCAACUUGCUAAGUAAGACCUCAAAUUGCGCCGAGCUUAGUGGUUUGGUGAACAAAUCUGCAGGUUGAUUCGAGGUUCGUAUGUAAGCUGUUUGCACCAUUCCCAUCUGAAUCUUCUCACGUACUAAGUGACAGUCGAUCUCUAUAUGCUUCGUUCGUUCAUGAAACACUGGGUUCGAAGCAAUGUGCAUGGCAUCUUGAUUAUCACAAAACAAUGUGACUGGUUGUGCAUGAUUCACUCGUAAGUCCUUCAAAAGGUUUCUUAGCCAUAUAACUUCACAACAGGUGAUAGCCAUAGAACGAUAUUCUGCCUCUGCACUAGAACGAGAUACUGUGCUUUGCUUCUUUGUUUUCCAAGAUAUCGGUGCUUGCCCAAGGAAGAUACAAUAACCGGUUAUUGACCUUCUAGUGUCUUUACACCGAGCCCAAUCAGCAUCACAAAAAGCUUGUAAUUGUAGUGAACCUGUAGAAGGCAAAAGAAUUCCCUGGCCAGGAGAUUGUUUGAUGUAUCUGAGAACCUUAUACACUGCAUCAAGGUGUGGUUGUCGCGGCUUGUCCAUGAAUUGGCUUAACAUAUUAACCACGUAAGUCAGGUCAGGCCUCAUGAUGGUUAAGUAAAUUAGCCUCCCUACGAGUCUCCUAUAUGAAGAAGGAUCAUGUAGGAGCGUCCCUUCAGUUUAUGUAAGGGACAAGUUUGGUUCCAUGGGCAAUCGUGAGGGCUUCGCACCAAGGAACCCAACAUCUUCUAGUAUCUCCAACGCAUAUUUGCGUUGGCACAAGGCAAUCCCUUGUUUAGAUCUUGCAACUUCUAUCCCCAAAAAAUAUUUGAUUUUUCCCAAAUCCUUUAGCUUAAAAUGUUGGGAAAUGAAGAGUUUAGUCUCUUCAAUUUCUCUCAAAUUGUUACCUGCAAGUAUUACGUCAUCAACAUACACAAGUAAUGCCAUGAAACUGCCUUGAUUGAUGAAAACCAGCAGUCUUGAGAGCACUAGACAGCUUAAUAAACCACUGUCUUGAGGCCUGUUUUAAACCAUAAAUGGAUUUGUGUAAUUUGCAUAGUUGUGUCUCCCCCUUUCGUCCGAACCCAGGAGGUAUAUAAACCUCAUCGUAUAAGUCACCAUGCAAAAAUGCGUUGUUUACAUCAAGUUGGUGAAGAUGCCAACCACAGAUGAAGGCAAUACUGAGGAGGACAUGGACGGUGGUGAGCUUGGCAACUGGAGCAAAUGUUUCCCGAUAAUCAAGCCCUUCAAUUUGACUAUAGCCUUUAGCAACGAGACGGGCUUUGUAGCGUUCAACACUGCCGUCAAGUUUAAGCUUCACCUUAUAGAUCCAUUUGCAGCCUAUGGGAUGUUUGUGAGGUGGUAAGGGCACAAGAGUCCAAGUGCGAUUGUCAUGGAGGGCAUCAAUCUCUUUUUGCAUGGCGUCACGCCAUUUUGGAUCCUGAACAGCCUGCGAAAAACUGGUGGGUUCUUUGAUAAUGGUGAGGGUGGUGAGAAAGGUUUUGUGAGGGGGGAUACAUGGUCAUAGGAUAAAUAACGAGAUAGGGAGUGAGAUGUACCUGAGGACUGAACCAUGCUUGUGGAAGAUGUGGGUGCAACACGGGAUGGGAGGGCCACCUCAACAUGAAAGUCUUGCAAAAAUAUGGAAGUUUUGGUUGGUCGAGUGCUAGGACGGAGUGCAGGGGUUGGAUCUGGUGAUGGAGUGGUUGGAGGUGGGGAAGAGUGUAGGGUAGGUGAAGGUGUUGAUAAGGUAUCUGGUGGUGGAGUUGUAGAGGGUAAAGGAGAUGAGGGUGGUGUGAUGUCGGCAAGUGUGGGAGAUGUGGUGUUUAUGUCUGCUGGUGCAAGGCUUGAAUGCGACUCAAUGGGAGAGGUCGAGUCAAACGGGAUAGGUGUAGUGUUUGAUGGAGACGGGGCAACGGAAGUGUUACAAUGUUGGAAUGGAAAAUGAUCUUCAAAAAAUACGACAUCCCUAGAAACAAAAGUCUUAUUGUGUUUUAUAUCAAACAAUUUAUAACCCUUUUGACCAUAAGGAUACCCAAGAAAAAUGCAUUGGAUUGCACGAGGGUCAAAUUUAGAGGGCCUUUGGGCAUGUGUAGAAGCAAAACACAAGCUACCGAAAACCUUCAAAUGAGAAUAGUUAGGUGCUUUGUGAAACAGUUUUUCGUAUGGUGUUUUACCUUGGAGAAGUGGAGUGGGUGUUCUAUUGAUGAGGUAGGCUGAGGUUAGGAUUGCAUCUCCCCAAAAACAUUUUGGCAGACAAGCUUGAAAGAGCAAAGCCCGAGCAACAUUGAGCAAGUGCCGGUGUUUACGUUCGGCAACACCAUUUUGUUGUGGUGUGUUGACUCAACUAGAUUGAUGUAUGAUGCCUUUGAGAGCAUAAAAUUGCUCAAGUUUAAACUCAGGGCCAUUGUCACUUCGUAUGAUUUGAACUCUGGUAUUGAAUUGAGUCUCAAUCAUUUGAAUGAAUUUGACUAAAAUGUCUUUUGUGUCAGAUUUAUGUUUCAUCAAAUGAACCCAAGUGCUUCUAGUGUAGUCAUCUACGAUGGUAAGGAAAUACUUGGCACCUGAAAUAGAAGCAACUUGAUAACCACCCUAAAUAUCAAUAUGCAAUAAUUCAAAACAUGAUUUGGUAGAAAUAGAGCUCAAAGGAAAGGGUGAUCGUGUUUGUUUGGCCAAUGGGCAAAUUGAACAUUUUUCCAAAUCACAAGCUUUAUUGUUAAAGAAAGGUAAUAACGAAGUGGCUUUAUGAGAUGGGUGUCCUAGGCGUUGGUGCCAAAGCUUUGGUGCGAUGGUUUGAAUAUUGUUGCAUGUUCUUUUCCUUGAUGAGUCGAGGUAGUAGAGUCCAUCCCUUUCAGUUCCCAUCCCAAUCAUCUUCCCCGAGCGAAGGUUCUGAAUGACACAAAAUUGGGUGAAGAAAAUUGUGACAUAUAAGGAAUCAUAGGCUAGUUUACUGAUGGAUAUUAAAUUUAAUUUAAAGAAUGGCACACAUAGGACAUUGUCAAGGAUAAGAUUAUGAGAGAAAACAACUUGUCCAAUGUGAGUGACUUUGGCAACGGAACCAUUUGGCAGUUCAACUGUAUGAUUUUCAACAGCUCGUGAGUGUGUAAAGAGACUAGGGUUGAAAGUUCUUCAUGACUAGAAGGAUUACCGACUUGAUUGGCAAAUGAUGAUUUGUUCUUGUUCAACAUUUGAAGGAUUUGCUUGCAAUCCUCCUGAGAGAACGGGAAAUUGGGCAACAUCUCUUGCUUGUUACUUUGUGAAACUUGAUUCCCUUUUGAAGAAAAAGGACGACUGCUUUCCGUUUCUGUGGCUGCUUUUCGUUUUCGACAGAAAUCGAAGGUGUGACCUUUCCAUCCACAAAAAGUGCACUUGAGAUGUGCACGACAGUUUUUGGUGAUGUGAUUUGUUCUAUUGCACUUUCCACAUCGCAUCUCUUUGUCUUCCGGUGUAGGUUCUUGCGACAAAUUCUUCACUCCAAAGACAACAGCCUCUGGUUGUGUACUCUUCCCAUUGGAAACCUCUGCCUGGCGUUCAUGUCGAAGGACCAACGCAUAUGCCUUGUUCACCGUAGGCUGUGGUUCAAGAAGAAGGGUAUUGCUUCGAACCGUAGCAUACGAUUCGUUCAAUCCCAUAAGGAACUUCAUGGUUUUCUGAGUUUCAACAUAUGAGUUCAUCUCAUUCUUUGUUCCACAACUGCAUGCUGGAAUGGAACACAAAGUAUCACGUUCAUCCCAUAAACUUUUAAGUUUAGUGCAGUAAGAACUUACACUCAUAUUGCUUUAGACGCAAUCAUGGAUCUCGUUCUUAACAUGGAACAGCUGAACUAUAUUCACAUGUGAGAACCUCUCCUGCAGAUCGGUCCACAUUUGUCGAGCAUCCUUGUAGUUGAUGACACUCCUUGAAAUCUCCUUUGACAUGGAGCCUAGUAGCCAUGUCUUGACCAAGUUGUUGCAGCGAUUCCAUUGUUGCAACUCCUCAGAAUUGUCCUCACUUGGUUUGUUGAUUGUCCCAUCAACAAAACCAAGUUUGUUCUUGACCGUUAAGGCCAUACUCAUGGAUUGAACCCAUGUGCUGUAGUUGUCUUCCACCAAUGGUUGUGGUACGAGGAUUGCACCAGGUUGGUCCGAGUGGUGGAGAUAGAGUGGGUGGUUGGGAUUUUCCCAUUUUGAAUGAGAAGCCAUGCCUGGAAUGGUUGACCUCAUGACUGCCUUAGAGCUUGUGUUUUGUGGUUUUCCCAGAUCACAGCUCUGAUACCAUAUUGAUUUUCAAUGUGUAUUGAUUGAUACUAACAAUUACAAGAUGAAACUUAUAUAUAGGGAAAGAAAGAGGACAUAAGCCUAACUUGCCUAACUUGCCUAACUUACACAAAGAAAGUUGACUAGCCUAACUUCACUAGUCAUCCAAUACAAUUGUUCCAAUACAAUUGUUCCAACAUGUUUAUUUCAUGCAUUUUAACAGUUUUGGUUUCGUUUGCUCUCUUUCCCUUCUUCUCUGUUGGUUUCUGUUGCUUCUCCAUCAGUUCACCCAAACCACCGCUUGCUUCUCCACCAGUUCACCCAAAUCCGACGAAGGGCGCCACAACAAACGUGCCAAUCUUCCUGCACCACCGGUCUCCGCAACGUUUUCCAAAACCCGCUUGACCGAAGGUAAGCGAAUUUGGUGUUCUGGAUUAUAUCGGAAUUGAAAUAGGUUUGGUUUCAUUAACUUUUUGGGUUAAUAAAUUUGUAUGCUCUGAUUCUUUUGAAUUUGAGUUUGGAUUGGAAUUUAAUUUUGAUUUACAAAUCUCUGAUAAAACCUCAACAAGAAACUUAAACCCUCAGCAAGAAACUUAAACCCAAUGCAUCAUCCUAUUAAUUCCAACAUCUCCUCAAUAAGUAUUCUAAGAUAUAAAUAUUACAAUUCUGGUGAUCAUAGAAAAAUGCAUAUUUGAGUGAUCAUGGAACACUGUUAGUAGCUACACAUAUCAUAAUAAUUUAGGAUAUGGACGUUAAAUUAUCUUAAACUGCAGAAUGUGGCUUUUACAUUGUUAUAUGGAAUUUCCCCUAGGAAGAAAUAGCAUUGAACUUAUAGGAUGGAUACAUAAAUAGCCUAUGUACGCAUUACAAAAUGAUUUAGUUGUUUGGGAUUAAACAAAGUUUGGUUUUUCAUGGUGAGUUCUCAACUGGGUUUUACUUAUUUUUUUGCCUCCGAUAUAAGUUUUAGAUGCUUUUCUUUGUUUUUCGCUAAUUUUUAAAUUUAUUUUUUUUACUAUUUAGUGUGAGAAAAUGGCUUCAAAAUUGGAUUUCCAAUGUCUGGGCAGAGGAAAACAGGAAGAGAACACCAAUGGUGGUUACGAAGGAGAAUCCCUUCUUUGCGGUGGAAAUUGACGGUCCAUGUGCAACAUUCAACCCAGUUUAUAAGAGCAGGGGUCAAUAUGAAGAACCAAUGACAUGGGGUUUUGUUUAAUUUUAUUAAGUUUUGUACUGAGGUAAAAUUCUCCCCAUUUAACAUAGUUUUAAAUGUUGAUUAGUAUAUGUGUAAAUAGGAUUGUGAGUAUGGUUGUAUAUGUAGUAGUAGAAUUGAAAACAUUGUUGUAAUUAUGUGUAAGUAGAGUUGUAAACCCGACGCAUCGCGCGGGCCUUUUUGCUUGUUACCCCUAAACGUUACAAAAAUCCCAAAAAUUAAAAGGAAACUAAAAAAAAUUAGAAUUUACCCAUAGUUUCGCGAAUCCCAGCCGGAUGAACUGGUGGCAGUUGUAAGAGCGGAUCUCCAGCUCCGAACCUCUUCUAUUUCAGCGUUAGAAUCAUGGUCGUGCUGAUCAAAAGCUUUCGCGAAACUUCCCUUUAGUUUACGACAUCAGACGGAUCAACUUCAUAGAAAAUGGGGAGUACAAUCUGUUUAUUGGUAUCCUCGCAUUCCAGGAUUUGCACGAGUUCUUUCAAGCACCAAGUGGAAGAAGCAUAGUUUUGAGAGAAAACUACAAUCGAAAUCCUUGACUCUCGAAUGGCUGACAGGAGCUUGGAAAGGCGGUCGCCUUUUCUGAGGUCUUCGGCAUCAAUGAAGGCGUUGAUUGGUUUCUGACGCAGGGCUUUGUAGAGAUGGCUGACGAAGCCCCUGCGAGUGUCUUCCCCUCUGAAAUUGAUGAACACAUCGUAUUUCCAACCAAGGCCAGAAGAAGAAGAAGAAGCAGCCAUUAAUCGAUCGAGCAGCUAAGUCCUAGAGUAAUGUAAGAACAGAAAUACUCGAUUGAUCAAUAAAUUGAAUCACAGAAAAAACUGGUCUGAUCGAUACGAAGUCAACGAGGACAGAAAAUUAUGCUUUAUGUGUUUUCACAUCUUCUUCCGGGAAAUUUAACGAAAAUAAUUUUCUUGCCGGCAAAAUUGACUUCAAAAUAUAAAAAUAUUCUUCCAGGUAUGGACAUAUGAAGUUUCAGUGUGAAACGAAUCUGCAUACUUUGGUUUGGUUUUGACCCAAGAAAAUGCUAAGAAAGGAUGGUUUAGCAGCUUUGCAUGAGGGGACUGGGUCAAAGUACUCUGUUGAAUCUGCCCUUGCCUACCCAACAACUUCUUUGUAAGUCGGAAAUAAAUCCCGAUCUUCCUAUUCACACGAAAAAUGAGUGGGGUGACAGGAAAUAUUUCUUGUUAAAUGUAAGCAUCUCACACAUGUGGUAUAUUCAAAGGUAUUGAGGCGACAAACGAGCGAUUAAUAGUUUGGCUUUUAAUUUGAUGUCACGGUAGUAACGGUACUUACUAUGAAAUCUUUGAUAUAUUUGCUUUUAGCUACAAAACAACUAAAACUCCACAAAUUGCUUAUGAAAAUAAAAAAUAUUGACAAGAUUUGAACUUGUAUUAUCUACAUCUUCACUACACAUUGUUGCUCCGCUCGUGUUCUGAAGUUGACAAUAGCUAGAAGGUCACAGCAAGAAGCAGAGGAGGCUAACUGUUACAGAAAAUUUGUUUAUUCAAAGCAUUAAUAAAAACACAUUGAAAUUAAUUCACGCAAAAAAUAAAUAAUACAGUGAAGGAUUUACAGUGGUGGCAGCCACACUUCAAAAAUAGGGCGUCUCACCCUGUGGAGAAAGCAUUUUUUGCUAUGAAUAAAAAUUCCACUGCGUAACAAAACAGGAGAUUAAUGAUUGAGUGAUAGCUGAGUUGUUUGCAAUGAGAGAGAUGUUUUUACUUUUAUUGAUAAGGAGUCUACAUAUGCGAUGUUCUCAUAGUAUAAAACUUCGCCGACAACAAUUAUAACUUGUUUGUGUUGAUAAAUUUUGAAUGACAUUAAUAUUGUCUAAUAUCUAAAAGAAUUUGGAUGGCUACAUUUUUUUUUUUUGGAAAACCUUUUAACCUUAUAAAUUGCGGGCUUCUUCCGACAAUUCCUAACUUCGUCACUGCUUCAGUCAACUCGAAGUCCUAGUGGUUCUUGUCCAUGAUAUCAAUAUCCCUACAAUAAACGGUGACUUCAAUAUGAGCUACACUCAGUCUAACAAAAAGUUUGUAUAGAGAAGAUAUGCAUGAAAAAAUGGCAAUGGUUGUGUUUGUGUUGCUGAACGAAUGAUACUGAAAUACCUAAACCCAAGUCAAGCUCCUUUAGUCCACGAAAACAAAAGUUUAGAAUACAAUAAUGUUUGCAUAUAGACUAGAGAAACGACAUACCGCAGGCCAGGAAGGUGCAGUGAAAGAGAGAGGAAGAGAGGAAAAGAGGAAAGAAACAAACAUGAAAUGACAAAGACUAUCAAAUAGAUUAUAACAAUGACUUCUUAGCGAUGGUUACAACUAUUUAACUAUCGAUAAUGCAUUAUUUUAGUUUGAAACGUGGAAGCAUUUGAGAAGUAGCAUGUCAACAACCAUUACACAAUAAUAUUGUCUAAUAUCUAAAAGAAUUUGGAAGUCUACAUUUUUUGGAACCUUUUACCCUUAUAAAUUUUGCGCCUCUCCUGACAAUUUCUAGUUUCGUCGUUGCUUCAGUCAACUCCAAGUUCUAGUGGUUCUUGUCUAUGAUAUCAAUAGCCCCACCGUAAAUGGUGACUUCAGUAUAAGCUACACUUAGUAUAAGUGUAUGGGGGACAUAUAUGUAUGAAAAAAUGGCAGUGGUUGUAUCUGUGUUGACUAACGGAUGGUACUGGAAUACCUAAACCCAAGUCAAGCUCCUUCAGUCCACAAAAAUCAAAAGUUUAUAAUAUAAUAAUGUUUGCAUAUAGACUUGAGAAAAGACAUACCGCCAGCCGGGAAGGUGCAAUGAACAAGAGAGGAAAAGAGGAAAUAAACGAACAAGAAAGGACAAAGACUAUCCAAUAGAUUAUAACAAUGACUUCUUAGUAGUGAAGUGAUUAAGCUAUUCCACUAUUAAUAAUGCAUUAUUCUUAGAUUGAAAUGGUUCAGAAAUUUAAAAGCCAGAAUUGACUUAUAUAAAAUCAAUUUUUAAUUGGGUAGAUGUAAUUUGUAAAACAAAAAUGUUUAUAAAAAAAAAUUUCUCUUGAAAAUGUAUUCUGGUGCCAGGAUUUAAACCUGGAUGAAAACUCUUAACCGUAAGACUUUUUGUAGUGAGCAACACUGGACUAGUUGAUAGACUAUGAUGAAAUAAACCAUUUAAAUGUACUCCUUACGUUAUGCAGUGCGCAUACUGGAUAAACAAUUAGUGCACAUAAUGUGGUUAUCUGAUUUGUGGGGAAUGGUGAUGCUCACCGCUGACUUUUGGUUUACUGACAGGCUCUCAAAGUUAAAUAUAUCAGAUUUUGUUUGACAUUCGUAACAUAUUUUAAUAUUUUCACCACAACAACAACAACAACAACAAAGUCUUUUCCCACUAAGUGGGGUCGGCUAUAUGAAUCCUAGAACGCCAUUGCGCUCGGUUUUGUGUCAUGUCCUCUGUUAGAUCCAAGUACUCUAAGUCUUUUCUUAGAGUCUCUUCUAAAGUUUUCCUAGGUCUUCCUCUACUCCUUCGGCCUUGAACCUCUGUCUCGUAGUCACAUCUUCGAACCGGAGCGUCAAUAGGCCUUCUUUGCACAUGUCCAAAUCACCGGAACCGAUUUUCUCUCAUCUUUCCUUCAAUUUCGGCUACUCCUACUUUACCUCGGAUAUCCUCAUUCCCAAUCUUAUCCUUUCUCGUGUGCCCACACAUCCCACGAAGCAUCCUCAUCUCCACUACACCCAUUUUGUGUACGUGUUGAUGUUUCACCGCCCAACAUUCUGUGCCAUACAACAUCGCUGGCCUUAUUGUCGUCCUAUAAAAUUUUCCCUUGAGCUUCAGUGGCUUACGACGGUCACACAACACGCCGGAUGCACUCUUACACUUCAUCCAUCCAGCUUGUAUUCUAUGGUUGAGAUCUCCAUCUAAUUCUCCGUUCUCUUGCAAGAUAGAUCCUAGGUAGCGAAAACGGUCGCUUUUUGUGAUCUUCGCUAGAUUACUCCGGUCAUUAGCGUGGAUAAGUAUAUAAAUGGAUAGAGAUAGGAAAGCAAACACAAGAUGUACGUGGUUCACCCAGAUUGGCUACAUCCACGGAAUAGAGGAGUUCUCAUUAAUUGUGAAGGGUUUACACAAGUACAUAGGUUCAAGCUCUCCUUUAGUGAGUACAAGUGAAUGAUUUAGUACAAAUGACAUUAUGAAAUAUUGUGGGAGAAUGAUCUCGUAAUCAUGAAACUUCUAAGUAUCGGAGUGUGGUAUCGUCUUGACUUGCCUUAUCUGUCUCAUAGGUAGAUGUGGCAUCUUCUCUGGAAGUACUCUUCCUCCAUCCAUGGGUGGUAUCUUUAACUGGUGGAGAUGCAUAAGGUAAUGUAUCAAUUUCACUUGAAGCUUACUUGUAGUUUCAGGCUUGGUCAAGCGCGAUACAAACCAUGUAGUAGGAGUCCCCCAAGUCGCCGAGCUAGGGGAUUUGCUGAAAGAGGUGACAGACAAGGUAAGCAAUCAGAGCUCCGGCUGAUUGUUCACAUUCUCCCUAUCUUGCAGGCAGCAUGAAGGAUAAAGAGAAGAAAAAAUGAGAAGAGAUGAUAUGGGAUACUUUUGCUUUUGAAGAAGUAACUUUCCACAGGCUUAUUCUUGAACUGAAGCUGGAGGGUUUUCUGGUUUCCUCCAGAGUAUAAGGCCGACUGAAGAAUUUGAGGGUCAAAACAAGUCCAUCAAAUCUAGAGUACGUUCGACCCUGCUGAUAUGGGAUACUUUUGCUUUUGACAGAGUAAUGGAUGUAUCGGCACGUGUGCUGUUACGCUUGUCUCUCCACAUGCUUCCUUGUAUCCUUCUCACUUGCCCUAUCUGUUCCUCAAGGCAAGAUGCGGUAUCUUCCCUGGAAGCAUAAGAUGUUGAAGAUGAGUACUCGAGAGCAAUGCCAGGUAAGUAAUCAGGUAAGGGGUUCCAGGCAGUCAGUUCCUAGCUGGAAGCUUGAUUCCAAGUGCUGACUGAUUGCUCUCUUUCUCCUUGUCUUGCAGGUAAAGAACAAGGCCAAAGGAAAAGACAGGGAAAAAGCAUGAUAUGGGAUAUACUCUUGCUUUUUAACCCUGAUGAUAUGAGAUAUUCUUGCUCUAGUAUAGCUUGUUUGUAGAGGUAUUAUCGGGGGGAAAGAAAGCUGAAUAUUUCGAAAGGCUUCGUUGGGAGUGCCCUCUCAGAUAUGAGAAAGGGUUGAGCAUUUUUGCAGGUCUGCCUGUCCGUUGGGGAUGGAGGUCGACAUAUAUAGGAGUCUCCCUAAUAACAAGUAGUAAUGUUAUUCCUUUACCCUGCUUGGUCAUAGCACGAUAGUUGGAGCUGCCAGCUUCACAUGUUUUAACUCUGUCAGAGCACUUUGAAAAAGUGGUCUGUGGUAUCUGGAAAGCUGAUGUUGCGUGUGAAGAUUACAGACAAGCUUUACCCAAGGAGAUUUGGUUCUUGAAGUUGGGAAAAUGGUGCCUUUUCGGUUUUCGAACAAGCAAUCCUAUCGGGGAUCUGGCUCUCGAGAUUUGGAGAACGAUGCCUCUUCGAUUUUUGAGAAAGCAAUCAUGCUGGGGGUCUAGCUCUCGAGAUUCGGAGAGCGGUGUCUCUUCGAUUUUUGAGAAAGUAAUCAUGUUGGGAGUCUGGCUCUCGAGAUUCGGAGGACGGUGCCUCUUCGAUUUUGGAGCAAGCAAUCUUGUUGAGAAUGUUUUCUCGAAUGUGAGUAAAGGUUGGGCAUGUUUGCUAGUCUACCUUGCCACGAAGCACAGAGGUUGACACACAGGGACUUUCCAAUUAUCCAGCAAUGGUACUGUUCCUUUACCCUCUUUUCGAUUUUUGAGAAAGUAGGCAUGUUGGGAGUCUGGCUCUCGAGAUUCGGAGGACGGUGCCUCUUCGAUUUUGGAGCAAGCAAUCUUGUAAUCUUGUUGGGAGUGUUUUCUCGAAUGUGAGUAAAGGUUGGGCAUGUUUGCUAGUCUACCUUGCCACGAAGCACAGAGGUUGACACACAGGGACUUUCCAAUUAUCCAGCAGUGGUACUGUUCCUUUACCCUCGUGGGUAAUAAUAUGGUAGCUAGACCUUCAAAAUUUAUGUGUCUAAACUUUGUUAGUGUUGUUUCUUUGCUAUUCUUUUACCCUUCUUGGUCAGAGCGAUGUAGUGGGAGCUGCAAGCUUCACGUGCUCAACUUUGGCAGAGAACUUUGGUAAAGUUAUCUGUGGUACCCAUGAGCUACUGUUGCGUGUGGGAAGUGGGUGAUUGAACAGUAAGAUUCAUGUGCCUUCUACUUCACCAGAAGUCUUCGACAUAAUGCCCAUAAUUUCCGCAAAGCUGAGUGUGCGUGUGACAGGUGCUGACAAGGCUGGAAAAGUAGGUGCCUCUUUGAUUUCUGAGAUCGACCCUCAUGGUCUCUGAGCAGCCCAGCUUUUGAGAAAGCAAGCGCCUCUUCGAUUUCUGAGAUCGGCCUUCGUGGUCUUUGAGCAACCCAGCUUUUGAGAAAGCAAACGCCUCUUCGGUUUCUGAGAUCAACCCUCGUGGUCUCUGAGAGUAAAGGUUGGGCAUGUUUGCUAGUCUACCUUGCCAUGAAGCACAUAGGUUGACACAUUCGGAGAGCGGUGUCUCUUCGAUUUUUGAGAAAGUAGUCAUGUUGGGAGUCUGGCUCUCGAGAUUCGGAGGACGGUGCCUCUUCGAUUUUGGAGCAAGCAAUCUUAUUGGGAGUGUUUUCUCAAAUGUGAGUAAAGGUUGGGCAUGUUUGCUAGUCUACCUUGCCACGAAGCACAGAGGUUGACACACAGGGACUUUCCAAUUAUCCAGCAGUGGUACUGUUCCUUUACCCUUAUGGGUAAUAAUAUGGUAGCUAGACCUUCAAAAUUUAUGUGUCUAAACUUUGUUAGUACUAUUUCUUUGCUAUUCUUUUACCCUUCUUGGUCAGAGCGAUGUAGUGGGAGCUGCAAGCUUCACGUGCUCAACUUUGGCAGAGAACUUUGGCAAAGUUAUCUGUGGUACCCAUGAGCUACUGUUGCGUGUGGGAAAUGGGUGAUUGAACAGUAAGAUUCAUGUGCUUUCUACUUCACCAGAAGUCUUCGACAGAAUGCCCAUAAUUUUCGCAAAGCUGAGUGUGCAUGUGACAGGUGCUGACAAGGUUGGAAAGGUAGGUGCCUCUUCGAUUUCUGAGAUCGGCCCUCGUGGUCUCUGAGCAGCCCAGCUUUUGAGAAAGCAAGCGCCUCUUCGAUUUCUGAGAUCAGCCUUCGUGGUCUUUGAGCAGCCCAGCUUUUGAAAAAGCAAACGCCUCUUCGAUUUCUGAGAUCAACCCUCGUGGUCUCUGAGCAGCCCAGCUUUUGAGAAAGCAAACGCCUCUUCGAUUUUUGAAGCUCCGUCGAGUGUAUAUUUUUAUAGGGGCUGGCAUUAAGUUCCAAAGCACACUUGAAUCUCCACCAGUAGAAGCUCCAUUCUUGUACUUCUAAGAUCUUGAUUUGUCCGACUUCUUCUCUCUUCAACACCUUUGAAAAUGUCUGGCCCCUCCGACCGUCGUUUUGACUUGAACCUUGUUGAAGAUGCAGCCCCGCCUUCUCAAGACAACAUAUGGCGCCCAUCCUUCGUCUCCCCUACUGGUCCUCUUACCGUUGGGGAUUCCGUGAUGAAGAAUGAUAUGACCGUUGCGGUGGUGGCCAGGAACCUUCUCACUCCCAAAGAUAACAGACUACUUUCCAAACGGUCUGAUGAGUUAGCUGUUAAGGAUUCUCUGGCUCUCAGUGUUCAGUAUGCAAGUUCUGUGUCUAAUAUGGCCCAACACCUAUUUGCUCGAACCCGUCAAGUUGAAUCAUUGGCGGCUGAAGUGAUGAGUCUCAAACAGGAGAUUAGAGGGCUCAAGCAUGAGAAUAAACAGUUGCACCGGCUCGCACAUGACUAUGCUACAAACAUGAAGAUGAAGCUUGACCAGAUGAAGGAAUCUGAUGGUCAGGUUUUACUUGAUCAUCAGAGAUUUGUGGGUUUGUUCCAAAGGCAUUUAUUGCCUUCGUCUUCUGGGGCUGUAUCGCGUAAUGAAGCUCUAAAUGAUCAACCUCUGAUGCCUCCUCCUUCUAGGGUUCUGUCCAGUACUGAGGCUCCGAAUGAUCCCCCUCCGGUGCCUUCUCUUUCUGGGGCUCUACCGACUGCUGAGACUUCUCCUAAGCAACCUUUGUGAAGGCUCCCUCUUGUUUGUUUAUUUUGACUCAUGUAUAUGUAUGUGUAGCUUAUCGGGGAUAUCAAUAAAUAAGCUUUCCUUCAUUUCAACAUAUUGUGUUAAAUACACCAAAGCCUUCUUCGCUAAGUUCUUUGAAUUUUCUUUUGUUGAAGCUUGUAUGUUGAAACUUUGUGAGUGGAUCAUGUAGGUUAAGGUAGUGUUCCCUUAUUUUCAUCAAUAUUGAUAUUUUAAACAAUGACAAUUCUUAGAAUACUGGAAUUCAUGUCAUUUUCAUAAACAAAUAAAUGGUUAAGAAAUGUAUAUAUUAGAAAAUUAAGAGCCAGAUUUAACUAAUAUUAAAUCGAUUUUAAAUCGGGUAGUAAAACAAAAUUAGGAAUCUGUGUCCUUUUCAUAAAUAAAUAAAUGGUUACAAAAUUUAUAUAUCAUAAAUUUAAAAGCCAGAAUUGACUUAUAUAAAAUCGAUUUUUAAUUGGGUAGAUGUAAUUUGUAAAACAAAAAUGUUUAAAAAACAAUUCUCUUAAAAAUGGUAUUCUGGUGCCAGGAUUCGAACCUGGAUGAAAACUCUUAACCGUAAGACUUUUUGUAGUGAGCAACAUCAGAUGAGUUGAUAGAUUAUGUAACGCCCCGCGCCCGAAAUAUUUAUUUUCAUAAAAUAAUUCCAAUGAUAAGCCUAAAUUAAAUUUUUUAUUUACAUUACAACCAAUAAUCACGAUUCCUUAUUUAAUUUUCUUAAUCCCUCACAAAAACUAUAACCCAUAAUUAACUUACCAAAACAUACGAUUAAAUUUUCAUAAUUUGUCACCAACUUCUACUCUUAAAACAACUUCCCAACUAAAGAUUAAAUCUCAAUUAUUAAGGCUACAUCUAACUCUUGUUAGACUGCCUACAUACCCUUUAGCGGGAUCAAGGCUUUCGUAGUUCAUAAAUCCGUUUAAAUCCAUUCUUAUAGCCGUUUCUGAAAAUAUUCUAGAAUUGGAAAUAUUCAACAUUAGCUUUCACAAUCGAAUCACAUCAAAUGAUUACCAAUUAUGGAUUUAAAUUGUCUAAAUUAGUAUUAAAAGGCAGCGUCGGCCCACUGGCCACGCGCCACCACGGGUGGCGAUCUCCAGUGAUCGGAAACCCCAAUUUCCGACAAACUCUACAAAUUACCAAAUUUUAUAGGGUUGUAGAGUUCAAUUAUAGGAACAACUUUCAUACUUGGGACGAAGUCCAAUUCGGCCAAGAAAAGCCCCAAUUUCACUCAAUUCCGUCUGAACCCUAGAAUUUGGGUGUCCUCAAUUAGUCAUCUCCCGUGCCCCGCCGCCCCAAACAAGGCUUGGUAGAUGUUCCUGGGUUCACAAGGAGUCUAACCAUGGUGGUAGUCAAUGGUGGUGGCUUCACAAACGGGAGAUCGCAGAAACGGACCCAUCGCACCCACCAAUGUAGGUUUCACUAAAUUAAAGCAUAUUUCCAUCGAAAUUGGGAUGGAAUUGGUGAAGGUAUCAAUUGGUAUCGAAGGGAGGGUUAUUUUUGGCACCGUUCCCAUCAUCAACGAUGGUCGGAAUAAAAAACAAUGGUCAGGUCGGGUCGGCGGGUUGAAGGAAGGUCUGGUUCCCUUCUCUCCUUUCCCUCCCUACCUCCCCCUCUGGUUGGUCCGUGUCUCUCGCCUUCUCUCCUUCCCUUUCCAUCACAGCCACACACGUGGCUUCUCAGAUCCUUGCUCCAGCAAAUCUGGAGCCUUUUAGAUAUUGGUCAAAUGACCAUUUUACUCCUAACUUCAAUUGUUAAUAACUUCUUCGUUAUAACUCCGUUUCAUGAACGGUUUUCGUCUACAUGUUCGUAGGGCCAUCCUUUAUCCAAAUAUAUCAAGAAAUCCGAUAAAAUAUAUGAGGAUAAAAUACAUCCUUGUAUAAUUACGUCAAACUAGUUAGGGCAUUUUCUUCUUUUCUACUUAACGAUAAAUUUUACUACGUAAAUUAUAAAAUUUCCGGAAACAAAACUUUAAAAGUUCACAAUUUUUUUUUCUUUCAUAACCAUAAAUUGAUUUAUUGUCGAUUUUUCUUCACAUAUUCAUAUAUUUAAAUUUUCAGGGUAUUACAGAUUAUGACAAAAUAAACCAUUUAAAUGUUCUCCUUACGUUAUGCAUUGCGCAUAUUGGAUAAACAAUUAGUGCACAUAAUGUGGUUAUCUGAUUUGUGGGGAAAGGUGAUGCUCACCGCUGACUUUUGGUUUAGAGACAGGCUCUCAAACUUAAAUAUAUCAGAUUUUGUUUGACAUUCGUAACAUAUUUUAAUAUUUUCACCGUUAUUGAUAUUUUAAACAAUGACAAUUCUUAGAAUACUGGAAUUCAUGUCCUUUUCAAUUUUCAUAAACAAAUAAAUGGUUAAGAAAUGUAUAUAUUAGAAAAUUAAGAGCUAGAAUUGACUAAUAUUAAAUCGAUUUUAAAUCGGGUAGUAAAACAAAAUUAGGAAUCCAUGUCCUUUUCAUAAAUAAAUAAAUGGUUAAGAAAUUUAUAUAUCAGAAAUUUAAAAACCAAAAUUGACUUAUAUAAAAUCGAUUUUUAAAUGGGUAGAUGUAAUUUGUAAAACAAUUUUUUUUUUAAAUAAUUCUCUUAUAAAUGGUAUUCCGGUGCCACGAUUCAAACCUGGAUGAAAACUCUUAACCGUAAAACUUUUUGUAUUGAGCAACACCGAACGAGUUGAUAGAUUAUGACGAAAUAAAAACAUAAUAAUUUCUUUCAAACUUAGUGAAUAACCUUCAGAAAAUAAAAACACCGAACGAGUUCAUAGAUUAUGACAAAUUAGUGGAUAAACACCUUCAGAAAAUAAAAACACCGAACGAGUUCAGCGGUGAGCAUCACCAUUCCCCACAAAUCAGAUAACCACAUUAUGCGCACAAAGAAUCAAUCAAAACAUAAUAAUUGAAUGAACGAGGAUUUCUUUCAUUUUUUCCAAAUUUUCUGAAGGUUUUUUCUAUAAGAACUUUUCUCUGACCAAUGCUUUCUAACAUUUCAUCAUUUUUUUUUAAAUUACACAAAUUCUUUGCAUACAUUGUUGUUAAAAAGAAAAUUUCUAUUAUUAAGGAGAGAGUUCGAAACUAUUGAAUUAUGGAAGAUGGACUUUUGAACUCGAGACACGGGUAGAAACCUAACACCUAUCCACUAGGACAUUAGAUCACCAGAGGUGGUCCUGGUUUUUUGGUGCCGACUGCCCAUGAACACUCAAAAUGUGCUUUUUUCCAGUACAACAUAAAUUAAACUGAAAGAUUUAAAAAGGGCUGGAGCCAGUCGAAGCUGUUGGGACAUUCUUCCAAAGAGGGAGAUGAAAUCGUUGAGGCUCUUACAGAUCCCACGUCACUGUCUUCAUUCAGCAGUUUUCCUCCAUCUACAUCAACAACUGCACGUUGCUCAAGAAGGUACUUCUAAAAAUUGAAAGUCAAACGAUAAAUUAUUAAGAAACAUUGAAUAUAAGCAUGAAACAAAGAAAAUGUUACGGAAUGGUGAUCCUCAUCCUCAAAGAUGAUUAAAAGCAAUUUGAUUCAAAAAUGACAUAUCAACUCUGGAGAAAUGGAAGACAAACAUGUGGUACCAUAUUCGCAACAGAGGUUAUGAAAGCUGAAAUCGAUUGUUCCUGUGUGCAUUGAUAAGUAAGACUACCGUAGAGAUUCACAACUAAGUAAAGACAGGUAUUCCACAGAACAACCCUGACCUCUUUGGAAACACAGAUCUAACAAAAACUAAAACAUUUUGGAUUAAUAUUGACUAAUCAAGAAUAAUGCAAGGGAGCAAAAGAGAUACUCUUCCUUCUAAUAACAAGAAGGCAUAAAAAGUAUACAGAGUUCCAACAAUUAGAGAACUUAAAUCAAACUAAAAAAAUCACCAAAGUAGACAGAAUUUCACUUCGCCAAAAAUUUGAAAAUAUAUCCUUUUUAUCCACUGAGAAUCAUAAACUACUACUACUACAUCAUGCCAAUAAGCAAUGCGUAAGAGGUGCUACAAUUUACCAAUAUAUUUACCCUGAGAACAAGUUUUGAAAUCAUCUCUAGUGUUAACAGCACCUUGCGUCCUUGGGUAAGCUGAGUCCUAGUAUCAAGUAAAGAGACCAAUCAGUACAUAUCCAAAAGAUCUUAAAUGCUUGUAAUACCAAAUAAGAAAGAAACAUGAGUAUAUCUUGAGUUAACCAUGCAAAAAUGUAAUGUUAAGGCAUCUUGUCAUACAGACCUCUUCAAGGUACCAGAAAUUUUUGCACUAAAGAUGUCACAAGCGGCUGAUAUGAAGCUGCAUUUUCUGUGAGUUGAGAUUUUGUCAAUAUAAUCGAUCACCUGAAGAGAGAGAGAGAGAGAGAGAGAGAGAGAGAGAGAAAGACAGUGAUAUCCAGAGAUGUGAGCCUAAAGGCUGAGUGUGUAAAAAAUAAGAUUAAAUGGAUAGCAAGAAUAUACAACUUUAAUGCCGAAAAGAACAUUAUAUGAUGCUCAUUCAUCAUUGCCAUUGAACGUGUACCUUCUUCUUUUCCUCUUUCUCAAAAGGAAGUAGACCCUUGAAGACUUGCCUAUAUGAUCCAUCAUCACAACCAGGCAAAGUCAUUUUAAUCAUAGCAACAAUGGCUCUAACUACCUGCCAUAAGAAACAUGCUACAUCAACAAGAUCACAGAGUGUACCAGAAACCGUAAUGUAGCAAAAUCUUAGAUAGAAUAGCUGGCCAAAAGGGAAUGGAAAAGCAAGCACAAAAAACAAUGAAAAGGACCAGUGAUGCCAAAAUUCAGGUGUUUAUAACUUUAAGUUCUACGUAGCAAAAACCACCUUAUGCACAACAAUAUUGGAAAAAUUAGAUACAUACAACUGAGAAGAUAGGUUUUCAUAAUCUGGACAAGUGCUAACUACCUUCUUCCUAUAAACUGCCACUCCAUGAACAUUAAAUGGUAUUUUCGUUUCACGCAAGGCUGUCUGGAAGACUUUUCCUGAUACCUGUAGUAUAAAAUACAAAAGAAAAUGUGACCAAAAUGUCUUAUAUGAUUCACCUCAUUCACAUUAGCACUAGGGCAAGCAAGCUUGACCUGCCUCCGGUAAAGGAUUGCUAUAUUUCCAUAGGAGCACCCUGCUUCUGACAGUUAGAUGCAGUCUCCAGGAUCUUGUCGACAACAAAGGCGCAUUAUGCAUCCUCAUUGUGACUUUCCUUGAUAAUUACCUACAUUUUGCCAGUAAAACCAGUGUCACUAACUAAAAAGACUGAAAAAUGACAUCAAAUUGUACUUGUUGGAGCAAGGAAAGAUUAGGUACAUUAGACCCAGAAGAAUUGUCGGUGUCAACAUUCUUUAGUUGGCAUCACUUCUUAUUGUUUUUUAUAACAGAAGAUGCAGCUUCCACAAUAUAGCGUGUGGACCGAUAGUUUUUAUUAAGCCUAAUCUGAACCAUAAAGUUAUGUCAAAUCCCACAGAACCCCAUAAAAUAAAACUUACUUUCCUGUAAUUAUACAAUAUAUUUGUUCUAUACUAUAUAUAAUGAAAAAAGACACUGAAUGACAUAAGAUAAACAUAGCAGUUAAGUGCGAAGGAACCUCUUUGUAAUUUGAAAAAUCUUUACAAAAAGAAUCAAAUCCAGAACUGUCCGCCCCGUUGAAACUGAAAAUGGACUGCAGCAGGAUAUAUGUUAUUUGAUUUAGAACAGAUAAGGGCUGGAUUAGAAUGAGCUGAGAGAGAGAGAGAGGGAGAGAGGGAGCAAUAAGAUUGGAUUUCCAUAAUAAAUCAACAACAUGCCUGAUCAUCAUCACCAACAAUGGUUAUGUGGUUAUGAGAGGCGAGAAUCCGCAAAAGACUAUACUGCAUAGCACUUGUGUCUUGAAACUCGUCUAUUACAAUAGCUUUCCAUGACUCCUGGCACUCCUCCGACACUAAUUAAGAGAACACCAUGUAUCAACAUUUAGCAUUACUUGUAAAACUAGAUAAAUCAAUUUAAUAUACUUAGAUGAUAGAGACCUUCAGGAAAAUCACUUAGCAGCUAAUUAAGUCAUGGUAGUCCAAAGCGUUGCACGAUUCCUAAGAAUUUCACCCUGAUUCAGAUUGAGAUCUAAAACUCAUAAGCAAUAGUUUCAGAGAACUGAAAUGAUAACUGAAAUUCUAGAACUGAAAUGAUAACUGAACAACAACAAAAACAACAACAAAGCCUUUUCCCACUAAGUGGGGUCGGCUAUAUGAAUCCUAGAACGCCAUUGCGCUCGGUUUUGUGUCAUGUCCUCCGUUAGAUCCAAGUACUCUAAGUCUUUUCUUAGAGUCUCUUCCAAAGUUUUCCUAGGUCUUCCUCUACCCCUUCGGCCUUGAACCUCUGUCCCGUAGUCACAUCUUCGAACCGGAGCGUCAGUAGGCCUUCUUUGCACAUGUCCAAAUCACCGGAACCGAUUUUCUCUCAUCUUUCCUUCAAUUUCGGCUACUACUACUUUACCUCGGAUAUCCUCAUUCCCAAUCUUAUCCUUUCUCGUGUGCCCACACAUCCCACGAAGCAUCCUCAUCUCCGCUACACCCAUUUUGUGUACGUGUUGAUGCUUCACCGCCCAACAUUCUGUGCCAUACAACAUCGCUGGCCUUAUUGCCGUCCUAUAAAAUUUUCCCUUGAGCUUCAGUGGCCUACGACGGUCACACAACACGCCGGAUGCACUCUUACACUUCAUCCAUCCAGCUUGUACUCUAUGGUUGAGAUCUCCAUUUAAUUCUCCGUUCUCUUGCAAGAUAGAUCCUAGGUAGCGGAAACGGUCGCUUUUUGUGAUCUUCGCUAGAUUGCUCCGGUCAUUAGUGUGGAAUGGAUAGUGAUAGGAAAGCAAACACAAGAUGUACGUGGUUCACCCAGAUUGGCUACGUCCACGGAAUAGAGUUCUCAUUAAUUGUGGAGGGUUUACACAAGUACAUAGGUUCAAGCUCUCCUUUAGUGAGUACAAGUGAAUAAUUUAGUACAAAUGACAUUAGGAAAUAUUGUGGGAGAAUGAUCUCGUAAUCACGAAACUUCUAAGUAUCGGAGUGUGGUAUCGUCUUGACUCGCCUUAUCUGUCUCAUAGGUAGAUGUGGCAUCUUCUCUGGAAGUACUCUUCCUCCAUCCAGAGGUGGUAUCUUUAACUGGUGGAGAUGCAGAAGGUAAUGUAUCAAUUUCACUUGAAGCUUACUUGUAGUUUCAGGCUUGGUCAAGCGCGAUACAAACCAUGUAGUAGGAGUCCCCCAAGUCGCCGAGCUAGGGGAUCUGCUGAAAGAGGUGACAGACAAGGUAAGCAAUCAGAGCUCCGGCUGAUUGUUCACAUUCUCCCUAUCUUGCAGGCAGCAUGAAGGAUAAAGAGAAGAAAAAUGAGAAAAGAUGAUAUGGGAUACUUUUGCUUUUGAAGAAGUAACUUUCCACAGGCUUAUUCUUGAACUGAGCUGGAGGGUUUUCUGGUUUCCUCCAGAGUAUAAGGCCGACUGAAGAAUUUGAGGGUCAAAACAAGUCCAUCAAAUCUAGAGUACGUUCGACCCUGCUGAUAUAGGAUACUUUUGCUUUUGACAGAGUAAUGGAUGUAUCGGCACGUGUGCUGUUACGCUUGUCUCCACAUGCUUCCUUGUAUCCUUCUCACUUGCCCUAUCUGUUCCUCAGGCAGAUGCGAUAUCUUCCCUGGAAGCAUAAGAUGUUGAAGAUGAGUACUCGAGAGCAAUGCCAGGUAAGUAAUCAGGUAAGGGGUUCCAGGCAAUCAGUUCCUAGCUGGAAGCUUGAUUCCAAGUGCUGAUUGAUUGCUCUCUUUCUCCUUGUCUUGCAGGUAAGAACAAGGUCAAAGGAAAAGACAGGGAAAAAGCAUGAUAUGGGAUACUCUUGCUUUUUAACCCUGAUGAUAUGAGAUAUUCUUGCUCUAGUAUAGCUUGUUUGCAGAGGUAUUAUCGGGGGGAAAGAAAGCUGAAUAUUUCGAAAGGCUUCGUUGGGAAUGCCCUCUCAGAUAUGAGGAAGGGUUGAGCAUUUUUGCAGGUCUGCCUGUCCGUUGGGGAUGGAGGUCGACAUAUAUAGGAGUCUCCCUAACAACAAGUAGUAAUGCUAUUCCUUUAACCUGCUUGGUCAUAGCACGGUAGUUGGAGCUGCCAGCUUCACAUGUUUUAACUUUGUCAGAGCACUUUGAAAAAGUUGUCUGUGGUAUCUGGAAAGCUGAUGUUGCAUGUGAAGAUUACAGACAAGCUUUAUCCAAGGAGAUCCGGCUCUUGAAGUUGGGAAAAUUGUGCCUCUUCGGUUUUCGAACAAGCAAUCCUAUCGGGGAUCUGGCUCUCGAGAUUCGGAGAACGAUGUCACUUCGAUUUUUGAGAAAGCAAUCAUGCUGGGGGUCUGGCUCUCGAGAUUCGAAGAGCGGUCUCUUCGAUUUUUGAGAAAGUAAUCAUGUUGGGAGUCUGGCUCUCGAGAUUCGGAGGACGGUGCCUCUUCGAUUUUGGAGCAAGCAAUCUUGUUGGGAGUGUUUUCUCGAAUGUGAGUAAAGGUUGGGCAUGUUUGUUAGUCUACCUUGCCACGAAGCAUAGAGGUUGACACACAGGGACUUUCCAAUUAUCCAGCAAUGGUACUGUUCCUUUACCCUCUCUUCGAUUUUUGAGAAAGUAGUCAUGUUGGGAGUCUGGCUCUCGAGAUUCGGAAGACGGUGCCUGUUCGAUUUUGGAGCAAGCAAUCUUGUAAUCUUGUUGGGAGUGUUUUCUCGAAUGUGAGUAAAGGUUGGGCAUGUUUGCUAGUCUACCUUGCCACGAAGCACAGAGGUUGACACACAGGGACUUUCCAAUUAUCCAGCAGUGGUACUAUUCCUUUACCCUUGUGGGUAAUAAUAUGGUAGCUAGACCUUCAAAAUUUAUGCGUCUAAACUUUUAGUUGUGUUUUCUUUGCUAUUCUUUUACCCUUCUUGGUCAAAGCGAUGUAGUGGGAGCUGCAAGCUUCACGUGCUCAACUUUGGCAGAGAACUUUGGCAAAGUUAUCUGUGGUACCCAUGAGCUACUGUUGCGUGUGGGAAGUGGGUGAUUGAACAGUAAGAUUCAUGUGCUUUCUACUUCACCAGAAUGCCCAUAAUUUCCGCAAAGCUGAGUGUGCGUGUGACAGGUGCUGACAAGGCUGGAAAAGUAGGUGCCUCUUCGAUUUCUGAGAUCGGCCCUCAUGGUCUCUGAGCAGCCCAGCUUUUGAGAAAGCAAGUGCCUCUUCGAUUUCUGAGAUCGGCCUUCGUGGUCUUUGAGCAUCCCAACUUUUGAGAAAGAAAACGCCUCUUCGAUUUCUGAGAUCAACCCUCGUGGUCUCUGAGAGUAAAGGUUGGACAAGUUUGCUAGUCUACCUUGCCAUGAAGCACAGAGGUUGACACACAGGGAAUUUCCAAUUAUCCAGCAAUGGUACUGUUCCUUUACCCUUAUGGGUAAUAAUAUGGUAGCUAGACCUUCAAAAUUUAUGUGUCUAAACUUUGUUAGUGCUGUUUCUUUGCUAUUCUUUUACCCUUCUUGGUCAGAACGAUGUAGUGGGAGCUGCAAGCUUCACGUGCUCAACUUUGGCAGAGAACUUUGGCAAAGUUAUCUGUGGUACCCAUGCGCUACUGUUGCGUGUGGGAAGUGGGUGAUUGAACAGUAAGAUUCAUGUGCUUUCUACUUCACCAGAAGUCUUCGACAAAAUGCCCAUAAUUUCCACAAAGCUGAGUGUGCGUGUAAUAGGUGCUGACAAGGCUGGAAAAGUAGGUGCCUCUUCGAUUUCUGAGAUCGGCCCUCGUGGUCUCUGAGCAGCCCAUCUUUUGAGAAAGCAAGCGUCUCUUUGAUUUCUGAGAUCGGCCUUCGUGGUCUUUGAACAGCCCAGCUUUUGAGAAAGCAAACUUCUCUUCGAUUUCUGAGAUCAACCCUCGUGGUCUCUGAGCAGCUCAGCUUUUGAGAAAGCAAACGCCUCUUCGAUUUUUGAGCAGACGCCUCUUCGAUUUCUGAAGCUCCGUCGAGUGCAGAUUUUUAUAGGGGCUGACAUUAAGUUCCAAAGCACACUUGAAUCUCCACCAGUAGAAGCUCCAUUCUUGCACUUCUAAGAUCUUGAUUUGUCCGACCUCUUCUCUCUUCAACACCUUUGAAAAUGUCUAGCCCCUCCGACCGUCGUUUUGACUUGAACCUUGUUGAAGAGGCAGCCCCGCCUUCUCCAGACAACAUAUGGCGCCCAUCCUUCGUCUCCCCUACUGGUCCUCUUACCGUUGGGGAUUCCGUGAUAAAGAAUAAUAUGACCGCUGCGGUGGUGGCCAGGAACCUUCUCACUCCCAAAGAUAACAGACUACUUUCCAAACGAUCUGAUGAGUUAGCUGUUAAGGAUUCUCUGGCUCUCAGUGUUCAGUGUGCAGGUUCUGUGUCUAAUAUGGCCCAACGCCUAUUUGCUCGAACCCGUUAAGUUGAAUCAUUGGCGGCUGAAGUGAUGAGUCUCAAACAGGAGAUUAGAGGGCUCAAGCAUGAGAAUAAACAGUUGCACCGGCUCGCACAUGACUAUGCUACAAACAUGAAGAGGAAGCUUGACCAGAUGAAGGAAUCUGAUGGUCAGGUUUUACUUGAUCAUCAAAGAUUUGUGGGUUUGUUCCAAAGGCAUUUAUUGCCUUCGUCUUCUGGGGCGGUACCGCGUAAUGAAGCUCCAAAUGAUCAACCUCUGAUGCCUCCUCCUUCUAGGGUUCUAUCCAGUACUGAGGCUCCGAAUGAUCCCCCUCCGGUGCCUUCUCUUUCUGGGGCUCUACCGACUGCGAGACUUGUCCUAAGCAACCUUUGUGAAGGCUCCCUCUAGUUUGUUUAUUUUGACUCAUGUAUAUGUACAUAUUUGUAGCCUAUCAGGGAUAUCAAUAAAUAAGUUUUCCUUCAUUUCAACAUAUUGUGUUAAAUACACCAAAGCCUUCUUCGCUAAGUUCUUUGAAUUUUCUUUUGUUGAAGCUUGUAUGUUGAAGCUUUGUGAGUGGAGCAUGUAGGUUGAGGUAGUGUUCCUUUAAUUUCCCGAGUGAGGAAAACUUCUCGGUUGGAGACUUGAAAAAUCCAAGUCACUGAGUGGGAUCGGCUAUAUGAAUCUUAGAACGCCAUUGUGCUCGGUCCCGUGUCAUGUCCUUCGUUAGAUCCAAGUACUCUUAAGUCUUUUCUUAGAGUCUCUUCCAAAGUUUUCCUAGGUCUUCCUCUACCACUUCGGCCCUGAACCUCUGUCCCAUAGUCGCAUCUUCUAAUCGGAGCGUCAGUAGGCCUUCUUUGCACAUGUCCAAACCACCAUAACCGAUUUUCUCUCAUCUUUCCUUCAAUUUCGGCUACUCCUACUUUACCCCGGAUAUCCUCAUUCCUAAUCUUAUCCUUUCUCGUGUGCUCACACAUCCAACGAAGCAUCCUCAUCUCCGCUACACCCAUUUUGUGUACGUGUUGAUGUUUCACCGCCCAACAUUCUGUGCCAUACAGCAUCGCCGGCCUUAUUGCAGUCCUAUAAAAUUUUCCCUUGAGCUUCAGUGGCAUACGGCGGUCACAUAACACGCCGAAUGCACUCUUCCACUUCAUCCAUCCAGCUUGUAUUCUAUGGUUGAUAUCUCCAUCUAAUUCUCCGUUCUUUUGCAAGAUAGAUCCUAGGUAACGAAAACGAUCGCUCUUUGGUAUUUCUUGAUCUCCGAUCCUCACCCCUAACUCGUUUUGGCCUCCAUUUGCACUGAACUUGCACUCCAUAUAUUCUGUCUUUGAUCGGCUUAGGCGAAGACCUUUAGAUUCCAACGCUUCUCUCCAAAGGUUAAGCUUUGCAUUUACCCCUUCCUGAGUUUCAUCUAUCAACACUAUAUCGUCUGCGAAAAGCAUACACCAAAGAAUAUCAUCUUGAAUAUGUCCUGUUAACUCAUCCAUUACCAACGCAAAAAGGUAAGGACUUAAGGAUGAGCCUUGAUGUAAUCCUACAGUUAUGGGAAAGCUUUCGGUUUGUCUUUCAUGAGUUCUUACAGCAGUCUUUGCUCCUUCAUACAUAUCUUUUAUAGCUUGGAUAUAUGCUACUCGUACUCCUUUCUUCUCUAAAAUCCUCCAAAGAAUGUCUCUUGGGACCCUAUCAUACGCUUUUUCCAAAUCUAUAAAGACCAUGUGUAAAUCCUUUUUCCCAUCUCUAUAUCUUUCCAUCAAUCUUCGUAAGAGAUAGAUUGCCUCCAUGGUUGAGCGCCCUGGCAUGAACCCGAAUUGGUUGUCCGAAACCCGUGUCUCUUGCCUCAAUCUAUGCUCAAUGACUCUCUCUCAGAGCUUCAUUGUAUGACUCAUUAACUUAAUACCCCUAUAGUUCAUGUAAUUUUGUACGUCGCCCUUAUUCUUGUAGAUAGGCACCAAAAUGCUCGUUCGCCACUCAUUUGGCAUCUUCUUCGUUUUCAAAAUCCUAUUGAAAAGGUCAGUGAGCCAUGUUAUACCUGUCUCUUCCAAAACUUUCCACACUUCGAUUGGUAUAUCGUUUGGGCCUAUUGCUUUUCUAUGUUUCAUCUUCUUCAAAGCUACAACUACUUGGAAAAAGCGUAUCAUACGCUCCCAAACAACUUUGAGUGGAAUCGUUCGAAAAGAAGUUUCUAUGGCCCCCUUGCUCAUUUAACACUGCAUCCGGAUGCUGAUGGAGAUACAGCGACCCUUGCUCACUUAUCACUGUGCUCGGGCCACACAGCGCGCCACUUACGGGUGACGCCCUAGAUUUAGCGCGAUUUCGUUCUGGAUUCAUUUUCAUAAGGAUUCGACGUGAUCAUGGAGUGCCGGCUGUCGACUACCUGACGCCCUCCCCCUCCUCCUUUAUCCGGGCUUGGGACCGGCAAUGUAAGAACAUAGGCGGAGUUAACUGAAAUGAUAACUGAAACAUAAAUAAAUUUAGAAUUCAAGACUAACCUGUGUAGCUAAUAUAUUCUAGCUUGAUUGUAGCUAAUAUUUUUUAAAUCGAAUGAAUGUUGUUCUUAAUCCACUAUAAUCUGAACAUUAAAUUUGGUAUUCAUGACUAACCUGUGUCACGAACUUUAGCCAUUUCUUUGAUGGAUCCUUAAAAUGAUGUGGAGAUGUUACGCCAUUACUCUUCCCCAUCUAUAGCAACAUUAAGAUUCGUUUUACUCUUUUCAUCUUCUGAUAACCGCACAGCUUCAAUGACUGCUCUUCUCUGUUGCCCAUGUCCAUAUAUAAAAAAUUCUGGUGUGCGCUCAAGUCUAAAACACAAGCCAACAUAACAGACUCAGCUAUACCACCAUAGGUAUGGUGUUCAAAAUCAAGGGAGGUGAAUCAAUAGCUUACUUCUCAGCAUGUGAUCGGCAAAGUUGCAAUGAAAAUGAAUGAAAUGUACUGAUUGUUAGUAGUUUUGCCGUUCCUUUCCCAGUCACAGAUCCAAUUCGAUCUCUCAUCUCGGAAGCUGCUGCUGUAGUGAAAGUCAUUGCUAGAAUGUUAGACGCGCUCAUGCCCUAAGAACACAAAAAAAAAAGGAAUAAGAUUUCGAUCAUAAACAAGAAAUGUAGAGAAACAGACAAUUAAGAAAGAAAAAGUUAGAGGGAAAGUGGCAACACCUCAUUGAGCAGCAUUAGAACCCGCCCAACCAUCGUUGAAGUCUUUCCACUUCCAGGGCCGGCAACAAUCAUCAAAGGUACUGAAAUAUCGCUGCAAGCUGCCUCCCGCUGCCUUUCGUUGAGAGAAAGCAAAUACUUCGAAUACUCAUCCGGCAUGUUAGGCAAUCCAUGGUUAACAGAAUCUGUUUGGUUUUCACUACUCAGAGGUGGCGCUGAUGCGGCAUUAACAUCGCUACCACAACUCCCAAUAUCAUCACGCUGAAUGUCCCCACUCGGUUUCUGCUCAAUUAAAGCGUCAAUUUCCUGCAAAAUACUCUCAUCGAAAUCAUCAUCCUCGAGAAUUCCAGACGCAGAGAAAGAAUCGAAUGAAGUCGGAAACUGCGGUUGUUUGAUUGGAAUUGUGAAAGAAUCCGAUUUUGACACGCUUGAUUCAGUCCGGCUAGCGCUUAAGCUCCCGGAACACGACGCACUGCCAUAUUCAGUCCGGCUUGUAGAAAUCGGAGGCGGUGUGUUCAUCGGUAGCUCGGCAAGAGGAGUUCUGUGAACUCUAUUGAGCUGAGCUGGCGUUUGGAUUCCAUUUCCGCCACAAAUUCUGGAAUUUGAAAAACACAAUUGAAUUGAUUUAAAUUGAAUCAAGAAAACAGCCGAGUACCAAAAAAGUAGUAAGAAGAUGAAAUCUUUGAUUCCUGAACGACUUACUUGGUAUGAGGGAGGUGAUGAUCAGUCAAAACGGCGUCGUUGCGGGGGCGUUUGCGAUCAAUGAGGGCCUUGGCGGCUCUGAAAUUCCCAGAGAUGCGGUUUCUUUUGAUAGGAUCACAGAUCUCAGGACCCUAUUCAACCUACAAGCAGCAAUAGAAAUGACAAAUGGAGAAGACGAAGUAGAAGGGAGCAGGGCUCCAAUAUAUUUUUUUGGUUUUGUAUUUCUGUUUGUAAAAUCUGAUCUGCUACAUUUGAGGGAGCUGGACUCCUUUUAUACAAACUCUACUUCUUAAAAUGCCAGCUGGCAUAUUUAACAAUUCUUAACAAAUCAAUUAAAGCAUAAAACCUCAGUAAUAAUUUGGGUCAUAACAAUACUUCCCCCUUGAAGAACAACCUUGUCCUCAAGGUUGAAAGUUGAAAAACUUAUUUGAACGAGUAGAAACUAGGAGUCUUGCAACAGAAGGGAAGCUGCAGGGACUGCAAAUACAAUCUGCAUGUAGCUCUCAACUUUUGGAGAUGAGCCUGACAGCACCCCUGUACUUGUUAUGGCAGCUCCCCACAACUUGGUAAGUGAGCACUUGUUACCCGUAGCCUCUUCAUAAAUUUCAACCCACGAUAUCAUUUCAACUUCCAUGCUAGUUGCCAAAAAGCAUGCAGCAUCAAAUGGAGAAAAUGGGCCAACUCCCAGGGAACCUGCCAGAGGAUCAUUCUCAACGAAUGCAGCUACUAAAGCAAUUGGACCCUUGCCAAGAAUUAUAACCUUAGAGAUGGUUAUGAGCCUGAUAUCCUCAAAAGCAAGACGAGCGGUCUGAUUGAUAAGAGACUGCCUAAGAUUAACUAUCCUCUUCUUAGGUCCAACACACCAUUCCUUGCUCCGAAUGUAGCCAUCCUUCAUCACACCAAACCGAGGGAAGCCACCCAUGGGAGUGAUGUCUUUCUCAGUCAUCUUCCCCUCAUGGAGGCACAUUUCAUAGUUUUUUUCAGUGAAACUAGGACCACCUAAUGUCGGAUUGUCAAAAAACUCCUGAAAUAAGCUGAUGGAUGGGAGCAGUCUAUAUUGGAUAUUGAAACUUGCAAUUCUUUCUGAAUCAUUGAAAUCACUGUACUUUAAACUGUCAUUAGCAACACCGAUAUUAUGCAUGGAAGAUUUAAAGGACCUGAGCAAACCCAAAGCUUCAACCAUGUCCUUCAUCACCUCUGUUAAGGUGUACAAUUGGCAUUUGAAUUCAUAUGAUGGCUCAAUAGUAUCAAGUUCCAAAAAUUUAAACAACUCAUUUUGCCAACUUACACUCACGGUAAGACAAACAUGCAAAAACCAUGCAAAGACAAAUAUGUUGGACAUCCUUUCUGAAGAACAGGCAAAGAAAUAACACCAACAGCAACCAAAUGAAAUAACACCAGCAGCAACCAAUACAUUGAUGUGUACCAUAUUGUCUAACAAAAUUACUUUAAGCUGAUGACUGACUUUGCAGAUACGUCCAUAAUCGUACAACCAUGCAUAAACACUAGCACCAUCAAAUCUUAGAUUUGGCCUGAAUACUAUUACCUCUUCACUACCAAAAGUGAGCAUCUGAAUACGUCUGCCGGUUUUCUUAUGAUGCAACUCCAGCUCUACCAACAUCCAUCUUUUACCAAUCACAUAAGAGAAAACAUAAUGACUUACACAAUGUUGCUCAGGUACAGUCAUAUAUGGUGUUGUCCGAGAUUUCCAUUGCUCCUUGAAAUGCAUUCCAUAAACCAAGAAAAAUAAGAUUGAAGUAGUAGUUGUUCCAUCCUCCUUGAAAGAGAUGAGAAUGCAGGGCCUCUCCAUCAACCAUAUUGUAUAAUUCCUCUGAUUGAAGACAACCCUUUGAGAAGAUAUAUUGUCACAAGGAUUAGUGAGAGUGUGACACCAACCCGGUUGCUGGAAAAUCUGGUCAUUCGCUACGCAAUUAGGAAAGAAAACAGUAUCGAGGUGUACAUCAACACUAUUACAUAAUUCCGGAUUCAAUUUCGAUAACAAGCUGGUGAGAAUAGAAUAGUCAAGCUGGGAAAUGGCCAUGACUGUUAAUGCACAUCUGUGUAACAGUGAUAAGCAGAGGAACUGCUUGAUAGCAUUGAUAUAACCCAAAGUCCCAUUCUCCUCAGUCAAACUAGCUGCAAGAUCUUUAGGCAAAGAACGACAAACAAGUACAACAAUAUCCAAAGCUUCCAGGUUGCUACUCAAUGACAUAUUCUCCAUAUUAUGCCUCUUAGACAUUUCAUCAAAUAGAUGCAAUGCAUAGAAAUUCUUCUUCACAAAUUUACCCACAAGGUACCAAUUAACCCAGCCAUACUUAGCAUUCAAAAAAACAUGAUAUACAAUCGCAUUAUGACCAGUAUAGCAUGCAAUUACACCAUACAAAAGCAAUACCUCAUGUCCACGUACCAUUCCUAACUCCCAUAGCCCACUAGGUAGCUGAUACCAAACAUGAAGUUUCUUCUUGAUGAAAUAUCCAAUGUUGUCAUCGUAAACCGACUGUGUAAUCUUCUCUCCCAGUCUCAUUCGACAAUCUUCCAGUGGCCUAAUUUUGGAGCCUCCACCCUUAUCCCGAAUGCCAUUGCAGUAGCACAUGUCACGAUUGAGAACAACAUAGCCACUUGAGUCUGGAAUUUCAUCAAACAGGUUCCAUGCACAAAAAUCCUCAGGUCCAUUUUUCGUAGUAUCAGAGAACGAGUGCUUAUGGAGUAGCCGCGGAGCAGAGGUCAUCGUCUUCGAUCCCGGAAGCAAAAUUGUAGCUGCAUCAGAGUUGUUCGAGUGUGGCUUCACGGGCGGAGUUGCCAGUGCUUGCAACAACGGUGAAGAUGAGAGUAACGGCGGAACGGAAUGGACUUCAAUUGGCGAUGGAAUUCUCGGUGGAUUGUCGUCUCCUUGAAGUCCGGGAUGAUCGAGAUUGAUUGAUUGAAUCGUUGGGGUAGGAUCGGAAACUUCCCCGACACCAAGAGUCAAGUGAUGGCGGAACAGAGCAAGGUCACGGCGGACUGCGGCGGCUAUUGAAUCUAUAGCCUUGUGGAAAGCCUCCUCCGUACGCCUGAAUGUUUUCCUUGGACAUUGCUUCGAAGAUUCCGACGGAAGAUUUGGCCUGACAGCCUGACCAGGCAACCCUAGAAAGAAGAAGGAGCGAAGAAGACCAAAUGUGUCCGUUUUUCCUUUGGUUUUUUUCCCUCCUAAUCGAGUUGUUCGAAAUAAUUGGGCCUGGGCCUAGUGGGCCCAAUUGUCAGGCCCAUUAUCUCCUGUCUUCUAGUUCUACUUCCAAUUUCCCAAGUUAACAACGUACUGGUUCGCUUUUAGCGCGAGAGAGAAAUGGAGGCCCUGAUUGCCUCGUACGGAGACUCGUCGUCGGACUCAGACUCCGAGUCGCCGGCUCCACCUCCACCGCCACCUCCGGAGCUCAAAAACUCUCAAGAAUCGACCACUGCGCUGCCUCCACCUCCUCUGUCACUUCUCGACAGCCCAAUUCCUUCGGUAACCUCUGAUUCCCAUAAAUAUUCUAUCUUUUAACUUUCUGUUGUGAUGGCUUUUUCCGAGUUGCCCACCAAGUGUUUGAUGUUUUGCCUCUAAAGGAUUUCUGGACUUCUCCCCAAGCGCCCAGCCGAGCAGAGUUCGGAACUUUCCUCACGUCGAAGGGAACUACGCAGUACAUGUAUACAUCCCAGGUAAUCAAAAUUCUCGAAAUUUUCAGCUCCAUUAGCAAAUGCGAUCCCUUUGCACUUAGAUUUUGCUUGUUUAAUUGUGUGGUUCCAGUUUAUAUACCACCAGCACCAAGGAAAGAGAUGGCCUUGUUUUUGAACAAGCUUGCUUCUCUGGUGCCUGGUCUCCACGCCGUUGACGUUGACGUCCCGCUUGACAUUCUGCGUAAGGACGAGCAUAAGCUUGAACAAGUUGCUUUAGGCAGAGAGUUCCAUAUAAGUCUCGGAAGAACUGUUCCGAUUCGGGUGCACCAGAUUAAUUCCUUGGUGACAAUGCUGCGGCAGAAGCUUCAGAUUCAGAGGCGGUAUGGUUGCAUUUACCUUCUCUUGUGUGCAUUGCGUGAAUUUAGUUCUGUUAUUUAACAUAAUUGUUUAAGCCUGCAGAUAUUUUGUCCAUUUUUGGUUUUUAACACAUUUGGUUAUUGUGGAACAGGUAUUGGAUUGAUUUUUGCAAGUAGGAGGUUUUUGUUAACGAUGAUCAGACCCGGACCUUUGUGUCGAUCGAAGUCAUUGCUGCUGGGUUAGCUGAGGUAUGAUUGCUAGCUUUCUCUCUUGGUGCAAUUCAAAAUGUUUUGAGUUGUUUAUGGACUUAAGAUUUAGCAAGUACUUGCCGAAGGUCAUGGGAUUUUGAAAUAUCGAUAUCUUGCUUAUAGAUUGUUUGGUCUUCGAUGCACUUGUUACCUGAAAAGUAAAAAUGUAAAAGAUCAUGAAAAGUCCAAACGAAACAUAAUGGAUGUAUGAUAUGCUCAUGCUUCUAACAUGUGUUGUCCUGGCAUAAAUUAUGUUCCAAAUACCGUCAUUUGCGUGUAAGCCUAUGAACUUAGAGCACGUUUGGUAUGCCGGGUAAGAUUGGAUUUGGUAUUUCAGACUGCUUAGGUUAGGAUUGGAUUGGGUAGGUUAGGUUUUUUGUCUAAUGUUUGGUGUAGACUGUCGCAACAACGCUCGUGAGCCUCCACAUCCAUUGCAAUCUUGCACCACUCUGAUGUCCUGGAGGAGCGAAACAUGGUUACUUGAAGCAUACCUGUUUUCGUAUUAAUACAUGGUUGAAUCAGCUUUCAUUGUCAAUCAGUCUGUAAUAUUUCAACUUCCAUUGAUUUCAGAUAACAAAGCAGAUUCAAGCUGUCAAUGAGGUGUAUAUGCUUCACAAUCUUCCUGAAUUUUACAAGGUUAGCAUUUCGUGUUUUUCAAACUUGAAUCACUUCCUGAACAUAUGACAAUAUAUUGGAGCAAAUGGUUGUGCAUGAAUACUACUCAUUGCUCAGAGGGUGUUGCUGAUCACAGGAUCCGCGUCCUCAUAUUUCGGUAGCUUAGGCAUUGGGUGACAUCAGCAAUUCCCUGAAGAAAGUGGUUGAAGAAGAAAGACGAAGAUCUACCAUCGGAGGAUCGUUACAGAAAUGUAUUUUUACCAGUAAAUUCAAUGGUAUCGAAUGUAGGAUUGGUAAUAAAACACACAAAAUAUGUAAAUUUUCUGAAGAAUAAUGUAGCCAUUUAACUAUAUUGUGAAAUUCCGAGAAUAUAUCGCUGAGCAUUGGAUGAGAAGACAUUUCUUCGUUGGUGUCGAACUUCAUGUUGAAGGUAUUGACACCAGUGUAAACGCCAUCAUCCAUGUUGAUGGUAAUUACUUCCCAGCUACUAAGGGUGUCGGAACAACCUUGCACGCAGCCUCCUGUGCAUUACUUAGUAUUGUCUCAGUUUCUCCAAACUUGAAUGCUCCUGUAAACCCACUUUUGACCUUUCCGUCAUCUGUGAUUACCGGAAUGCUGGCUAGGAUGUUGCCGUUGACCUCCCAAACUUAAAAUACCGGAAAGCCGGCUCCAAUGUAUGCGAGAGCUCCACCUCUAUUGUUGUAACAGCAUCUGAUGCGUACUAGUCCUUUAUUCCCGUUACUCUUUGCCAUCUCCACUUGGAACUUGGCGUAAUGGCUCCCGGCCUCCUCUCCGGUGAAAUUGAGCAACCCCGGAGCUGGCGUGCCAUCAAGAUUUCCGUCAUGUCUGUAGCGAAAGUAUUCGCUGUUGUGGUUUGGUUUCACCACUAUAAAUCUUGGCAGAGUUGGCAUUUUCAUUUCUGUUGUCUGUAUAUCUUGAUAUUACAAGUAUUUGUUGUGCAAUAUGCAUGCUAUGUUCAUGUUAUGCGUAUAUACAUAUAUAAGUGUUUUAACACUUUGCAAACGUUUUCUCCAAAAUUUUGAUUUUGGUGGUGUUCUAACUUUUGUGAAUGCUAAUAACAAUUCCCUCAUUAACUGUUAGGACGAGCAACAAAACAGUUUUGAUUCUGUGCACAAAGGCGAUCCCUCGUAAGAAAUUGAUUCUUCAACAGAAAGAUGUUUUAAAACAAAUUUGAAGGGAAGGAAAUAUUUGAAUCGCAUUCAGAUGUCUGGUCAAAUUCUUGAACAGUUGAUAUACACAGAAGUUCCUUGUUUAUGUCACUACUUAUGAGAGGAUGUACGCAUUGCAUUCGCAUCAAAAGAGAGAGAGAGAGAGAGAGAGAGAGAGAGAGAGAGAGAGAGAGAGAGAGAGAGAGAGAGAGAGAGAGAAGGUUGUCAGUGGUAAGGGAACGAAUAACGAUGGCGUUGCGCUUCUAAUCAAAGGGGUCGAUCCGAGGGUCGUGUUCACUUGCCAUCGCCAUUCCAGUGCAAAGGCAUGUAGGGCACAUUACCUGCCACAUUAAAAACGCGAUGUUAGAUAUACUCGCCAUUUGGAAGUCAACCCUCAAAAUUUGCUACUAAAUUAUCUUAAACUCCAUUUCCAGUCAAUUUUUUUUCUUCCGAAAUGUCUUUCACGUGCUUAGGGAUAGGCAAAUACCCAUUGGUUAUAGGUAAUCGCGGUUACUCGCCCAUUUAAAUUAAACAGUUACGGUUAUGGCUAACUGUUUAGAUAAAUAAACGGUUAUGGGUAUAACCGUUUACCCGUAAAAUUUAAAUGGAUGGUUAUGAGUAUUAACCAUGGUUAUAAACGAGUAACCGUUUACCCAUUUAUUUUAUAUAUGUAAAGCUAACACAAAUCAUGUUCUCCAUCCAAUAAUACUUAGCACCCAAUAAAUUAGCAAGGAAUUCAUCGAUCAUUCUCUCAAUAACACUACUACAUGAAUGAUGAUUCCCAUCAUCAAGGAAUUUGCCAAAUUAAUUUAAAUUCCUUGUGGGUAACCGUGAAAUUGACAGAAAUACUUUAACAAAAAUGUCUUCUAAACAAUUUUUGUAACCCAAUAAUACUUAGCAAAUAUUAUAUUUACCUUCAUUGGUAACAGUUAAAAAUAUCGUCCGUAAACUAUUAUUUCAAUUAUUGGAAUGGUAUAAAGACUUAAAAAAUUAAAAUAUAAAAAUGUAUGACGAAUGUACCUAUAACGGUGUUUAAUUGUCAAAAAAAAAAUUAUGACAAUUUUUUUUAAUUUUCAAGUUGUUAAAAAACAUGUAGACUGGUGAAAAAAAGGUAAUGGUAAAAAGAAAAGAUAAACGGAUUAAAAAUGAUAAAUGGUAUACGGGUAUUAAAUUGUUACGGUUAAAUGGCUAUGCGGUUAUGGGUAUGGUUAACCGUUUAUAAAUGGUUAUGAGUAUGAGUAUAACCAUUUAGGCAAUUACCCAACGGGUAAACGGUUAUGUAGGUAUGAGCAUAAACGGUUAUGGGUAAAUUAACCGCGGUUACCCGCCCGCAUAACCAUCCCUACACGUGCUCGACAAACACAACAGUCACCAAUCAUGUGAAUCAGCUAUUCCUCAAUGUAUAUGAUGAAACAAGUGCAUCCCAGAGGCAGGCACGAAGAGGAAUUUACUAUGCAAUAAACAUUCAAUGGGUACAAUUUUAUGUCUAACCUUUCCCGCUCCUGAGCAAUUUGAACAUCUUUCAGUUUUUGGCAGUGAAAGGGGCUGGUUUCCGCCAUCAACUGUUGAAAUUGGUUCGGUAAGAACAAGGGUUCCAGUGCUGGAGCAACGAGCACAAGCAAGAUAUCCUGCAUAAGUAUCAAAUACACCGGUUAGUUGACAUAUGAAGGAUUGGUUUGGUAUUGCUGUGCUUUGAAAAAAAAACUGCUGUGAGAAUAAGCGGCUGUGCUGUGAAAAUAAGCGGCUGUGAAAUAAAUCAGCAGAGUGUUUGGUAAACUUUUUUGUAAAAGUGUUUUUGGAAAAAAAAAAGUCUAAUAGUGGGUCUUUUCAUUAAAGAAACACUGUAGCUCCAUGUGCUUUGAAAAAAACCAGUUUUCCAAAGCUACAAAUAGCAGCUUCAGCUUUUUCCUUUGAUUUCAGCUUAUUCUCACAGCAGCUUCCAAAAUAAGCCUUUUUUUUUUCAGUUUACCAAACACCUAAAACCCUCACAGCUUUUUUUCAUGGGUGCUUUUUUUUUAAGCACCUCACUCCCAAACUUGGUUUGGUAUUGCUGUGCUUUGAAAAAAAGCUGCUGUGAGAAUAAGCGGCUGUGAAAUAAAUCAGCUAAGUGUUUGGUAAAUUUUUUUGUAAAAGUGUUUUUGGAAAAAAACAGUCUGAUAGUGGGUCUUUUCAUUAAAGAAGCACUGUAACUCCGUGUGCUUUGAAAAAAAACCAAUUUUCCAAAGCUACAAAUAGCAGCAUCAGCUUUUUCCUUUGAUUUCAGCUUAUUCUCACAGCAGCUUCUAAAAUAAGCCUUUUUUUUUUCAGUUUACCAAACACCUAAAACUCUCAUAGUUUUUUUUCAUGAGUGCUUUUUUUUUAAGCACCUCACUCCCAAACUAGGUCAACCAAUCCAAACAUCUCCAUCGUAUAUAUUUAAAGCUACGGUACAUAUGACUAAAAGUGAGAAACAUAGGACAUUAUCACACCAGUUCCAAGACAAUAUUUGCAUCGCUUAUGCUCCUGCUGUUUCACAUUGCUUAUUUCAACUACCAUCAAUGCUGAGAUCACUCCGACUGCUCCUCCAGAGAACGAUGCCACUAUGGGAUCAACUUGACUGCAGAUUGAAAGUAUAUGAGAUCAAUAAACGAAACUGAUAACAAUGUAGUAUUAACAUUAUUUAGCUCCAUGUCAAGAUAGACAACACAUCCUAGAUUUUUCUAAUGUGUAAAAUUUGAGGACCCUCGUAAAAUUUGACCACAUCGGUUCCCAAAGUAAAAUUUAGUACCUUUGGUUCCUACAUUACAGACCGAAAAUAGUAACUACCGAAUUUAAAGUUCAUAUCAAGAUAGAGGAUACAAAAUUUCGAAACGAUAAUUGCUAGAGAACAGGAGGGUUAAUAGCCCGAGAUAUGAGCCAUACCUCAACUGCAACGGCAGAUGCAUAUUUACUAUAAAAUCUUUAUACGAUGUGCCUCCUAUUCCCAGCUUCAACUCCAACUGAAAGAUGUAAACGUAAUUGUCGGCAGAGAGUUAGAAACAUAACCGAAUCCAUGUUUUAUAAGCAGAAAGUACACUUAUUUGACAUGCUUCCUCAUUUUUUUACUUGCAAAUUCAAAACCGUAUUGUCAGACCAGUAAAAUAAAAUAAUGUUUACUAAUAACUGUUAAAACUAAUCACAACAAGUUAAUGCAUAAAGAACUUACGGAGGGUGCUAUGAGGCCACCGAAAAGGAUAAACCCCGCAAUAAUUGAAUAACAUACAGCAUAAUACUGCUUAAGGUUGUCUGAACUCUGCAAGCAAUGCAUUCACCUUGUGAUUAAUACUUUUGCACAAACACUAGUUUUCGCAAUUUUUUAUGAACCGACAAAAGGCUACAACAAAAUAUGGCUAAAACAUGUCGGGGAUAUGAAAAUACAUGUCUUCACAGGGGCAGCAGCUUACCAGGGGAGGCAAAAAUGGAAUGAAUGAUGGAAAACUUGAUCUUCAUUUACCGCUCCAAGCUCUGCGCGUUUAAUCCGUUUAAUCCGCUGUUGUAUCCUCAGCCUGCGAACCUACGCAUAUCGAAGCUCAUUCUUAAAGAACACAUUUCUAAGGGCAAUUGGAGAGUAAUUUGAAACAUGCUAAACUGAGAAAGUGGCAGCAACUAGCAAUUGCUCUCACCUCCUCCGUAUGCAAGAAAAUUUUGUUGCGCCGACUCCGAAUAUUAUCUUGAAUUUCCUGCAGCUCCAUUGUCGCAAAGUCCUGCACUGUUUCAGGCCCCUCUAUGAUACAAAAUCUGCACAAUUAAGCAUGUAACAACUAAAACUUACAGGCUACAAAGCAAUUUCCGUAUCAUUUUUGGGUUAAUUAACAUCAACAGCAGAUAAAUCACAUGAGUUUUUCACAUGAAGUUACAAACCUUCAGAGACCAGUAAGCUCUCUGCAAUCUCAUAAAUUUCACUGUGCAAAGUAACAAUCCAAAGCUUGGAACUUUAAAUUUCCAUUUUCUGUUAUUUUCCUAGAGAGAGAGGGGGGAGUACCCGGCGGGGUUUGUAUCGGCGGCGGGUUUAGGAUCAGAAUCGACAGACGGAGCGAACGAGGAGGAGUCGGGCUCCGAAGCCAUGGCCAGGGAUCGCCAUCUGGAGCUGCUUGUUGAUAUGGGGCUUCUUGCGUAGCUGAAUUUGGAGCAGCGGAAGCUAUGCAGUUUGUACGGACCGCACCGAUUUACGGGGAAAGAAACGGCCAAAAGUCUGCCGGAGCAGAGCAUCUCUCUCUCUCUCUCUCUCAAACCAGAAGGCAGAGCUUUCUGUUUCUCUUGAGGUUUCUUUCACUGGUAAAUUCCAGACAAGCAGAGAAGGCGGCUCUCUGAGAAAUGGCGAUGGUGCAAGUGGAGACAAAACAAAUGUAAAUCUUGAAGCACCGAACAUGUGCAGAACACUUGUCAACUACCGAACUCUAGGAUUAGGAGAGAGAGAGAGAGAGCGAGUGACCGGCCAAAAAAAAAUGGAGGGAAGUGGCUGAUUCUUCUUUUUAGUGGACCUGGUGUCCUUCGAUUCGAGUACUAUGUCAUAUUUAAAAUUUAGGGUUAAUUUUGUUUAAGUUUCUUAGUUUUCAACAUUUAGUACAUAAAGUUUUUUUCAUCUCAGAGUGGUACAUAAAGUCAUAAUUUUGAGACAGUCUAAUACAUCCGUUAAGGUUGCUGUUAAAUCAACCGUUAAAUAGUGACGUGGCGUCUAGGUGGAUAUUGACUGGACGACACGUAUCAUUAUGGGUCCAUGUGGAUAUUAAAAAAUUAAAAAAAAAAAAUUAAUGGGCCGUUCAACCCCUCCUCCCUCGACCCCCUCCCUUCUCUCCUCUGCACCCACCCUCCCCACGUCUGCAACCCAUCCCCACGUCGUCAUCUUCUUCUUUGCCCAGAUCCCGCAAGAAUCUUCUUCGUCGCCGACAACUCAGCCACCAUCUCCAUCUCCGCCUUCCCCUCCUCCGAACCCGACUCCUACCCACUUCCAGUUCCAAUUCACCCUCUCCCAAUUUGCCCACUUCUUGUCCGAUUUUCGCGCCACUAUUGAACCCGAGCCCGACCCACAAAGAUGCUUAGAUUCUGAAAAAGAGAUGACACAAAUGCAAGAAAUGGAAAGCAGUGUGGUUUAGAGGUUAGAAACUGAGCAAUUUUUGGAUUGCUUUUUGGUUUGAUCAAUUUAAAGAAAUGAAAUUCUGAGUCGAAUUUCUUGUUCGUUAUAUUCGAUCUCCGCUUGAGAAUUUUAAACUUAAUAAUUGCAAAUCAAGAUACAAAAUUGACAUGAAUUUCGAAUUGGGGUUUUGGGAAAUUUGAGAAGUUCUUGGCGAUUCAUAAGAAACUUCAACUCCCAAUCGUUUCUUCUCGCUCACAACCCGAGAUUAAUAAUUUUAAAGUUUGAGCUUGAAUGUUCUUUGUAAUUAAAGAACAGAUGUGCAUCCCUCUGAAUGGCAAGAGGGUGAAUAGGAAGCGAAAAUCGGUGUGUGGCAAAUCGGAGAGGGUUAGGGAAAAAGUUUAGAGUCGGGUUCGGAUGAGGGGAGGGCGGGGUUAUAUUUUUUGUCGAGGCGAAGAAGAUUCUGCGGGAUCUGGGCGAAGGAAGAUUGACAUGGAGGGUGGGUGCACAGGAGAUAAGGGAGGGGGUCAAGGGAGGAGGGUGAACGGCCCAAUUUUUUUUUUUUUUUGGGUCAUUUGGACCAUCUCACUCAUCACCUAAGACGCCACGAUCUAAUAUUAAUUCCGGUUGACUUUGUAAAUUGGAUGUAUUAAUUAACAAACAUAGAUUAGGACAUUGAUGAUUUAAAAUUUGGGGUUUUGUUCUUCAGAAAUUUGGUCGAAAUAAGAAAUUCCCUAAAAGUUCAAUUCAGAAGAGUUACUUGCCUUACAAACAUUUUUUAAAUACUUACUAAGAAAAAGAUUUUUGUGGGUGGGUACAGUAUGGGGUUUAACUCAUUGUGUUUUAGUUUAAAUCUUUUUCUCUCUUCUUUAAUAAUAUUUAGUAUAUUAUCAAUUCGUAAUAAAAAAAUUUUGAUUAAAAACUCUCAUCUAUAUUCUAGCCAAUGGAAAAAAAUGAAUAGUGAUUUUGAUGUUGCUUUAACAAAAUAUUUUUUAAAAACAAUGGACGGCUUUCAACAAAAAAUUUGAGUAAGAGGGGUUUUGCCUUAAGUAAUUUUUGAAAUUGAAUUCAUGGUGGUUUUUUGAUUUUAUUAAAUUAGUCCCUCCCAGCAAAAAUGUGAUCAAUUUCUCUAUAAAAGAAAUAUAAGAUAUAAAUGAGAUAAUAAAGGGGUCAUUAAUAAAGAGUUGAUGAUUGUUUUUUUUUUUUUACAAUUCACACUAAGGGGGAAUAAUUGAUUUCUUUGUUGGUGUUCAAAAGCUUUUAAAUUUAUCUCUUUAAAAUAGUUUUAAUAAUCUUUUAAUGUGUUUAGUUGCCAAAAUUUUAUUUUUUUAGCAAUGAUAUUAUCUCAAUUUGAUUGGGCUUAAAUUUCUCUUAUUUUUCAUUAAUUUUCAUAUUCAAAACAUCUUAAAUGUCGUAAAUGCCGAUCAAAUAACUCUUUUCUUUUUAAUUAAUUAAUCUAAAAUUAAGUAAAAAUGAAAUUAUUACAGAGAUUUUCGAAAACCAAAUUUACAUUAUUGAUUUUUUUAACCUUUUUACAAACAAUAUAUCUAGUCUUUUUGUUUUACAAAGUAAUAUUGAAUUUUUUCACAAGAAGGCUAACAUAUCACAUUCAUUGAUUCAUGAUCAAUAUUUAAAAGUCAAAAAAAUAUUAGUAACCAUUCUCUAUUUUAACACAAUGUUCCAAGAAACAAUCUAGGGAUUAUCGGAUUUAAUGACCAAGAGGUUGGAAUUUUCCCCGUAAAUAAAUGAAUUGUUAACAACAAACAUAAAAAACAAAGCAAUAAAGAAUUCAGAUAGUGAAUACCUACUAAACCAUGUGAACACAAGCAAAAUACUUCAGAAUCACAUGUUGUCGAAAAAAUACGACUAUUUCUAAUCAGAAUUACAAUAUACCACGUUUUGCCCAUCACAUAAAAUCCAAAAACUAGUUAGGGAGCUCAAAAAGGGAGCGGGUUUGGAAACCACUGAUACACGAAGUAAAGAGGUGGUACUGUUUUGGUAAAACACAAAAGGUGCGAAACAAAGUAAACAAAACGGAAGGAAGAUGUUAUAGUCAUUCUCAGCAACAAAAUUCGAGCUUGUUGUCGAAAUCACAACAGGAGACAAUUUCGAUUAACAGCCUUUCCUGCCAAACUCAAUUUCCAAAAUCCUACAUCACAUCAUAAAUCCAUUGUUUCAUUCCCACGCACAAUCCCUACCCACUGCACAGGAGAACAAUUGUUUCUGCAAAGAAAAAACAGUUAACAAAAAACGGCAUGCAUAUCGCAAAAUCGGGAUAGGAAGCAGAAGCUUUCCUUGUUUUCCUUAAACACCAAGCUCUACAUUCCAAAAAGAACAUGAAAAAAUAAAAUUAAAUAAAGAGCCUUUCCUGCUUAUUUUGAAUUAAGGCGGGGAGGUCGAGACACGGCUGGUGUAUUUUUGUUUUUUUAAUUGUCAAACUGCCCAGGACACGCUGGGCAUUUUUUUUUUUGUUUAAACCUGGGCCCAAAACGACGCGUUUGCCAUUUAAAAAAAAAUUCCUUGGGUCAUUUACCAAUUCCUUUUUUCAAAAAAAAAUAACUGGCCCAGCGCCUUCGUCUUCUACAAAGGCACAAAAGCCCAAAAACCCCGACGAACCUUCCGUUUCACAGUUGGUGUGAGCGAACGGUGGUCGCACCAGGGGUCGCACCACCAGUCCAAGGGUCUUAAAGUUGCUUCAUGCUCUCCAAGGUCCGCGACGUGGUUGCGCACCCCAAUUGAACCGCACAGGAUCCGAAUGGCUUCUUCCCAUACAUGCCAUCGAAAUUCAGCAAAAGCAAUAACCAGCGAUUUCUUCUGGAGAAUUUAAGCCACCCCAUUGGACCAACAAUUCAAUCAAAAGAAACCAGUAACCAAGUUCAAUUGAGUUUAGAAGCAUUUACAAUGUUCCCACGGAUGUUCAUCACUUUACCCAAUAGUUCGUUUCAAGAAGGAAAUUCCAGCAGAACUGAAACUUCAAAACUUCAGAAGGCACCAAAUUUUUGAAGUAAAUUCAUUUCAAGUUGAAAUAAUCAACUUAGGUGAGGACCCAUAAAAUUAGGAGGAACAUGAAAGAAAGCUUUAUCUUUUUCCUCUAAACUCAGGCGUUACUAAACAAACGGACAUUCACAUCCCCACCAGAUGCAUUUCCUUUCACAUCUUCCCAAGUAAAUCAGUACCUUCUUUCGUCUGAAUCUUAAGUCUGAAUUCUGGAAGUGAAAAUACUGGAAAAAAGUGGGCCUUUAUAAAAGAAUACCUCACGUUUUAGUCAAUGUAUCAGCGCACUAAGAGGACCAGAGGCAGGAGUGAACGACAGCAAACAAUUCAUGUAAUAUUCAGUCGAGUUUUGGGUGAUUUCUGCAGCGAUUUCGGAGGCCAAGAGCCUGAUAAGAAAGCUGGGACGGAAGGGCAGUGGUCUGGAAGAAAAGGCUCGGGUCACACUGUCGCGAUUCGCGAAGGAGAAGUGGCCCAAUACAAUUUCGGCCUGUUUGCACUGGACUGUUUUGCACAGGGCCAAGGCCGACCCUGAACCAGAUAAAGCUUCUCCAAACAGUAUAUAUCAGGUGCUAGAAAUUCUAUAGAACCAUUCAAUCUUAGAGCAACAGCUUAGCAUUAGUUGGUACAAAAAGAUUUCCGAUUAUCGCUUUUAUUUAUUCCUCCUCUGAUGUGUCCUUUUAGACUGCAACAGACGAUUUAAAGAAAUGAAAGUUAGCAGAAUAAAUGGCGCACAAAGGGAUUUAAAAUCCUGACAUGUGUAUUUUUGGCAGAUUUAUGUGAGCAUGCAACUAAAACUGGCAUCACUAUCAAUGGUGCACGAAGAUUGGCGGAAAAACGUAAAGGGAAGCAAUCACAACACAAAAUGUACGACGUAAUCUGUCCACAUGUUGGAAGGAGCUAUGAAAGUAUGGCUUUUCACUAAUCAGGCGUCCAGAGAAUCAAUAUUUUACUCACGGAUCAGUUACGGAGAACAAUCCCCACCAAAGCAAUCUCAAUAGUCCUCCACAUCUCAAACCAAACAGAAAUCGCACUAACAAACACGACUUCUAUACUAUUAGUCCUUCCCAUCUCAAAUCUAGUAAGUAACCCAUCUUUCGUCUGAAUCUGGAAAACAAGCAGCAGUGGAUUUAAAAAUCUGGGUAUCUCAAAGUUACUCACUUUAAUCACAAAUUUAACAAUUAAACAUAUAAAUGGGCAUUUUUAGUGAAAUAUUAGUGUAGUACUCACUGUGUGCUAGGAGCAAGAGUACCCAGAAAGCUCAAUGAGCUGCGCACAGAGGACUGCAGCGGUGAACGAUAGCGACCAAUUCUGUAAAAUUCAGUCGAGUUUUGGGCAAUUUCUGCAGCAAUUUCGGAGGUCAAGAGGCUGAUAAGGAAAGCUGCGACCAAAGGGCACUGGUCUGGAAGAAAGGCUCUGGUCACCGCUGUCGCGAUUCGCAAAGGAAGAAGUGCCCCAAAACAAUUUUGGCCCUGGGCAGGUGCACUGUUUGCACUGGGACAGGGCCGGCCCUGAAUCGCGAUAACGUCCUUCUCCAAACAGUAUAUAUACAGAUGCUAGAAAUAUCUACCAGAACCAUUCAAUUCUAGCGUCUACAGCUUUAGCAUCAGCUGGUACAAGGGACAUUCUUCCAUAGAGGGAGAUGAAAUCGUUGAGGCUCUUAUUUAUUCCUCCUCUUGAUGUGCCCUUUUAGACUGCUAAUUCCAGACGAUACAAUCUCAUGCAUCUUCCCUGAAAAAGGGUUGCCACACAUCGAGAUCAAAUUUUUCCAAUAAAAUUAACUUAAAAAUCAAACUCGUUAGCAGAAUAAAUGGUGCACAAAGGGAUUUAAAAUCUAGACAUAUGUGUAUUUUUGGCAGAUUUUAAGUGAGCAUGCAACUAAAACUGGCAUCACUAUAAAUGGUGGACAAAGAUUGGCGGAAAAACAUAAAGGGAAGCAAUCACAAAGCAAAAUGUACUAAGUAAUCUGUCCACAUAUUGGGAAAAAUUUUUAACAGUUUGAUUUGUAACUUCUCCAUUGUAUUAGUUAAAGACAAGACGGUGUCAACCAUGCAAUUUGCUGAUGAUUUUACUGAUGAAUGCAGAGUUAGCUGAUGAUACGACAAGCAAUUGAAAAUCCCAUCAUUAUACCCCACAUAUACCAAAAAAGCAAGUCAUUUGCACAAAUUCAGAAGGUUCAUCCACUGCAAUUUGCAGAUAUAGAAAUGUUAAGAUAAAUGGAAAUACAAAGUACCUUUCACCCAAAUUGGAGGAACACCGGUGGCAUUAGCAAGUUAGCAUCGGGAAUUGACAUUACCAGUAUCUUCACAGUUUCUGCGGUGGAGUUAUGUACCUCUCCUUGGAAAAUGCCACCAAAGCCGCCGCAACGCGGUGUAGUGUCCGAUUGAUUGCUUCAAAACAAAGCUUCGUAUCCAUGUGUUUAAUCAGCACAGAGUACCCAAAACCCCUGAAAAUUAUUUCUUUAUUCAGACAAUAAAAUUUCCCAAAUUUCGAAUUUUAAUUCCAAAUCAAAAAUAGGGUUUGAAUUUUGAUUACCUAGAAAUUGGGGGGUUGGGGUGGAGAGGGACCCGGGCCAGGACGGAGCUAUGUGUAUAUGCUAAGGCGUGCCAAAUUACAUAGAGUGUCAGGAAUGUGUACAAGUCUUUUGCAAUUUAUCAGACUUAAAACCUGAAGCCCCGUAAGGCGUUCAAUCCAGGGGGAAAGCUCUUUGAUAGAUGUUCCACCCAAGAAAAGCAUUCUUAAUCCUUCCAUAUUUUCUUCAAUGCUUGGAAACACCUCAAAUUUUGUACAAUUGUAAAGAGAGAGACGGUAAAAGGAUUUGAGUUGACAAAUGCUGCUUGGAAGACUCUCAAGUUCCUUGCAAUUCAUCAUAAGCAAACACCUCAAUCCCGUGAGAUUAUUAAUUGACAGGGGUAGUUCUUUAAUUUUUGACCCAGAUAAAUCAAGCUCUUCUAACCCCUCAAUAACUUCUGAAAUCUCUGGAAACAUCACAAGACUCGAGCAACCAGAAAGAUCAAGGGUUUUGAGAGAUUUCAUACGAAUGCUGCUUGGAAGACUCUCAAGUUCCUUGCAAUUGUUUAGGUCCAAAUAACUCAACCUCGUGAGAUUAUUAAUUGACAGGGGUAGUUCUUUAAUUUUUGACCUGGAUAAAUCAAGCGCUUCUAACCCCUCAAUCACUUCUGAAAUCUCUGGAAACAUCUCAAGACUGGAGCAGCCAGAAAGAUCAAAGGUUUUGAGAGAUCUCAUACAAACUUUGCUGGGUAGAAUCUUAAGUUCCAUGCAUUUUGAUAGGUUCAAAUGACUCAACCCCGUGAGAUUAUUAAUUGACAGGGGCAGUUCUUUAAUUCUUGACCCGGAUAAAUCAAGCUUUUCUAACCCCUCAAUCACUUCUGAAAUCUCCGGAAACAUCUCAAGACUCCGGCAGCCAAAAAGACCAAAGGUUUUGAGAGAUCUCAUACAAACUUUGCUGGGUAGAAUCUUAAGUUGCCCGCACAAACUCAGAUCCAAUAAAACAAUUUUUGUAAGAGCCAAAAUCGACCCGUGAACCUCAACUAAGCGUGUACAACCUUGAACAAUUAGCCUCUCAAGAUUUGGCACAUUUGUGAAGUCAGGGGUUAUCUCAAGGUUAUGACAAUGACUUAAAUUGAUGAAUUUCAACUUUUCCUGCGUCUGUUAAAACAUUCAGGAAAACAUGCAUUACUUAAUAAGACAUCUCACUCAAAGCCCAAACAUUUAAAAGAAACAAAUACAUGUAAAUGAUUGUACAUACCUGGGUUCCUUCCCAAAGUCGGUCAAUGAGGCUAUAUUGCAUGUCAAGUCCAACAAGAUUUUCGAAUUGAAAGUUGGAUGGCAAAGACUUGAGAGGGUAUCCAGACCAGGAAAGACACCUCAACUCACUAGAAACAAACUUUAAGGGCCCAGUCAGGUGUUGUAUGCCGUGAGCACUGAUCUUGAGAAGUCUUAGUUUAGUCAUCCUAUCAAAAGCUUCAACCAUUAAGCAUCCCUCAUCUGAGUUCCACGAAUCGAGGAUUAUGCUUUCGACUGUUUCUGUACCCUGUGCAAAUCAAAGGGAAGGAAAAAGCAGAGAACCUUAGUUUAGAUUAUGAAGUUAAUGCUUGUUUCUUAAGGAGUUGUUUGAUAAUAAUUUUGUUUUCACUUUUCACUUUUGUUUUGAUUAUUUAUUUAGAAAUCUGAAAAUUGAAAACAUAUAACUUGUUUGUAAUUGUUUUCAAUUUUCAAUUUUCAAUUAUUAAAAAAAUGAAAAUUAAAAAUUAAAAAUGGAAACAAAAGUGGUUAUCAAACGAGCUUAAGAAAUUGAUUUUGGUCAAAAGUUGAAGCUUUCUACUAAACAUUGCAUAAGAAAAGAAAUUAUCACCGUAUUUUUAGUUAUCACAUGAAAAACAUCUUCAUAACUCCACAACCUACUUCGUCUCCCAGGCUCUUUGAUAGAUUCUUGGUAGACGAUUUUCUGACCCAUUUCCUCUAGUAAAUCAUGCAUCUCCAGUUCCCCCUUCGUUGAGACAGUUACUAGAGCUCGAUCGAUUAGAACUUUUAUUCCAAUAUCAGGAUAGAAACCACAGCUGUGCAGAACUUCGGUUGCACAGUCUUCUCUCAUUCCUUUAAAGUAACAUGCAAUAUCUAGAAAGAUAUCCUUCUCCAUGUCAUCUAGUCCAUCGAAGCUUGUUUUAAGCACAUCAUGAAUUCCCUUUUGCGGGAUUUUCUUUAUUUUUUCUAACUCAUUUUCCCACUGGCGUACAUUUUUGUUAUAAAGAAAAGCUCCCAAGACUUUGAGUGCUAAAGGCAGACCUCGAGCAUAUUUUACGGCACGACGGGAGAGAUCAUCAUAAUCUCUGGUGGGUUGGUUUUUUCUGAAGGCGUACCGCCUAAAGAGUUCCAGAGCUCCAGAAUCACUCAAAAUCUGGGGAUUAUAUAUCUCACCAGCUAUGCUUAGUAAUUGCGAAUCUCUGGUUGUUAUAAUAAUUCUGCUUCCACCACCAAAGGAAUGUGGCUCUCCAAGUAAAGCUUCAAUAUGUUCUAAUUCUUCCACAUCAUCAACAACAAUAAGAACUUUUCUCCGACCUAGACUAUUUAACAUCACCUGGAAACCUUUAUUCGAAACGUCGGAACUCCCCACCCUGUUGUUCGAGAUACUCGAUAGAAGUUCUGCCUGCAUAUGUAGUUUGCCAUGCUUCAUGAAACCUUCCUUGAAAUUUUCAAGAAAGCAACAAGCUUUAAAUCCACCAGAGAUUUCAUUAUAAACAGCUCUCUAGCGAUGGAUGUGUUUUUUGCCUAAACCCACACCCAUACCCCCAUAUUCCAACAAUGCGAACAUCAUAUUAGUUUCAACUCCAGGAGGAUGCAGUAAUGAAUGCAUGUUAUGCAUAUGAGAGUCCAUUUCAACCAAGCCAUUAUAUUUGCUUGAUGAUGAUGAGAUGUAUCGCCGACCCCACUUAGUGGGAAAAGGCUUUGUUGUUGUUGUUGUUGUUGAUGAUGAUGAGAUGUGGAUCAAUUUCUUAAAAACAUCUUCUACAAUUUUCUCAAUAAGCUCUGCAUCAUCCCUGUCAAAUUUAAAACACAAUAUAAUUACAACACCAAAUGAUACUUAAUGGGUCGUUUUGAUUACAAUUUCGUUUGCAAUUUUUUUUAAAUCUAGAUUUUAAGUUUGCAGAUUUUGUUUUCAGUUUUUAGUUUCAAUGAAAGUAGUUAUUAAACAAGUUUUCCAAUUUUUCUUUCAUGGUAUACAGUACGUAGUCCCAAAUAUCAGUAGUUAGAUCUUGCAUUUAGAUCUAAUGGGUAUUUACAACCUUUUUUCCUGAGAAUUUUGUACCAUUGUAGCCAGAUCACAUGUUUUCAUCCGUUAGUUUUAUAAAAAUGGAAACUACAAAAAAAAAAAAAAAAAAAUAUAUAUAUAUAUAUAUAUAUAUCAAAUGGCCCCUAAAUGCUAUUAAAAAUCUCAAAAAUUAACAGGAAACUAAAACAAAUUAGAAUUUAUUCAUGGUUUCGCAAAUCCCAGCCGGAUAAACUGGUGGCCGUUGUAAGAGAGAGGACCUCCAGCCGGAUAAACAUUUUCGAGUUAUUUGAUAUUUGUAUAGUAAAAAUACUUUAAUAGCAAGUGCGCGUGAGUGAAGAAAUUGAACUUACUUAUAUAUUCUUCGAAUCCCAACCGGAAAAAUUGCAGGCUCUGGGAAGAGCGGACCUCCAGCUCUGCACCUCCUUCACGUCACGUUACGAAGAACGACUUCAUGUUUAGCAAAAGCUUCUGCAAAACUUCCCUCGAGUUUACGUUUUACGAAUAUUGGACGGAUCGACUUGGUAGAAAAUGGGGAAUACAAUCUGGUUCUUGGAAUGGUUGCAUUCCAAGAUUUCCACGAGAGUUCUUUCAAGCACCAUGUGGAUGAAGCAUAGUUUUGAGAGAAACUACACUACAAUCGAAAUCCUUGACUCUCUCGAAUCGCUGUCAGGAGCUCGAAAAGGCGGUCGCCUUUUUCUGAGGUCUUCAAUGAUGGCAUCAAUGAAGGUGUUUCUGAUUGUUUCUAGAUUUGUAGAGAUGCUCUUUGUAGAGAUGGCCUGACGAGAACCGCGAGUGUCUUUCCCCUCUAAAAAAACUGAUGAACACAUCUCGUCCCAACCAAGGCAAGAAGAAGAAGAAGAAGCAAGCCAUUAAUCGAUCUCACCUGGGCAGCGAUGAUCUCAGAGCAGCUAAGACUAAGCAAGAAUUGUAAGUACAGAACACUCAAUAGAUCUACAAAUUGGAUCCAGAAAUUAGUCAAUGAGUCAAUGCAAAAGGGAAAAGGGCAAUUAUGCUUUUUGCGUUUUCACAUCUUUCUUCAGGAAAUUUCGGUGUGAAAGGAAUCCGCAUACUUUUGAUUUUUCAACCCAAGAAAAUGCGAAGAAGAAGGGUACAAAGUAGUAAAUUUAAUCUACAGUUGCCUACCCAACACAACUCUCUUGAUUAAUAAUAUAUAUUUAAUUGGGAAAAGUAGUUUAGAGGAAGGAUGUUUUAUCUCCUUUUUCUUCUCUCUCGAACAGUCAAUCUUCCGUUCCCGUGCGAUUUAAUCAUGAUUAAAGCUAAGCUUAAUCUUAGGUCGUAUUAUUUAGGUCUAAUUGGAUUCUUAAUUCUUGUUGUGAUAUAGUAGUUCGAAGAUUAAAAAAAAUUAUGAUUUAAACGUUUGUGGUGAAAUCUGUUACGAUUUAGAUUCAAAAUUGAAAAUUUCGUUAACUCCAUUAAUUGUUAGCACAUGAAGAAACACUCACAAAUGAAACUAAAAAUAAUAAAGUUAGCCCUCACAUGUAAUCUUCACGUGCUAACAAUGAAAAGAAAGUUCCGUUUUAGCUUAAUAUAUGUGACUCACGUGUUAAUAAUUAACGGAAUAUUAACAAAAAAAUUUAUUUUAAGCAUAAAUUCAAAUAAACUUCACCACAUAAGCUUAAAUUCUAAUUUAGAUAUCUUCUAACUAUCUUAUCACCAUAAAAAUUAUAAUCAAAUUAAACUUAUUAUUUAUUUAUAAAUGCGUAACUAAAUCACAAAGUGUUGAAUGAAAGGGAGCACUCCAAAUGAUGAAAGGGGUAUGAUAUCCACACAUCUUUUUUUUUACUUCUUACACAUCGUUUUAAUUUUCGACCGUCGGAUCAAAUUAAUUGAAGAAUAUCAAAGGAUAAAAAUCAACAAAGGGUGUGUAAGAAGUAAAAAUGAGUGUGUGGAUAGCCAUCCAUGAUGCCAAAAUGAAGCAAAAAGCGGGAGCAUCGAAAGCUAUCUCCGUUUUGUUGUUCUAGCUUUGUCUUCUUUUGGCAGAUAGCUCCUAGGGACCGGCCUAUUUUCCACAGCUGGUUAUAGACUCAGUUGUGCUAUAUAGAAGGGAGUGUUUUGUUGUAAUUCCAAUAUCGAUGGAAAUCCAACAGCCAAAAUCUUUUCAAAUUUUUGUGAGGAUUUUGGGGUGUACGUAAAUUGAUUAUGUUUAUCGUAUAUUGUGUGAUCAUUUUUUAUCAAAUAUUAUUUGUGUUUCAUUUUAAAUAAAAUAAUUUAAAAUAAUUUUUAACUACAAGAUGUACGAUGAACAGAUAUAAUUCACAAAUCUCCAAAAUCCUUACAAAAAAAUCCGAAAAAGAUCCAAAUUCAAUGGAAAUAAGCUAAUUUUGAAUCAAAUUACAUUACUUUAUUUUGUAAAUAAAUUUAAUUUUGAAUUGAACAACACAUUCAUUUAUUAUGUAAGUAAUUCAUUUUGUAUGUAUCAUCAUAUAUAUUAGGCACAUUUUAUCAUAGGUGAUUUUGUGAAAAAUUAAUAAAAAGUUACAAUAUUAACAAUAGAUCAAUAAUAUUUAUGUUAAUUAUAAAUAGGUUAACCAUGUAUUGUGAUACUUAAAUACAUUUAAAAUAAAUAAAAAUUACAAAAUCUACUACUACAGCUAGCAUUCACUUCAACUAAAACUCUCUUCCACGUAGUUUUUAUAUUUGGAAUAAGUCAUACGAAUCAGAGACAUGAAGAGGUGUAAGAACUGUGAAUGUCCAACAACAAAGACUUCGGAGUUUGUUGUCGAAUAUCUGCAGCGCAUCAUUUCUGAUAGAUCAAAUCGAGCCAAUUCCCGCAAACUCCAAUCCCACCACCACCUUUCAAGCCGGCCUCAGCCCUCCGGGCGGCAUUUGGCAGGACAGCACUGGAUCAAACAAGAAUGGGACUGGCAGUGGGAGCAAUGAACGAGUACACUCAGCAGGGAAGUCCAUCAUGCGUUAAGGCAAAUGGUUCUCAAACACAAAGCAAUAGUUCGCUACCGAAAACAACCAAAGUCUGACAAAGGGAACCGUCUUACACCUAACCUGUUUUUCCCUCAUCAAAUGAGCGCGUUGAUCUGCAGAUAUUUUCUGCCAUCUCAAAACCUGUUACAAAGAAAUAUAACGUUGAUGUCGAGCUGGAUAGCAUAUUAUACCAAUUAUGUGUACAAACCUAUUGAAAUAAAGUAGCUGUAGUUGCAUAUUACGACAGAUAUUAACGAAAACAAAAGAAGGCUCGCCUAUUCAAGAUCCUAAAUCCCAUGAUUCUUUUGUUUUUAGUUUCAGAAAUUUUCAGAGCACAAACUGGAAAGUACCAAGAUACUUACAUAUUGGGCAUAAUGAAAUGCAUCUUCAUCUUUCAAGCAAGAUUUGAGUGAGCGCAAACCGUCCUGAGAGUUACAUAGAGUCAAUCGGUAAUAUAAAAACGUAGAUGCAUCACACCCAAACACAAGUAUUCAAACACCGACAACUUCUUCAUGCGGUGAGGCAUGUUAAAAAAUAGGGAAGAACAGUUAUUGAAUAGGAAGUUAAAGGACUAAAUUUAUGACCUUGUGUUUGUAGUUCUUGGCUCGUAUGCGUUCAUCUAUUACAAAACCAAUCUGUAACAGGUACAACAGAAAAUAUAAGCAGUAGUCAGAACAUUAAGCAUCGGCAUUCACAUUGCCGCCAAUCCAAAGUUAAAAGUCUAAAGGCAAAACAGUAUGAUUCUUAUCUCUCAAACAAAAAUGAAACUAUACCCCAGACAUAAAUGAAAUAAGUUCUACUGCCUCAACUGAGUACUGUGAUUAUAUAUAAAUCCAAUUCACCUUGUCAAGUAAUCUCUUAGGAUCUUGAAAUGCUUGCUUCUUAGCCCAGUCAUUAAAUACAUGCGAGAUAAUCGAUCUCUCAUCCACACUGAAUCUAUUGUACAGUGACAGAAUAAUAAAGUUAAACAUGAACAUAACCAACCAAAAAUGCUAGUUAUAAUAGUACACCCAUAAUUGCAAGCAAAACCUUUUUAAGAAGCCAUUUCCAUGGUUUUCCUCCCCAAAUUCCAUCAAUUCUGCAGAGGCAACGUCAAAUUUACUAUGAUGGAGAUCAUUUUGAACCAUAACAACUUCAGAAGGUAGGAGAUUUGGUUUGAGAUCAUCUGUUGACGGAGUAGUUUCUUUUGAAGGGUCAUGAUGCUUUGAUUGCAAGCCUUCUGUACUUACGUCAGCCUACAAAACAAAAAUUGCAUUCAACCCACACUAGACUUAAUAAGAUUAGAAACACUUCAGAUUCUUCAUUAUUUGUAAGUUUGACUAAACAGCAGAACAACUGAGGAUAAUGAACAGUAAUACACACCUGGACUUCUCGUAGAGAUUUGGAAUUUCUUUCAGAAAUCGCGAAGGUUGAAGCAUCUGAAGGAGUCACCUUCUCAGUCAGAGCAACAACAACAAAUAAGGAGGACAGGAAUUCAAGCUAAAACGUACCUGCCAACUGGAAUCCAUCGUAACAUAAAGAAUGAAAAGCUUUUUUCGAGCACGAGUCAUUGCAACAUAUAAUAGGCGUCUUUCCUCCUAUGAUUAGAGUGGGAUUAUUGAGUUAUUGACCAAAAGAAAAAAGAGUGGGAUUAUUGUGAAAAACACUUCAAAGCUCUGCAUAUAACUGAAAAAUGUUGAACAAUUUACCCCACACCUCAAUGGAGGUCCCAUUUUCUUUUGCAACGCCAUUGAAUUCAUGCAACAACGGGAUCUCAGAUUCAUUUACCUGUGUUAUUGGCAUGAGCAUUAAAGCAAGCUAAGAUGAUUUGAAGAGGUUGAUAUCGUCAUGAUUAUAGUAGAACAGAAUACCAAUUUCAAGUCAUCAAUUAGGUAUAGCAUUGGCAUGUUUAAUCAGUAAAUCUAAUGACAGAACACCUCAACUCUACACAUAAAUAAAUAAACGGUCGUACCCAGUGCACAAGGCUCCCGCUUUACGCAGGGUCUGGGAGAGGUGAAUGUCGGCUAGCCUUACCCCCAUUUAUGGAGAGGCUGCUCCCAAGUCUCGAACCCGAGACCUACCGCUCAUGGGCGAAGGCACUUGCCAUCGCACCAAGUGCGACCUCUACACAUAAAUAAAUAAACAACCUGAAAAAUAUUACAGCCACUUGUUAAGGCAAAUACCUUAAUUAUGAAAACUAUAUCCCACUCUAAACCUUUUGACUGCAAGAGAAUGAAAAAGAAAGACAGUAAGCCAAGAAUGUUUUGUAGAACUCCAAAGGAAGUCCAAUAGGGAAAUCAUCGCAAGUACAAGAGUUAGCGAGGUUCGCAUAAGAGGAUAUCAAAAAGAUCUAUAACCUGAUGAAUAGUAGUCAAAGUGACAGAACUUUGGUUGUCAUGUCUUCGGGAGUGAAAAUUUUCACUCUCCCGCUCAGAUAUGUAGUCGAUGAAUGCUUUGAGUAAAUUAACGCAGCCUUUUUCUUCUGCUACGACUUCUCUCUCCCCUUUUCCCGCAACAAAAUGAGUUGAUAAGAAAUCAGAUACGUCGUCUAGUAGGUACUGAAGAACCUGCAAUGAGAAUAAUCGCAUCACAACAACAGAGUUGGACCAAGAUUUAAGUGACAACAAUGAUUAACUAACUAAAACAGAGAAAUUAUUCAUUUAAGACCUUGUUGACUGAAAAAAGGGUUUUCCAAGCAGCGGGUCAUUUAAGCUUAUUGUAUAAAUGACAAUCAUCACAAACGGCAAACUUACAGAUCUCACGUCAUUGUCUUCAUUCAGCAGUUUUCCUCCCUCUAUAUCAACGACUGCACGUUGCUCAAGACGGUACUUCUAAAAAUUGAAAGUCAAACGAUAAAUGAUUAAGAAGUAUUGAAUAUAAGCAUGAAACGAAGAAAAUGUUAUGGAAUGGUGAUCCUCAUCCUCAAAGAUGAUUAAAAGCAAUUUGAUUCAAAAAUGACAUAUCAACUCUGGAGAAAUGGAAGACAAACCUGUGGUACCAUAUUCGCAACUGAGGUUAUGACAGCUGAAAUCGAUUGUUCCUGUGUGCAUUAAUAAGUGAGACUACCAUAGAGAUUCACAACUAAAUAAAGACAGGUAUUCCACAGAACAACCUUUACCUCUUUGGAAACACAGAUCUAACAAAAACUAUAACAUUUUGGAUUAAUAUUGACGAAUCAAGAAUAAUGCAAGGGAGCAAGAGAUACUCUUCCUUCUAAUAACAAGGAGGUGUGAAAAGUAUACAGAGUUCCAACAAUUAGAGAACUAAAAUCAAACUAAAAAAAUCACCAAAGUAGACAGAAUCUCACUUCGCCAAAAAUUUGAAAAUAUAUCCUUUUUAUCCAUUGAGAUUCAUGAACUACUACUACUACAUCAUGCCAAUAAGCAAUGCGUAAGAGGUGCUACAAUUUACCGAAUAUAUUUACCCUGAGAACAAGUUUUGAAAUCAUCUCUAGUGUUAACAGCACCUUGCGUCCUUGGGUAAGCUGAGUCCUAUUAUCAAGUAAAGAGACCAAUCAGUACAUAUCCAAAAAGAUCUUAAAUGCUUGUAAUACCAAAUAAGAAAGAAACAUGAGUAUAUCUUGAAUUAACCAUGCAAAAAUGUAAUGUUAAAGCAUCUUGUCAUACAGACCUCUUCAAGGUACCAGAAAUUUUUGCACUAAAGAUGUCACAAGCAGCUGAUAUGAAGCUGCAUUUUCUGUGAGUUGAAAUUUUGUCAAUAUAAUCGAUCACCUGAAGAGAGAGAGAGAGAAAAAGACAGUGAUAUCCAGAGAUGUGAGCCUAAAUGCUGAGUGUGUGUAAAAAAAAGAAGAUUAAAUGGAUAGCAAGAAUAUACAACUUUAAUGCUGAAAAGAACAUUGAAUAUGAUGUUCAUUCAUCAUUCCCAUUGAACGUGUACCUUCUUCUUUUCCUCUUUCUCAAAAGCAAGUAGAGCCUUGAAGACUUGCCUAUAUGAUCCAUCAUCACAACCAGGCAAAGUUGUUUUAAUCAUAGCAACAAUGGCUCUAACUACCUGCCAUAAGAAACAUGCUACAUCAACAAGAUCACAGAGUGUACCAGAAACCGUAAUGUAGCAAAAUCUUGGAUAAAAUAGCUGGCCAAAAGGGAAUGGAAAAGCAAGCACGAAAAACAAUGAAAAGGACCAGUGAUGCCAAAAUUCUGGUGGAAAAGGUGAAAAGCUUAUGUCUAUUACAGUUCUUGUAUGCAUUCUUUAUAACUUAAGUUCUACGUAGCAAAAACCACCUUAUGCACAACAAUAUUGGAAAAAUUAGAUACAUACAACUGAGAAGAUAGGUUUUCAUAAUCUGGACAAGUGCUAACUACCUUCUUCCUAUAAACUGCCACUCCAUGAACAUUAAAUGGUAUUUUCCUUUCACGCAAGGCUGUCUGGAAGACUUUUCCUGAUACCUGUAGCAUAAAAUACAAAAGAAAAUGUGACCAAAAUGUCUUAUAUGAUUCACCUCAUUCACAUUAGCACUAAGGCAAGUAAGCUUGACCUGCCUCCGGUAAAGGAUUGCUAUAUUUCCAUAGAAGCACCCUGCUUCUGACCGUUUAGAUGCAGUCUCCAGGAUCUUGUCGACAACAAAGGCACAUUGUGCAUCCUCAUUGUGACUUUCCUUGAUAAUUACCUACAUUUUGCCAGUAAAACCAGUGUCACUAACUAAAAGGACUGAAAAAUGACAUCAAAUUGUACUUGUUGGAGCAAGGAAAGAUUAAGUACCUUAGACCCAGAAGAAUUGUCCGUGUCAACAUUCUUUAGUUGGCAUCGCUUCUUAUUGUUUUUUAUAACAGAAGAUGCAGCUUCCACAAUAUAGCGUGUGGACCGAAAGUUUUUAUUAAGCCUAAUCUGAACCAUAAAGUUAUGUCAAAUCCCACAGAACCCCAUAAAAUAAAACUUACUUUCCUGUAAUUGUACAAUAUAUUUGUUCUAUACUAUAUAUAAUGAAAAAAGACACUGUGAAUGACAUAAGAUAACAUAGCAGUCAAGUGCGAAGCGAACCUCUUUGUAAUUUGAAAAAUCUUUACGAAAAGAAUCAAAUCCAGAAAUGUCCGCCCCAUUGAAACUGAAAAUGGACUGCAGCAGGAUAUAUGUUAUUUGAUUUAGAACAGAUAAGGGCUGGAUUAGAAUGAGCUGAGAGAGAGAGAGAGAGAGAGAGAGGGAGAGAGGGAGAGAGGGAGCAAUAACAUUGGAUUUCCAUAAUAAAUCAACAACAUGCCUGAUCAUCAUCACCAACAAUGGUUAUGUGGUUAUGAGAGGCGAGAAUCCGCAAAAGACUAUAUUGCAUAGCACUUGUGUCUUGAAACUCGUCUAUUACAAUAGCUUUCCAUGACUCCUGGCACUCCUUCAACACUAAUUAAGAGAACACCAUGUAUCAACAUUUAGCAUUACUUGUAAAACUAGAUAAAUCAAUGAAAUAUACUUAGAUGAUAGAGACCUUCAGGAAAAUCACUUAGCUUAGCAGCUUCACAGAGCAGCUAAUUAAGUCGUGGUAGUCCAAAGCGUUGCACGAUUUCAAGAUAUCAUUGUAAUUCCUAAGAAUUUCACCCUGAUUCAGAUUGAGAGCUAAAACUCAUAAGCAAUAGUUUCAAAGAACUGAAAUGAUAUCUGAAAUUCUAGUUCUGAGCGUACUCCUGUCACAUCACCCAUUCUUCGGCAUUCAGCGGGAGUCUUUCCAGAAGCUUUUGCCUGAAACAUAAAUAAAUUUAUUGCCUAAUGCCACAUAUUGUAAGACACACCAUUGUAUUGGUCAUUCUAGCUUGAUUGUAGCUAAUAUUUUUUAAAUCGAAUGAUUAGAGUUCUUAAUCCACAAUAAUCUGAACAUUAAAUUUCGUAUUCAAGACUAACCUGUGUCACAAACUUCAGCCAUUUCUUUGAUGCAUCCUUAAAAUGAUGUGGAGAUGUUACGCCGUUAGACUCUUCCCCAUCUAUAGCAACAUUAAGAUUCGUUUUACUCUUUUCAUCUUCUGAUAACCGCACAGCUUCAAUGAUUGCUCUUCUCUGUUGCCCAUGUCCAUAUAUCAAAAAUUCUGGUCUGCGCUCGAGUCUAAAACACAAGCCAACAUAACAGACUCAGCUGUACCACCAUAUGUAUGGUGUUCAAAAUCAAGGGAGGUGAAUCAAUAGCUUACUUCUCAGCAUGUGAUCGGCAAAGUUGCAAUGAAAAUGAAUGCAAUGUACUGAUUGUUAGUAGUUUUGCCGUUGCUUUCCCAGUCACAGAUCCAAUUCGAUCUCUCAUCUCGGAAGCUGCUGCUGUAGUGAAAGUCAUUGCUAGAAUGUUCGACGUGCUGAUGCCCUAAGAACACAAAAAAAAAAAAAACGAAUAAGAUUUCGAUCAUAAACAAGAAAUGUAGAGAAACACACAAUUAUGAAAGAAAAAGUUAGGGGGAAGUAGCAACACCUCAUUGAGCAGCAUUAGAACGCGCCCAACAAUCAUCAAAGGUACUGAAAUAUCGCUGCAAGCUGCCUCGCGCUGCCUUUCGUUGAGAGAAAGCUAAUACUUCAAAUACUCAUCCGGCAUGUUAGGCAAUCCAUGGUUAACGGAAUCCGUUUGGUUUUCACUACUCAAAGGCGGCGCUGAUGCGGCACGAACGUCACUACCACAACUCCCAAUAUCAUCACGCUGAAUGUCCACACUUGGUUUCUGCUCAAUUAAAGCGUCAAUUUCCUGCAAAAUACUCUCAUCGAAAUCAUCAUCGUUAAGAAUUCCAGAUGCAGAGAAAGAAUCAAAUGAAGUCAGAAACUGAUGUCUGAUUGGAGUUGUGAAAGAAUCCGAUUUUGACACGCUUGAUUCUGUCCGGCUAACGCUUAAGCUCCCGGAACACGAAGCACUGCCAUAUUCACCACGCGCUGAAUUGUACCGGCUUGCGGAAAUCGGAGGCGGUGUUCUUUGAACUCUAUUGAGCUGAGUUGGCGUUUGGAUUCCAUUUCCGCCACAGAUUCUGGAAUUUGAAAAACACAAUUGAAUUGAUUUAAAUUGAAGCAAGAAAACAGCCGAGUAGCCAAAAAAUAGUAAGAAGAUGAAACCUUUGAUUCCUGAACGACUUACUUGGUAUGAGGGAGGUGAUGAUCAGGUGAAACGGCGUCGUUGCGGGGGCGUUUGCGAUCAAUGAGGGCCUUGGCGGCUCUGAAAUUCCGAGAGAUGCGGUUUCUUUGUUCCGCCGUGAGCCCUCCGCCGUACGCCUGAACGUUUUCCUUGGACAUUGCUUCGAAGAUUCCAACGGAGGAUUUGGCCUGACGGCCUGACCAGGCUGAUAACAGUGUAAAACCUUAGGAGCUAAGGAAAAACUAAGAGAGAGAUCGUAGAGAGGGAAAGUUUUUUCUUUUUGGAAACCAGUAGAGAGGAAAAGUUUGUUAAACCUGAAUAAUAUUCUUUUGGCCUAAUCGGAUAAAUGGUCCCGUGGUCAUAAGGUAUUCGGAUGAUAGGCCUGUGGUAAAAAAAUUCAGAUUUAAACCCCUGUGGUCUAAAUCUGUUAGGAUUUAUGCCCUUUUGUUAAAUAAUGCUGACGUGGCUGCCACAUAUAUGCCACGUGGCUGCCAAAUGUCUGCCAUGUGGCAAAAAUAAUAAUUUUUAAUUUUUUUUUUUAAAACCUGAAUUUUUACAAAAAAAUAAAAAAUAAAAAACCCAGUCCGGCGAGGGGGGGAGCUGGUCUCUGGCGGGAGGAAGAAGAAGAAGAAGAAGAAGAAGAAGAAGAAGAAGAAGAAGAAGAAGAAGAAGAAGAAGAAGAAGAAGAAGAAGAAGAAGAAGAAGAAGAAGAAGAAGAAGAAGAAAGAAGAAGAAGAAGAAAAGAAGAAGAAGAAGAAGAAGAAGAAGAAGAAGAAGAAGAAGAAGAAGAAGUCGCGCGGGGAGACCGGCGGGAAGAAGAAGAAGGAAGAAGGAGAGGGAGGAGGGUCGCGCGGGGAGAGGGCUCCGGCGGGGGGGGGGGGGGAGCUGGUCUCCGGCAAGAAGAAGAAGAAGAAGAAGUCCAGCGGGGGGGGAAGGGCGAAGGGCGGGGGGAGCUUCUGGGUUUUUUUUUUUUUUUAAAUUCAGGUUUUUUAAAAAAAAAAUUAAAAAUUAUUAUUUUUGCCACGUGGCAUAUAUGUGGCAGGCACGUCAACAUUAUUUAACAGAAGGGCAUAAAUCCUAACAGACUUAGACCACAGGGGUUUAAAUCCGAAAUUUUUUACCACAGGGGCUAUCAUCCGAAUACCUUAUGACCACGAAAACCAUUUAUCCGAUUAGGCCUAUUCUUUUCAUUCAACUUGUCUACAAUAAUUACUAUUGGAUAAGUAUAUAGGCUGUGUCAUUACUACUACACGUGCAAAACAUGUGCACAUAUGGCUUACUAGAUAGAAUAGUAUAAAUACCUUUUCCUUUCCUUUAUUUUGUAAGAGGUUGUAAUACCUAAAACAGUUAGAGAAAUAUAUUGUAAUUCUUUCUGACUUCUCCUCUAAGCUUCCUUCUUCAGUGUAUUUCUUAAUUUCUAUGGAAUUCAUCUCUACUGUUAAGAUGGUAUCCAGAGUCGUUCUUGCUUGCGCAAUGGUACUGGUUCAUCGUUUCCAUUGCUUCGACUGGUAAGAAGGUGAUAUUGCUUAUGGGCUUUGUCUCUGGAUAUUUGUUCUUUGCGUUGGAAACCCUAAAAGAGUUUAGUGUUCUUCUUCUGAAAUUUCGUUUGAAUUGAAGUGUAAUUGAAGGCCGAUGCCAUAGUUUUUUGGUUAAUUGAAGAGUUAUAUGUUGAUUUGAUGAAAGGCCGAUGCCAAAAUUUGUUGAGAAUUUUCAAUUUCUUGAAGUGAUUUGAGUUGAUUGAAGGCCGAUGCCAUAGUUUUUUGGUUAAUUGAAGAGUUAUAUGUUGAUUUGAUGAAAGGCCGAUGCCAAAAUUUGUUGAGAAUUUAGUUUCUUGAAGUAAUUGAAUAGAUUCAAGGACGAUUGCCAUUGUUGGAGUAUAUAUGUGAUUCUUGCUUCUCUGCGAUCGUAGAGUGAUUGUCUUCGUAGUUGGAAAUCAGAUUUGCAAUUCUUGUUCAUCUGGAGUUAUCCACCGAUAUCAUUAACAUAUAAUAAGAGAACAAUAAUUGAUGAACCAUCACACUUGACAAAUAAAGAAGGAUCUGCAUAUGAUGACUUGAACCCAAGCUUAGGCAAAUAACCUGAAAACAUGUCAUGCUAGGCUCUGGGAGCUUGCUUGAGACCAUAUAAAGACCUCUCCAGUUUGCACACAUAAUCUGGAUAGGUAGAAUCCACAAACCCUUAGGGCUGAGACAUAAAAACUUAUUCCUCAAGAAAGCCAUGCAAAAAAGCGUUAUUGACAUCUAACUGUAUGAGUUUCCAAUUAUGAGAUGCAGCCAACGAUAGAACCAAUCGAACUAUGGUUGGUUUGAUCACAUGGCUAAAGGUUUCAUAAUAGUUAAUACCAACUUCUUGAGAAUACCCCUUAGCUACAAGUCUAGCCUUGUACCUAGCCACUGAACCAUCUGGAUUUCUUUUAAUCUUGUAGAUCCAUUUACAACCAACAAGAUUUUUGUCAGAUGGUAAGGGCACAAGCUUCCAAGUACGUUGUUGAAUCAAAGCAUCCAUCUCUUAUUUCAUGGCAUUUUGCCAUUGAACACACUUGAUUGCACUAGAAAAAGACUUAGGUUCCUUGAUUUCAGAAGCCUGAUCCACCUUAGCAGAAAACACCUUCUUUUUCAUAAUCCUAGACUUAGACUGGGUUUGCAUGGGAUGACAAUUUUGAGCAUUGAUACACACUAGUUGGAGAUCAUCCACUUGAGACAUUGUAGUAUUUGGAUGAUCUUUUGAAUACACAGUAGGCAAAACCUCUGAAGAAGGCACACCACUUGUGGAAUAAGAGACAAGAUCACCAGAACUAGUGGGUUGAGAGGAUGAUGACUGAGUAACAUGCCGUGAUUUAGAGGUAAGAGAAGUGGGACCAAUAAAUGGAAAUGUGGAAGAAACACUAGGUGGAUGAAUGAAUGUGUUUGAAUGCACAACAGACACUGGUGAGGAAGAAUGACCAGAAGUAACUUGAGGAUUGAAACCCAAAGCAUUAGAGUCUGUAGGAAACUUGGAUUCAUAAAAAAUAACAUGUCUAGAUACUAACAGUUUCUGAUCUUUGAGAGAGAAGCAAAUAUACCCUUUGUAUUGUGUAGCAUACCCCAGAAAAAUACACUUAGUAGUUUUAGGUUCAAGUUUAGUGCUUCUAUAGGGUUUCAAUGAAGCAUAACAUAAACACCCAAAAAUUCUCAAAUGAUCAAGCUUAGGUGGAGAUUUAUAUAGCAUUUCAAAAGGAGACUGCAUAUGUAGGGUAGGUGUGGGCAUUCUGUUUAUAAGAAAAGUAGCAGUGGCACAGGCAUGGAACUAGAAUUUUGAAGGUAAUGAAACUUGUUGUAAAAAGGUAAUAGCUGUUUCAACAAUAUGUUGAUUUUUUCUCUCAGCUAACCCAUUAUGGUAUAGGGUAUAAAGACAAUAUUUUUGAUGAACAAUGCCUUUGGUAAGAAGAAAUUGCUUAAACUGAGUACUAACAUAUUCCCCACCCCUAUCACUUUGCAAAAUUUUUACAUGAGCAUCAAAAUAAAUCGAGACAAAAGUAAGAAAGUUGACAAAAACAGUGAACACUGCAAUUUUAUUAUUUAAUGGAAAAAUCCAAGUAUAUCUUGUACAUUCAUCAAUGAAGGAAACAUAAUACUUGUAACCUUCUAUAGACAGACUAGGUGAGGGACCCAAACAUCUAUGUGAAUUACUUUAAAUGGAGUAAGUAACUUCGAAGCAAUUACAGGAAAAGGGAACUUGGUAAACUUGCCUUGCAAACAAGCUUUACAAGUAUGAGAUUGAGAGUUACAAGGAAAAGAUAUACAAGACUUAUCAAGUGUUGCAGUGACAAUGGAAUGUGCAGGAUGACCUAAUCGACAAUGUCACAAUGUAGAAGAAAUCUUUUAUCCCACAAAUGCAACUGGAUUAAAAACAGGAGAAAUAGACCUCUGUGGUUUGAUUAUGGGAAGUGGAUAGACAACAUUAUUACUCAGCCCUUGGAAUAGCACUCUCCCGGUGACCUUGUCCUGUAGAUAGAGAGAAACAUCAUUAAUGAUACAACGACACUGAUUAUCUUUGCACAACUGAUUCAUAGAUAAUAAGUGUUGUGACAGUUUUGGAACAUGUAACAUAGAGUUUAACUUGAAAUUAUGUGACUUAGUGAGAAGAGAAGAGGAACCAAUAUGUUUGAUAGCUAAACCUUCACCACUAGCACUGGUCACAAUAUCAUUUGAUGGAUAAAUUUGUUGCCAUGUGCAAGUUUGACAAAUCUGAGGUCAUAUGGUCCAAGUCAAGAAACCAGAAAUCUUGUUGAAGAGUUGAGGAUGAUGCACCAGCUCGUGCUUGCAUAGCAAGAUGAAGAUUUUGUGAGGAUGUAGUUGAGAGAUAUGGUAUGACAAGAUACUAAAACUGGGAGCUAUUAGACUGUGGAAUCAUGCCUUGUGAAGGACCACAUGGAUUCUAGCUAGGUGCUUCACCAUAUAACCCAGUAGGCAUUGGAGUUGGCAUAGAUGAGGAUAAACCCUGAGAGAAAUGCUCUGAUGUGCCUGUAAAAUUCUUAUUCCAAUCAAAGCAAGUAGCAGCAACAUGGUGACAAAUUUGACAUCCAUGUUGAAAACAAUUCAAUGCAGAAUGACCUUUGCGAUCACAUAUUUGCAGAAUGACCUUUGCAACCCUAGAAAGAAGAAGGAGUGAAGAAGACCAAAUGUGUACGUUUCUCUUUGAUUGUUUUUCCCUCCUAAUCGCGCAGUUCGAAAUCACGGACCUCGGGCCUCGGCCUAGUGGGCCCAAUUAUGAGGCCCAUUAUCUCCGGUCUUCUCGUUCUACUUCUAGUUACCCAAAUUAAGAACGUACUGGUUCGCUUUUAGCGCGAGAGAGAAAUGGAGGCCCUGAUUGCCUCGUACGGAGACUCGUCGUCGGGCUCAGACUCCGAGUCGCCGGCUCCACCUUCACCACCACCUCCGGAGCUCAACAACCCUCAAGAACCGACCCCUGCGCUGCCUCCACCUCCUCUUUCACUUCUCGACAGCCCCAAUUCCUUCGGUAACCUCUGAUUCCCAUCAAUUUCAUCUUUUAGCUUUCUGCUGUGAUGGCUUUUUCCGAGUUGCCCACCAAGUGUUUGAUGUUUUGCCUCUGAAGGAUUUCUGGACUUAUCGGCAAGCGCCCAGCCGAGCAGAGUUCGGAACUUUCCUCACGUCGAAGGGAACUACGCAGUACAUGUAUACAUCCCAGGUUAUCAAAAUUCUCGAAAUUUUCAGCUCCAUUAGCAAAUGCGAUCGCUUUGCACUUAGUUUUUGCUUGUUUAAUUGUGUGGUUCCAGUUUAUAUACCACCAGCACCAAGGAAAGAGAUGGCCUUGUUUUUGAACAAGCUAGCUUCUCUGGUGCCUGGUCUCCAUGCGGUUGACGUUGACUUCCCGCUUGACAUUCUGCGUAAGGACGAGCACAAGCUUGAACAAGUUGCUUUAGGCAGAGAGUUCCAUAUAAGUCUCGGAAGAACUGUUCCGAUUCGGGUGCACCAGAUUGAUUCCUUGGUGACAAUGCUGCGGCAGAAGCUUCAGAUUCAGAGGCGGUAUGGUUACAUUUACAUUCUCUUGUCCGCAUUGCGUGAAGUUAGUUCUGUUAUUUAACAUAAUUCUGUAAGCCUGCAAAUUUUUUGUCCAUUUUCGGUUUAACACAUUUUGUUAUUGUGAAACAGGUAUUGGAUUGAUUUUAGCAAGUGGGAGGUUUUUGUUAAUGAUGAUCAGACCCGGACCUUUGUGUCUAUCGAAAUCAUUGCUGCUGGGUUAGCUGAGGUAUGAUUGCUAGCUUUCUCUCUUGGUGCAAUUCUAAAUGUUUUCAGUUGUUAUAUGGGCUUAAGAUUUAGUAAGUACUUGCCGAAGGUCAUGGGAUUUUGAAAUAUUGAUAUCUUGCUUGCUUAUUAGCUUAGAUUUGGUCUUCGAUGCACUUGUAACAUGAAAAACACAAACGAAAACUAAUGCAUGAUAUGCUCAUGGUUUUAACAUGUGUUGUCCUGGCGUAAAUCAUGUUCCUAAUCCUGUCAUGUGAGUAUAAGCCUAUGAUACUUAGGGCAUGUUUGGCGGGCCGGACAAGAUUGGAAUUGGUAUUUCAGACUAGUUAGGUUAGGAUUGAACUGGAUAGGAUAGGUUUUUGGUCUAAAGAUUGGUGUAGACUGUCUUAACGAUGGGAUUUAAAACGUGAAACAGAUCUGCGACAUCCCAACGAUGACCCGCCCACCCAACAACUCUGCUCGUGACUUGCAACACCUCUCGUACCCUCCACGCCCCUUGAGGCCCGUCAGACCACUCUGAUAUCCUGGAGAGGUGAAACGUGGUUACUAGAAGCAUACCUGUUUUCGUAUUAAUGCACGGUUGAAGCAGCUUUCAUUGUCUACAAGUCUGAAAUAUUUCAACUUCCAUUGAUUUCAGAUAACAAAGCAGAUUCAAGCUGUGAAUGAGGUGUAUAAGCUUUUUCGUGUUUUUCAAACUCGAAAAACAAGAUUGUGCCUGAAUACUACUCAUUGCUCAAAAAACUAAAUCACUUCAUGGGGUGUUGGUGAUCACAGGAUCCGCGCCCUCACAUCUCGGUAGCUUGGGCAUUGGGUGACAUCAGCAAUUCCCUGAAGAAAGUGGUUGAAGAAGAAAGACGAAGAUCUACCAUCGGAGGAUCGUUACAGAAAUGUAUUUUUACCAGUAAAUUCAAUGGUAUCGAAUGUAGGAUUGGUAAUAAGACACAAAAUAUGUAAAUUUUCUGAACAAUAAUGUAGCCAUUUAACUGUAUCGUGAAAUUCCGAGAAUAUAUCGCUGAGCAUUGGAUGAGAAGACAUUUCUUUGUUGGUGUCGAACUUCUUGUCGAAGGUAUUGGCACCAGUGUAAACGUCAUCAUCCAUGUUGAUGGUAAUUACUUCCCAGCUACCAAGGGUGUCGGAACAACCUUGCACGCAGCCUCCUGUGCAUUACUUAAUAUUGUCUCAGUUUCUCCAAACUUGAAUGCUCCUGUAAACCCACUCUUGACCUUUCCGUCAUCUGCAAUUACAGGAAAGCUGGCUAGGAUGUUGCCGUUAACCUACCUAACUGGCUAGGAUGUAGCCGUCAUCUCCAAACUUAAAAGACCGGAAAGCCGGCUCCAAACCUCAAUGUGCUACUAGUUUUUGUAUGCGAGAGCUCCACCUCCAUUGUUGUAACAGCAUCUGAUGCGGACUAGUCCUUCAUUCCCGUUACUCUUUGCUAUCUCCACUUCAAACUUGGCGUAAUGGCUCCCGGCCGCCUCUCCGGUGAAAUUGAGAAACCCUGGGAAACCCUGGAGCUAGGCGUUUUCAUUCUGUUGUCCGUAUAUCUUGAUAUUACAAGUAUUUGUUGUGCAAAAUGCAAGCUAAGUUCAAGUUAUGUUUAUGUAUGUGUGUGUGUGUGUUGUCACUUCGCCACUUUUCCAACGUUUUCUCCAAAAUUGUGAUUUUGGUGUUGUUCUAACUUUGGUGAAUGCUAAUAACAAUUCCCUCGUUAACCAUUGGGACGAGCAACAAGGCAGUUUUGAUUCCGUGCACAACGGCGAUACCUCGAAAGAAAUUGAUUCUUCACCAGAAAGAUGUUUUAAAACAAAGUUGAACAGUUGAUGUAUACAGACGUUCCUUGCUUAUGACACGACUUAUGAGAGGAUGUAUGUAUUGCAUUUGCAUCAAAAGAAAGAAAGAAGGUUGUAAGUGGUAAGGGAACGACUACCGAUGCCGCUCCACUUCUAAUCAAAGGGAUCGAUCCGAGGGUCGUGUUCACUUGCCAUCGCUAUUCCAGUGCAAAGGCAUGUCGGGCACAUUACCUGCCACAUUUACGGACGCAAUGUUAGAUAUAGCUGCCAUUUGGAAGUCAUCUCUCAAAAUUUUGCUACUAAAUUAAUCUUAAACGUCAUUUCCAGUGCAAUUUUUUUCUUCUGAAUUGUCUUUCACAUGCCCGACAAAUAAAAGUAUCACCAAACAUGUGAAUAUAGUGCAUCUAAGCGGCAGGCACUAAAAGGAAUUUAGUAUGCAAUAAACAUUCAACGGACAUAAUUAUAUGUCUAACCUUUCCCGCUCCUGAGCAAUUUGAACAUCGUUCAGUUUUUGGCAGAGAUAGGGGUUGGUUUCCGCCAUCAGCUGUCGAUAAUGGUUCAGUAAGAACAAGGGUUCCAGUGCUGGAGCAACGAGCACAAGCAAGAUAUCCUGCGUAAGUAUCAAAUACACAGGUAAGUUGACAUAUGAAACCAAUCCGAACAUCUCCAUCGUAUAUAUUUAAAGCUACAGUACAUAAAACUAAAAGUCAGAAAUAGAGGACAUUAUCACACCAGUUCCAAGACAAUAUUUGCAUCGUUUAUGCUCCUGCUGUUUCGCAUUGUUUAUUUCAACUACCAUCAAUGCUGAGAUCACUCCAACUGCUCCUCCAGAAAACGACGCCACUAUGGGAUCAACUUGACUGCAGUUUGAAAGUAUAGGAGAUCAAUAAACGAAACUGGUAACAACAUGGUAUCAACAUUAUUUAGCUUCGUUUCAAGAUAGCUGACAUCCUGGGUUUUUCUAAUGUGUAAAAAUUGAGGAUCCUUGUAAAAUUUGACUAUAUCAGUUCCCAAAGUAUUUGAUUCCUAUGUUACAGACCGAAAACAGUAACAAUUGAAUUUUUAGAUUCAUAACACGAUAGAUGGUACAAAAUUUCAAAACGAUAAUUACUAGAGAACAGGAGGGCUAAUAGCCUGAGAUAUGAGCCAUACCUCAACUGCAACGGCAGAUGCAUAUUUACUAUAAAAUCUUUAUACGAUGUGCCUCCUAUUCCAAGCUUCAACUCCAACUGAAAGAUGUAAACGUAAUUGUCGGCAGAGAGUUAGAAACAUAACCGAAUCCAUGUUUUAUAAGCAGAAACUACACUUAUUUGACAUGUUUCCUCGUUUUUUUACUUGCAAAUUCAAAACCGUAUUGUCGGACCAGUAAAAUAAAAUAAUGUUUACUAAUAACUGUUAAAACUAAUCACAACAAGUUAAUGCAUAAAGAACUUACGGAGGGUGCUAUGAGGCCACCGAAAAGGAUAAACCCCGCAAUAAUUGAAUAACAUACAGCAUAAUACUGCUUAAGGUUGUCUGAACUCUGCAACCAAUGCAUUCACCUUGUGAUUAAUACUUUGCACAAACACUAGUUUUCGCAGUUUUUUAUGAACCGACAAAAGGCUACAACAAAAUAUGGCUAAAACAAGUCCGGGAUAUGAAAAUACAUGUCUUCACAGGGUCAGCAGCUUACCAGGGGAGGCAAAAAUGGAAUGAAUGAUGGAAAACUAGGAAGUUCGUUUUCUUGAUCUUCAUUUACCGCUCCAAGCUCUGCGCGUUUAAUCCGCUGUUGUAUCCUCAGCCUGCGAACCUUCGCAUAUCGAAGCUCAUUCUUAAAGAACACAUUUCUAAUGGCAAUUGGAGAGUAAUUUAAAACAUGCUAAACUGAGAAAGUGGCAGCAACUAGCAAUUGCUCUCACCUCCUCCAUAUGCAAGAAAAUUUUGUUGCGCCGACUCCGAAUAUUAUCUUGAAUUUCUUGCAGCUCCAUUGUGGCAAAGUCCUGCACUGUUUCAGGCCCCUCUAUGAUACAAAAUCUGCACAAUUAAGCAUGUAAAAACUAAAAAUUACAGGCUAAAAAAGCAAUUUCCGUAUCAUUGCUCGGUUAAUUAACAUCAACAGCAGAUAAAUCACAUGGGUUUUUCAAAUGAAGUUACAAACUUUCAAAGACCAGUAAGCUGUCUGCAAUCUCAUAAAUUUCACAGUGCAAAGUAAAAAUCCAAAGCUUGGAACUUUAAAUUUCCAUUUUCUGUUAAUUUCCUAGAGAGAGGGGGGGUGGUACCCGGCGGGGUUUGUAUCGGCGGCGGGAUUGGGAUCAGAAUCGACAGACGGAGCGAAAGAGGAGGAGUCGGGCUCCGAAGCCAUGGCCAGGGAUCGCCAUCUGGAGCUGCUUGUUGAUAUGGGGCUUCUUGGGUAGCUGAAUUUGGAGCAGCCGGCGCUAUGCAGUUUGUACGGACUGCACCGAUUUACGGGGAAAGACACGGCCAAAAGUCUGCCGCAGCAGAGCAUCUCUCUCUCUCUCUCAAACCAGAAGGCAGAGCUUUCUGUUUCUCUUGAGGUUUCUUUCACUGGUAAAUUCCAGAGAAGCAGAGAAGAAGGCUCUCUGAGAAAUGGAGGCAAAACAAAUGUAAAUCUUGAAGCACCGACCAUGUGCAGAACACUUAUCAACUACCGAACUCUAGGAUUUUUAUUUUUUGGUAAACUACCGAACUCUACGAUUAGGAGAGAAACAAGGGGAGAGAGAGUGAGUGACCGGAAAAAAAUAAAAAAUAAAAAAAAUAUGGAGGGAAGUGGCUGAUUCUUCUCUCAUUUUUUCCUAUUGUUUUUCAGAAAAAAAAAAAUAAUAAUAGUAAUUAGUCGUUAGAUUCGAGUAGUCGUUCGGUAUGUCACAUUUAAAAUUUUAUUAUAGGAAGCAUAAGGUUAGGCCAUCUCCAAUCGAAUUAGGUCUGAAAGAUCAUGUUUAUCCUUAUAGUUUUGCAAGAAAUUAUAUUUUAAUAAACAAUGCAUGUCAUAUUUUAUACCAUCUCUAACCGGGGGGCCAAAGAAUCAUGGGCCAAACAUAGCCCUUUGACAAUAAACGCAUCUCCAACCGAGAGGGCCAAAAUGUCAUAGACCAAAAAUAAUCCCCUAAAGAAUUUAUUAUUUUAAUUGAAUUAAUAUAGUUAAUUAAAUUAAACUACCGUAUUAAAAUAAGGUUUUCUGACAUAUUUUGAGUGCCACUUGCCACAAUAACGAAGAAAGCGUGGUAUUGUUGCACUUGCUAUAAAGUCAAGCUUGACAUUCUGCCGCUGGAGAACUGGUUGGCUGACUGGAAAUGGCCAACCCGUUGGCUUGAUUUGGGGGUUUUGGCCAGAUGGGGCCCAACAAGCCAUUUGGCCUAGCCUUGCUUGAAGACGGUUUUCUUGUCAUUCCAAGCUAUUUUUAGCCCUAUGACCAUUUGAUUUGAUCGGUUGGAGAUGACUUUAGGUGCGGUGAUUGUCCUUGAGAUAUCGAAGGUUCUGUGUGAUCGAAUACUUCGUCCUCCUCCAAAGCCGCCACUGUUGAGAAGGUUACUUGCCUUAUGCAAACAUUAUGAAUUGCAAGUGAUGAAUUGUUCUGAUGAUAAGGUUUAUUUUUUAACUCAUUAUGUUUCGAGUUUAAACAUUUUUCCCUCUCUUUAAUGUAUAUAUUAAUGAAAUAUUGUUCGUAAUAAAAAAAUAAAAAAAUGAUACAUUCUCAUUCAUAUAUAAGAUGAUCAAGUCUGAAAUUAUUACUUUUAAUGAGUGACUUAGUUAACCAUUUUCAUUUCUUAUGCGUUCAAAAUUAGACAAAUUCUUUGCAAACAUUAAAAAAAAAAAAAGAUAUUAAGGAGACUUUGAAACUAUUACAUUAUGGGAGGGGGAAUUUCGAACUCGGGACUUCUGAGUAGAACCCAAAUGCUUCUCCACUAGGAUAUUAGACUAGUGCCGGUCCUGAAUUUUUUGGUGCCUGGAGCGAAUAAUGUGCCCUUUUCCAGUACAACAACAUAAAUUAAAAAGAAAUAUUUAAAGAGGGCUGGAACCCAGUCGAAGCUGGGGGGCUAGGCCCUCACGCCCAUAUUAUAUUACUUUUAAGAAUAAACAUACAACUGGGGGAACAUAGUAUCGAAAUCCCGACGAUCAAAAGCAAAAUAUAUACAACCACUCCAAGCAGUCAACAUGGCCAUCACAUAUUGAAUCCAAAAUGUCAACGCCCCAUUGGCUGCAUAUAAAGUACAAACGAGCGGCAACUUCAGCCAGUUCUGCGAUAUCCGGCUGGAUGAGAGCAGCUAAAGACAUGAUUGUUCCCUAAUAACAUGAAUAAAUUGAGUAAACACCAAAAGUAGCAGCAAGGGAAGGAGAUGUGAAGUAGAUGAAGAGAUGUAAGAACUGUGAAUGUCCAGCAACAAAGACUUCGGAGCUUGUUGUCGAAUACCUGCAGCGCAUCAUUUCUGGUAGAUCAAAUACAACCAAGUCCUGCCAACUCCAAUUCCAAAAAUCCUACAGUAUAGCAUAAAUCUUAUUCUCUUCUGAUAAAGAUGUGUGUCCCUACCCAUAAAUCGAAACCUUCAUCUGCAAGGACGAAUCCCAUUUAUUCUUCUGAAGAAUUUAAGAACCAUGAACCACCUGGUCAAGAUCAAGAAAAGCCAGUAACCAAUUACAAUUGAGUUUGAAGCAAAUUAGAGCCAAAUUUAAAAUGUAUCCGAUGGAUGUUCAUCAAUUUACACAAUAGUUAGUUUCAAGAAAGGAAAUUUCAACAGAACCUGAAAACUUCAGAUCAGGGGGCACCAAAUAGUGAGCUACACAUUCAGAAUUUGAAAUAUUUCAAAUCAACUUGGUGGGGCCAAUAUGUUGAAAAAAUUGGAAGGAGCUAUGAAAGUAAGGCUUUUCGCUAAUCAGGCGUCUAGAGAAUCAAUAUUUUACUCACGUAUCAGUUACGGGGAACACUCCCCACCAGAGCAAUCUCAUUAGUCCUUCACAUCUCAAACGGCACAGAAAUUGCACUAACAAACACGACUCCUAUUAGUCCUUCACAUCUAAAAUCCAGGAAGUACCCAUCUUUCGUCUGAAUCUGGAAAAUAAGCAGAGCACUCAAUUUAACAAUCUGGGUAUCUCAAAGUUACUCACUUUAAUCACAAAUUUAACAAUUAAACAUAUAAAUGGGCAUUUUUUUAGUGAAAUAUUAGUAUCUUACUCACUGUGUGCUCGGAGCAAGAGUACCCGGAAAGCUCAAUGAGCUGUGCACAGAGGACUGCAGCGGUGAACGACAGCGACCGAUUCUGUAAAAUUCAGUCAAGUUUUCGGCAAUUUCUGCAGCGAUUUCGGAGUUCAAGAGGCUGAUAAGGAAAGCUGCGACUGAAGGACACUGGUCUGGAAGAAAGGCUCUGGUCACCGCUGUCGCAAUUUGUGAAGGAAGAAGUGCCCCAAAACAAUUUCGGCCCUGAACAGAUGCACUGUUUGCACUGGACCAGGGCCGGCACUGGCGAUAACGUCCCCCAAACAGUACAUAUACAGAUGCUAGAAAUAAUAAAUGUCACCUGAAACUACUAGAACCAUUCAAUUCUAGCGUCUACAGCUUUAGCAUUAGUUGGUACAAGGGACAUUCUUCUAAAGAGGGAGAUGAACUCGUUGAGGCUCUUAUUUAUUCCUCCUCUUGAGGUGUCCUUUUAGGCUGCUAAUUCCAGACGAUCCAAUCUCAUACAUCUUCCCUGCAAAAGCAUGUGUGCCAGACUUCAAGAUCAAAAUUUUCCAACAAAAGAAACUUAAAGAUCAAACUCGCCUGCGGAAUAAAUGGUGCACAAGGGUGUUAAAAAUGGUGCACAAGGGUGUUAAAAUCUUGACAUAUGUAUAUUUUUGGCAGAUUUUAUGUGAGCAUGCAACUAAAACUGGCAUAACAGUUUGAGUUGUAACUUCUCCAUUGUAUUUGUUAAGGCAAGACGGAUGUCAUCUAUGCAUUUUUCUGUAAAACUUAGAAGGCUGCAUAGCAGCUCUUGUUCGUUGUAUUGAAUACCGUGGUUUAACCGAUGAAUGCAGAGUUUGCUGAUGAUUCAUACGACAAGCAAUUGAAAAUCCCCAUCAUUUACACAAAUUCAGAGCAUUCAUCCACUGUAAUUUGCAGAUAUAGAAACGUCAAGAUAAAAGGAAAUGCAAAGUACCUUUCACCCAAAUUGGAAGAGCACCGGUGGCAUUAGCAAGUUAGCAACGGGAAUUGACAUACCAAUAUCUUCACAGUUUCUGCACAAGCACAAAUCAAAAGAAUUGUGGAUUUCAAAAUAUGCGGCCGUGGCUAGCCGUCUGACCACGCCAAUUCCACCAAAGCCGCCGCAACGCGGCGUAGUGUCCGAUUGAUUGCUUCAAAACAGAGCUUCGUAUCCAUGUGUUUAUCAGCAGAGAGUACCCAAAACCCCUGAAAAUUAUUUCUUUAUUCAGAUAAUAAAAUUUCCCAAAUUUCAAAUUUUAAUUCCGAACCAAAAAUAGGAUUUGAAUUUUGAUUACCUAGAAAUGGGGGGGGGGGGGGUUGGGGUGGAGAGGGACUCAGGCCAAGACAGAGCUAUGUGUCUGUGAUAAGGUGUGCCAAAUUACAGAGUGUGUCGGGAAGAUGUACAAGGCUUUUGCAGUUUCUCAGAUUUAAAUACCGAAGCCCCGUAAGCUGUUCAAUCCAGGGGGAAAGCUCUUUGAUAGAUGUUCCAUCCAAGAAAAGAUAUCUUAAUCCUUCCAUAUUUUCUUCAAUGCUUGGAAACACCUCAAAUUUUGUAGAACCGGAAAGAGAGAGAGAGACAAGGGACUUGAGCUGAGAAAUGCUGCUCGGAAGACUCUUAAGUUCCACGCAAUAUUUCAGGCUUAAAUAACUCAACCCCGUGAGAUUAUUAAUUGACAGCGGUAGUUCUUUAAUUUUUGACCCGGAUAAAUCAAGCUCUUCUAACUCCUCAAUACCUUCUAAAAUCUCUGGAAACAUCUCAAGAUUGGAGCAGUCAUAAAGAUUAAGGGUUUUGAGAGAUUUCAUACGAAUGCUGCUUGGAAGACUCUUAAGUUCCACGCAAUGUUUUAGGUUCAAAUGACUCAACCCCGUGAGAUUAUUAAUUGACAGGGGCAGUUCUUUAAUUUUGGACCCGGAUAAAUUAAGCUCUUUUAAUCCCUCAAUAACUUCUGAAAUCUCUGGAAACAUCUCAAGAUUGGUGCAGCCAUAAAGCUUAAAGGUUUUGAGAGAUUUCAUACGAAUGCUGCUUGGAAGACUCUUAAGUUCCACGCAAUGUUCUAGGUUCAAAUGACUCAAUCCCGUGAGAUUAUUAAUUGACAGGGGCAAUUCUUUAAUUUUGGACCCAGAUAAAUUAAGCUCUUCUAACUCCUCCAUACCUUUUGAAAUCUCUGGAAACAUCUCAAGACUGGAGCAACCAAAAAGAUUAAAGGUUUUGAGAGAUCUCAUACGAAUCUUGCUGGGUAGACUCUUAAGUUGCUUGCAAUGUUUUAGGUUGAAAUGACUCAACCCCGUGAGAUUAUUAAUUGACGGGGGUAGUUCUUCAAUUUUUGCCCCGGAUAAAUCAAGCUUUUCUAACCCCUCAAUACCUUCUGAAAUCGAUGGAAACAUCUCAAGACUAGAGCAGCCAUAAAGAUUAAAGGUUUUUAGACAUUUCACAUGAAUGCAGCUUGGAAGACUCUUAAGUUCCUCGCAAUGUUUUAGUUUGAAAUGACUCAACCCCGUGAGAUUAUUAAUUGACAGGGGCAGUUCUUUAAUUUUGGACCCGGAUAAAUUAAGCUCCUCUAACUCCUCCAUACCUUCUGAAAUCUCUGGAAACAUCUCAAGACUCGUGCAACCAUAAAGGUUAAAGGUUUUGAGAGAUUUCAUACGAAUGCUGCUUGGAAGACUCUUAAGUUCCUUGCAAAGUAUUAGGUUCAAACGAAUCAACCCCGUGAGAUUAUUAAUUGACGAAGGGAGUUCUUUAAUUUUUGACCCGGAUAAAUCAAGCUCUUCUAACUUCUCCAUACCUUCUAAAAUCUCUGGAAACAUCUCAAGAUUGGAGCAGCCAUAAAGAUUAAAGGUUUUAAGAGAUUUCAUACGAAUGCUGCUUGGAAGACUCUUAAGUUCCUCGCAAUGUUCUAGGUUCAAAUGACUCAAUCCCGUGAGAUUAUUAAUUGACGAGGGCAGUUCUUUAAUUUUUGACCAGGUUAAAUUAAGCUCUUCCAACUUCUCCAUACCUUCUAAAAUCUCUGGAAACAUCUCAAGACUAGAGCAGCCAGAAAGAUUAAAGAUUUUGAGAGAUCUCAUACGAAUUUUGCUGGGUAGACUCUUAAGUUCCUUGCAAUCUUUUAGGUUGAAAUGACUCAACCCCGUGAGAUUAUUAAUUGACGGGGGCAAUUCUUUAAUUCUUGACCUGGAUAAAUCAAGCUCUUCUAACCCCUUAAUCACUUCUGAAAUCUCUGGAAAC